rnacentral:lncRNA from 1 species
UAUUUGGAUCUGUGUUUGAUCUGUUGAUUCGAUUAUUUGUUAAAUUCAACAGUUGUCAACUGUUAACUAUUAAUAGAACAAAUCAGCUACAAUUUCGUUGCUAAAAGACAGGCAAAUUUGUUACAUUUAGGGCAAUUGGUGUUAAUUUAACCCUAUACUCAAUUCAAUUACUGGAAAUAACUCAAAUUAAAGAGACAGUGCCAAUCGAAAAGUAGAAAAAAAGUUGAGAACUUCCCUUCAGAUAUAACCUAGGGAUCUCCUUACAUUUUAUCUUCUUUUUUUUUUGUGGCAAUUAGCUAAAGGCAUACUACUACUGUUAAUGGCUGUGUUAUAUGUGCAGUUUCAUAAAUUGGAGUCUAAAUUGGCACUCUUUGCGGAUCUUGAAAACAUAAUCCUGAGAAUAAGGGAACAAACAGAAAGAACUAAACAAAGACUUCUUCACGAACGCUCGCAAAUAAUUGCUGCUCGACUGGGUCUGCCUGCGCCAUCUUUUAGACCUAACCCAACUUCUGUACCGCCGGGCAGAUAUCCAGCAGGCUAUGGGAUGCCAAGCACAAAUUCAUUAAACGUGGUCGCUCAAAAACCGCCUGCUAUGAGAAGGCCAUGAAGUAUGUCUUUUUUCUAAGUACAUUGAAGCUCAGCACUUUGUAAAGUAUUGCUGAUGAUAUCAUAUUGCUCACAUAGUAAGUAGUUCUUAAUCGCUGAUUUGGUUGAUAACAUAUACGGAUAGCUAACUCUUGCUUUUUACUUGACUAACGCGUUAAAAAUUUUCAGGAGUCAGCAUCAUCAUUCUUAAGUGAAGGUUUUGUGCUGAUAUGCACUGUGCUGCCUAUGAACUAAAAUGUUCUUAUUGUUAGUUUGAAGGAUUCUUGUUUUUGCCCCUUGUACAUGACUCAGAAGCAAAUUCACCGAGCUAGAAUGUUGUUUUACAGUGGGUAAGCCAUUUCACCAUGUAAGCAUUGGUCCUUUUUAAUGAAAAUCCAUUUAGGCUCCAUGAGCUCUAUUUUAGUAAGAAUUGAUUGCAUAAACUCAAUUUAUAGGUCCCAUGAUAUCUCUACUUUUUUUCAAUUCUUUAAUGUCUUAGUUGUUGCUGUUAUACUGACAGUUUUUCUAUACUCAACUUCAGCUGCAAGCUCCAAAAGAUGCUUGCCUACUUCUAUUUUUAUUUAUUUUACUUUUGAGAGGGGAACCUUUUUUUUUUUUGGUUGGGGCCGCAUUUGUGGUGGGGGGGGGGGUGGUCAUAAUUAUAUAUAUUCAAUCCAAUCAUCUAUUUACAGUUUUAUAUUUACAUAUAUACCUUUUUAUGUGCUUACAAAAAUAUCUUUAGUGGGGAGUCCAAUUUAUGGACGGAAGUUGGAUUAAAUGAGCUUUUCUAACAAGGGUUGUUCUGAGGUGCAAGGGUGUCUCAGAAACUAUGUUUUUUGGUGGGCAUCUUUGUAAACCCAGAUCUAACAGGGUAUGCAUGUAAAUGGAUAAUUUUUCUGGGGCAUAUAUAGAAAUAUCACCUUUUCUUCUCUAGUUCAGUUGAGCAUUUGACUCCGUAGUGAAGUGAAUCAGUGAUUGCGAGGAUUAUUUUCUUCUUUAGCAAUAUCUUGUUUACUGUUUUAGUGUUUGCCUUCUCUUAUGAGAAACAGAGAAGGCCAAUCUUUCCUUGUUUAAGAGGAUUUAGAAUGCUUUAGUAGAUAAUUUUUAGCAGGUUGGCUUUUGCCAAUUUGUUAAAUCUAUCUUCAAACUUGAGGCUCUUCAGUUGGAAUGUUGUUGGAGUUUGAGUAGUGUAGAUAUCGUAGUUGUCAAUAUUUGAACGUUGAUACUUUAAAGUUUAAACUAUGCAAGAUGCAGGCCUAGUCAGUUGAAAAUCUUCUUUAUUGUGUUUGUAUUGUUUUUGUUUUUCUCCCCCCUACAGUUAUGGCUGGCAAACUCUGGUUCUUGAUCAUAGCUGAUCUUAAAUUUGUUUGUAAUGUGUCUAUUCAUCAGUUGAUAAGAUUCUCUUUGCAAUCAUUCAGAAAGGAUUUUUCAACUGUUUUUCAUUAGGUUGUUCAGAAAAUAAACAUGAACGUGACAAAGAAAGAUGCCUAAUCUAAUAAUCUUUCCUGUGCGACACCCAUUUUUGUUAUUUUAAAUAUGGUAUCCUUUGAAAUUCUUUUUGUUUGUUUAUUUUCAUUUUCCCUUUACCGUCUUGUUUUAAGUACGGAUAGUGAAAGAUCUAUUGUAUGAAGAUCCUUUGAGUAUAUCUGUUGACAUGUUUUUUGUGGUAGUAGUGUUUGGGAAAAGACCUCGAUUAGUAAUAAACUUUGCUUUGGUCUUCAUGAUAUUCAGCUGCAAUUGCUUUCAAUGGUAACGCAACUCAGAUCAUCAACAUCAGAUCAUCAACAUCCUUUUAUUAUUAAUGGUACUGCUAGCCAUGUUCUUUCUCCAUGGACUGUAGUUUUCAUUUUGGAUUUGUUGUAAUGGUGGUGAAAAGACAGUUUUGAGCUCCGGCUCGGCUCUACUUGGUUUUCUGAGCGGAAUUGCACUAACUUUUAACUGUCUAAUAUGCAUAUCAUUUUAGUUCCUUAGGUCUCUAAUAUUCUCUUAUAAGAAAUGUCUUUGUAUUUAUAUUCUUCACAGUAGCAUAAUGUGGUAAUGAUGUUUGCUGGAAUGCUCUGUUUCCACUUAAGAUCUGAUCAUAAGGGUUUUACGAAAAAUGAAAUAUGGAGAUUGUUGGAAGAUUUGUUAUGUUUUGUUUGCUUUUGAGUUUUUGGUUUUAGUUUGAUUUUGGGUAUGCCAGGGAAUGAUGGUAUAUGAAAAGGACUGAAAUUUUCUGCUAUUUUAUUUAUUUAUUUACUGAUUCAAUUGUCUGUUUAUUCACUGUUCGCUGAAGAUUUGUAGUUACAUUUGCUUGAGAAGUGACUACUUUCAGCUUGAGAAGCUUUUGGUUUUAAAUUGAUUUCGGGAUUCAAAUUUUAAAUUUAAAUUUUUAUAUUGGAUUAGAAUUUUAAGUUUAAAUACGAAUUUGGAAUUUAAAUAUACAUUCUGUACUUAAUUUUAAAUUUUAAUUUUGAUUUCGAUUGUACUUUUAAUUUUAAAUUCAGUUUAUAUUUAAAAUCAUUUUCUAAAUUUAAAUUUAGACUUUAAUUUGUUAUUACAAUAAUUAAUGGGACCACUAUAUUAAAUUUAUAUUUUUUAAUACACUUUUUACUGGUUUAUAAUAAUUUAAUAAAAUUCUUACCAAAAUAGCUUUGUAUAAUAAAUAGCAGUUUUGACAAAAAUAGCUAAAUGUUAUGCAUUGUUUUUUUUUUUUUUUUUUUUUUUNGGAAAAUGAGUCCUACCUCUACUUUUAGAUGUAAAAUUGAAGUUAACAUUUUUUGAAAGCUACCGACCGUCUCUAGAGUAAGUGGCAAAGGGUUUGGUGGUUGGUAUCCGAGAUCCAAGUUCGAAUCCUAGUUGAUUCACAUUUUCAGCUAAUUUUAUUUCUAAGUGAAAUAAACAAAGCGGGUAGCGUGCUAUCUAUCUCUCAAAAAAAAAAAAAAAUUUUUUUUUUGAAUUUUUUUUUUUUUUUUUCUUUUCCUCUCCUCUUAUUAUGAGCUUGUGAAACCUUUUAGACAAUGUUGGGGGCGUUUACUUUCGCACGCAUAAAAAGAAUGCUAUAUUCAUUCUAUUGGUGUGGCCCAAGCUUUCGCAUUAAAACUGACCUAAAAGCAGAAAAAAAAAGAAAAGAAAAAGAAAAAGCAAAAGAAAAAGAAAAAUAAGUGAGCAAGCAUUUAUAUGUGAGACUUGCAUUGAAACCAUUUUGCCAAAUGGAUCGUUUCGAAUGUACUUUUCUUUUCCCCCGUUAUGUGAUUGCUUAAUCACUGUAGAUUAAAACUCAACAAUGGUUGAAGGGGGAAAAGAAAUGUGUUUGAGCAACUUGUAAUUAAUAACUUCUAUAAAGAGCACCUCGGGGUGUUCGGUUCCCCAAAAUUGCAUAGAAAUGAAAAAUAAAAAUAAAAAUAAAUAUUUUUAGAUUUUUUUUUUUUAAAAAAAAAUCUAACUGAGCUAGAGAAUUUUAUUUGUUAGAAUGAGGCGCAAUUCAAAAACCUAAUUUUAUUUAUUUAUUCAUUAUUAUUAUUAUUAUUAUUAUUAUUGGGAAGAGUUGUUGCCACAAAUAAAACAAAAAGCAGUCAACGGUAUGGGAUGGUUCCGCGCGAGGGCCCCAACGCCCCCCCUCCAUGAAUAGCCAAACUAUCACCAAAUCUAGAGAGAGAAAAAAAACACCCUAACUAUAGAGAUUAGAGAAGAAACAACAUCUAGAGAGAGAAACAGUUAGAGAGAGAGAAGAGAGAGACCAGCGAGAGAGAGAGAGGGGUAGGAGAGGAGGUGGUGGUCCCCUCCUCUCUUCAACCCCGUCCCAAAUUAAAAAAAGUACAAUCUUUUUUUCUCUAAUAUCUAUUUUGUGUUUCCUUUUUCCUCUCUUGUCAUUUCCUUAUGAUAAUUUUUCAGGUAGUGAUUAUUUCUCUACGAGAGAAGCAGAAGUUGGCGUAGUCGGGGGCGGCGCCGCAUCAAAGAGGGUGGAGUUCUCUCUUUCGCCGGAGAAACUCCAUCCUCCCGAACGCAUAUAACUAAACCAUACAUAAAAGUACAUUCAGAUACAAAUCAUGGCGUCCUCUCCGGAUGCCGCUCCGGCCCCCAACUCCUCCUCCUCCUCCUCGUCCUCUCCACCACCACCACCACCACCACCAUCCAACUCCUCCUCGCCCCCUCCCUCUCCACCCCCACCCUCUCCUUCGCCCUCGCCUCCGCCGCCGCCCCCGCCCUCCUCCUCCUCCCCACCUCCGGCAUCGACGCCGCCUCCGUCGACCCCCUCAACUCCGCCCAAUUCAUCGAACAAGCCAUCGCCGCCGCCGAAAGCUACGCCGUCGCAAACGCCUCCCUCUCCUAGUAGUUUCAAAGAACUGCCAUUGCCAUUGCCAUCAUCGCCGCCGCCGCCGCCGCCGCCGCCAGCGCCAGCGGCUUCCAGAGCUGCUGCGUCGAAGAAGGCUGCGCCUUCGCAUGCGUCGCCGGACGACAGCGGCAGCGGCAGCGGUGGCGGCGGGGGGUCGGAGUUGAAUCUGCCGAUGAUCAUCGGGGUGGCGGCCGGGGUCGGGGUGUUCUUCAUCCUGAUGAUGGUGGUCGCGCUCGUGUGCUGCGCCAGGACGAAGAAGAAGAAGAAUGCACUGCCGCCGCAUAACCACCUGCACUACUACGAUAACUCGCAACGCAAAGGUAUUGUUAAAUAUAAAAUUAUAUAAAUACUGUUGUCUAAAGGCUUAAACUUUUAGAGUACAAUGAUUAUUUCACAUGUAUUUUAUAUAUAUAUAUAUAUAUAUAUAUAUAUUCUCUUAUCAUAUGUAGCUAGGGUGCCUUCUUUUUAAGUUUUUUUUUUCGUAAAAAUGCAAGAAAAAAAAAAUUAUAAGAGUUGAGCUCAAAAUGCGCUUAGUUUUUAGCCGUCUGAUUGUCUCGUAAUUCGUAUAAUACUAAUAAAAAAAAUUUAAUAAAAUAUAUUAUUAUUAGUGCUCUACGAAUCUUAAGGCUAAAAAUUCACAAAUACAAAUAGUCAUUUGUUUCGAAAAAAAACACAGAAGCUCAACUCAAAUUAUAAUAUACCUUCUUCUAGUUUAGCGUAUUUUUUUAUUUGCCAUCGCAUUUAACUAAUAUGUAUUUUAAUAUACUUUAAUUUGCCAUUACGUACGUGAUUAAUUAUUAGAAAAUUUUAUUUUAGUUUUACUAUAACGGCCUACCGUUUAAUAGGAUACUAUUUUAUGAUUUUUUAAAAUUUACUUUGCUAUCUUAUUUGACAAUAAUUUUUUUUUUGAUAAAACAAAAAUAAAACUAUAUUUUAAUUAAGUACAAACAUGAUAAAAUAAAAAUGCGCCAAACUAAAAAAAAUUGAAUUGUAAACCUAGCAUUCCUCUUUGAGAAUUAUGAUGUCAACGCACGAAACGGUUGUAUAUAUUUACAGGGAACGACUACUACCACGCCUCAUCUCUCCCUAAAUGGCAGCACAACGGAUCCCAAACCUUCGACCCCACCGGCGGCGGCGGCGCCGCCGUCCCGCUGCCGCCCCCGCCCGGCGGCGUCGGUUGGAGCCCUCACGGGCUCUCCCCGCCGCCUGGCGCAGCACAUCACUUCCACAUCAGCGACACAGGCUCAGGGCCAUACAACGACAACUCCGGCCCCCACGGCGCCCCGCUCCCGCCGCCGUCCCCGUCCGUCGCGCUCGGCUUCGUGAAGAGCACGUUCUCGUACGAGGAGCUGGCGGCGGCCACCGACGGCUUCUCGGCGGCGAAUUUGCUCGGGCAGGGCGGGUUCGGGUACGUGCACAAGGGGGUGCUGCCGAACGGGAAGGAGGUGGCGGUGAAGCAGCUGAAGUCGGGCAGCGGGCAGGGCGACAGGGAGUUCCAGGCAGAAGUAGAAAUUAUUAGUAGAGUGCACCACCGGCACCUCGUCUCGCUCGUCGGCUACUGCAUUUCGCAGACGCAGAGGAUGCUCGUCUACGAGUUCGUGCCCAACAAGACGCUCGAGCACCACCUCUACGGUAAAAUUAAUUAACCCUUCAACAACAAUUUUCUCGUUACUAACUUUUGUAGCAUAGUGGUUAAAAAUUUUACUUACUAUUUUAGAAGGUGCAAAAAAAAAUAAAAAUAAAAGCGCUUUUAAUUUUUCAUCCUUUAUUGUUAUAAUAAAACUAGUGUAGUUAAUUAUCCGAGCGAUACGACGGGCAAAUAUUAUUAAAGUCACCGUUGAUAUUGAUGAUAGUAUGAAGUUAUAUAUAUAUAUAUAUUUUGAAAAAAUGCGACAGGAAGAUGAAGGAAAAAAGAAAAAGAGGCAUAAGAAGAAAAAAUGACAGAUCUCGGAUAUAUAUAUAUAUAUAUAUAAAAUUCUAUAUGAGUCCGGCUACUAUACUAUUGAUAGUAUCAAGUCCUUGAUACUAUUAAGUUUUCUGCCGUUAGAUCUACCCUUUGAUCAUUUUCACCCGUUAGAUUAUACUAUUAAACCAACCACCCACUCAACCCUAGGGGACCACUAUCAAUUUAACCGGGAACUACUAUCAUCCUAACCGCACAUCUUUUCAUCCAACGGCCGAAAACUCAAUAAUAUCAAGGGCUUGGUACUAUUGAUAGUAUAGUAGCAUAUAUAUAUAUAUAUAUAUANNNNNNNNNNNNNNNNNNNCUGAGCUAGGCUGGUAUACUAUCGGUAGCACGGUGGCCUCCGUGCUACCAAGUUGUUUUCAAUGAUGCCGCUUCCAAAUCGACGAUCGGCUCCGUUAGACUUGAUCUACACUACUGAAAGUAUUUGAAAACUAAAUUUCAUAAUUUUUCGGCAUUAUUUACCUAUCAAACGAGUAGUCUAAAAAUGAACGGCUAAAAAACAAAAUUUCCUAAAAAAUGAUGAUAAAAGACUUGAAUUUAAGAUCAGAAGUACUGAUUUUACUCUAAAUAGUGAAAAGAAUUUUCUAUAAAAAUUUCAUCAGGUUUGGAUUAUUUUACACCGUUAAAUUCACAAGUGCAUCACAUCUACCAUUAAAAUUAUUAAUUUUGAGACCUUUUGAUCACUUGCCAAAUGAUGUCAAAAAAUUAUGAAAUUUAGUUUCCAAAUAUUUUUAAUAGUGUAGAUCAAGCCUAACGGAGCCGAUCGUCGAUUUGGAAGCCGCAUCAUUGAAAACAACUUGAUAGCACGGAGGUCUCCGUGCUACCGAUAGUAUACCAGCCUAUCUCUCUCUCUCUCUCUCUCUCUAUAUAUAUAUAUAUAAAAGAAAAAAAAAAGUUGAUUGAAGGUGAGCGGCCUCUACAUUAACAUUACAAAGUGAGAUUUCAUAUAUAGAUAUAGAAGAUUAUUAUUAUAUAUUAAUUUUCUCGUGAUUUUUGUUAUCAUAAUUUUAUAGUAUAAAAUAUGAAAAGAUUAAAAUUAUAUUAAAAUAUUUUGGAUAAUCUAAAAUAUAGAAAUAAUGCUUUUAGCUAUCACAUUAUCAAACUAGCUAGACCUUACUGAUACUGAUGACACGCUUGACACGACAAUAGAAUAGCUACAUAUAUUGUUUUGAGCUGACAUUAGAUUAUCGGGAUAUAUUUGCGGGAUCGCAGAGAAUCUACAAAGCAAUCUCUAAUUAUUUAUAAUAUUGUAUCCUUCAAAAUAGGCUCUUAUAUUAGCAUUAUAAUAAAGAAUAAUAAGAUGUUACAAUAUUAUAAACCACUUAAUUAGCUAGGCUUAGUAUAGCACUUCAUCAAUUCAUUAUUUUUUUUUCCACUUUAUUAUUCUAUAUAUAUAGUUUAUUUAUUAUUGUGUUCAUUAAAAAAAUGCACAGGAAAGGGUCUCCCAGUGCUGGACUGGCCAACACGACUCCGGAUCGCAUUGGGAUCUGCCAAAGGGCUUGCUUACUUGCAUGAAGACUGUGAGACCUCUUCAUUAACUCUAAUUCUUUAAAUUAAACCUUCUUUUUUUUCGCCUCGUAUAUUUAUUUAUAGGCUAAAUUACAGAUAAUCUCCUUAUAAAUAAGUACGUGAGAUAUAAUUAUUAGAUGCUUUGUUUCUUUUUCUUUUUCUUUUUUUUUUUGAGAGAGAUAGGUAGCACGCUACCCGCUCCGUUUGUUUCAUUUAGAAAUAAACUUAGCUAGAAAUGUGAAUCAACUGGGAUUCGAACUUGGGUCUCAGGUACCAACCAAGUCCUUUGCCAGUUGCUCUAGGGACGGUCGGUUAUUAGAUGCUUAUUUUAAUGACGAGCAUGCUGAUGAUGUAAUUUUAUUUAGUGCUAUUUGUAUAUAGCUCUCUAUAAGCAUAUCGAAUAGCAGAUAUAUUUAUAUAAAGUUCAACUUUUUAUUUUUAUCUCUAGAAAAGUCCUAGUGUUUUUUCAAAUAUACUCUUAACUGUUAGGAUCCGUUAGAAAAGUAUAGUUAGUCAUAGAUAAAAUACUUAAUUCUGAUUAGUGAAUGAGAUAAAUAAUUUUUUUUUUUUCUAUUAUAGAAACUAAGAAGAUAAUUUUUUAGAGGAUAUUUUUGCAUAUUCUAAUAGUUGGAAAUUUUAGAGGUACAUAUCUGUGAUGAGAAAAAUAUCAUUUUACUAAUCUGCUACUCUAACGUACGUUAGCAAAUCAUAGGGCACAAAUAUGAAUAUCACUGUAUUUUUGUAGGAACAAAAAUAAAAAAUGAAACUUUGUGUAGGAAUUUAUUUAUUAUUCGAUAUGUUUACAGGAAGCUAUAUACAAUUAGCCUCUUUAAUUUAAUAUUAAUUUCUUAUGUUAAAUAAUUUGAUUCGGUCUUUGGACGUUUCGGGUAGGGAUUUUUAGCUUUUUUUUUUUUAUUCUAAGUUUCGAAUUUUUAUUCGGGUUCAGUUUCGGAUUAUACAAAAAUCCAUAAUAUGUGCUACAUUAUUUGUUCCUUUACUGUAUCUAAUAAUAAUCUAAUUAAUAAUUCUUUAAUUUUCAUUGAAGGUCACCCUCGAAUCAUUCAUCGCGACAUCAAAACCGCCAAUAUUCUUCUUGAUAAUAAAUUCGAGGCUAUGGUACAAAAAAAUUUUAUUGAUCAAUUUAUGCAUAAAAAAAUAAAUACAAUGAAUUAAAAUUAAAUUUAUGUAGUUUUUUUUAAUUUAUAUAUAUGUAUUUGAAAUUGCUAUUUCAGGUUGCUGAUUUUGGAUUGGCCAAGUUAUCUUCUGACACCAACACCCACGUUUCGACACGUGUGAUGGGAACAUUCGGGUAAUUUUAUAUUAGUUUUUUUAAAAAAAUAUAAAAUUUAUCUGAACUGUAGCGCAUUUUUCAUAAAAUUUUAUACCGUAAUUUUAACUUUUUUAUAGAAAUAUUUUGGCAUCUCCCAAAGAUAAUGAAUGGUAAAAACAUUGCAAACUUAUUUGAACCAUAUAUUAUUUGAAUUGACUAUUUAACUUUUUUUUAUUUUUGAUUUUACCAUGUAGCCCUUCAAUUUAUUUGAUUUAAAUUACUCAUCAGUACUUCUUUAACUUUAAAAUUUAAGUUAAUUUUUUAUUUUUAAUAAAAUUAUUCUAAUUAUACCUGUAAAGAUAAAUAUCGUAUUUCAGUUUUAAAGUCAAAGCACUAUUGACUAAUUCAAAUCAAAUAAAUUGAAAGAUUAUAUAGUAAAUUAAAAUUUUGAAAAAUUGAAUAGUCAAUUCAAAAUGAUCCAUAGUUCGGAUAAGUUUUAUAUACGUUUGUACUUAUAAUGGGAUAAAGUUUAAUUCUUUUAGGUUUAGAUAUGAAUUUUUAAAAUCUGUCGGAUCCGGGUUAGGGUUCGGGUUUUGGGUUUGGAGUCGGUUUGGAUUCGGGUUUUUGAAAAUUCGCCCCGAAUCCGACCCAUUGACAUCCCUACUCUUGAUCUAGUGUAAUUAUAUGUACAUAUAUACUUAUUCUGAUCAUAUAUAGAUUCUGAUCAUAUAUAGAUACUUGGCUCCUGAGUACGCGUCGAGCGGCAAGUUAACAGAGAAAUCCGAUGUCUUCUCGUUCGGAGUGAUGCUCCUCGAGCUCAUAACCGGGCGGCGGCCCGUCGACAACACUCAAACCUUCAUGGAGGAUAGCUUGGUUGAUUGGGUGAGUACCGCGACUGUUCUUGCUUAUUUCGAUAUCUCGGAUUCAAAAGUGUUGCGAAAAAAAGCUCAUUGGUUUGCAAUUCAAUCGAGUUCGGCUCAGUUUUACUUCUGUUCGAGUUCUCGAGCUGGGUUCAGCUCGCUCGAGCUCAGCUUUAACCAUUUUUUGAUAUUAAUCAAUUACUUUACUUGGCUCAAAAGUGUGGUGAGCCCAGAUCGAGCUUAUUUACGAAACUCGAACUCGAGUCAAGCUCGAUCUAAGCGUAAUUUAAGUAGCUCGAGCUCACGAAUUUUGUUCAUCUUACAAUUGAACUCGAUGGAUCUAGGCGAGGCCUCUUAUGAUCCGCGCGCUGACUGAGAACAACUUUGAAGAGCUGGUCGACCCGCGACUGGAGAAGAACUACGACCCGACGGAGAUGCAACACAUGAUCGCGAGUGCCGCUGCUUGCGUUCGCCAUUCCGCUCGACGGCGCCCUAAAAUGAGCCAGGUACAUGGAUGAAACAUUCUCCAAAGCUUAUUCUAACAUCUUAUUAUUAAAUUGGAUUAAUUUCAUACAUGUCCCUAUAAAUAUAAUGAAUUGCAAACAUAUUUUUAUAAAUUUUAACUUUCUUAUGUUGUUCCUACAAAAGUCCUAAUAUUUUUAAAUAUGUCCAUGCCGUUAGAAUCCGUUAGAAAACUUAGUUAAUCAUAGGUUACAUGCUUAACCCUGAUUAGUUUAUGAGAUAAUUUGAUAAUUUGAUAAUUUUGGAGGGACAUAUUUGAAAAGAGAUAUAAAAACAUCAGAACUUUUGUAUGGACCACAUGUGAAAGUUGAAUUUUGUAGGGAUAUAUUUGUAAUUCACUAUAUUUGUAGGGACCUAUACGCAUUUAACCCUAUUAUAUUUAUGUCCUACUCUAAUUGUUUCAAAGCUAAAAAAAAAGAGUAGUUUUUGAUAAUUUUGAGGGGUAUAUUACAAGCCAAAUUUUAAAAAGAGGGGUUAUCAAUCUUUUGUGCAAAUUUCAAUUUGACACUUAAUUAACCUAUGAAUUUUUAUAACUGAGCAUCUAUAUGUGAUUUGGAUGUUGUUGUAAUCUUAGGCCCCGUUUGGUUGGGGGGAUAAGCGGGGAUAACAAACGUUAUCCUCGUUAUUCCGCCAAACGGGGUGAAAUUUGGCCGGGAUAUUUUAUCCCGGUCAAACCUUGCUAUUCCCGGUUAUCCCGGAAUAGCAAGGGAUUUGCUAUUCCACCAUUUUGGUAGAAUAGCACUAUUCCAAUGCUUAAUUUCAAACUUAAUUAAAAUUAUAAAUUGAAUUAAAACUAAAUUAUAUAAAUAUAAUAUGUUAUAUAUUAUAAUACAUUAUUUUUAUUAUAAAAUUAUUAAUUGUACUAUAUUAAUACAUAUUAUUUAUAUUUAAAUAUUAUAAUAAAAUUUAUAAUAAAUUAUAUUUAAAUAUUAUAAUAAAUUCUUUUUAUUAAAUUUAAGUUUAAGUAGAAUUUUUAAAAAAUUUAUAAAUUUAUUAUAAUAAAUAGUUUUUAUUAAUUGUUCCCACCCCUAUUCUUAUUUUAAAAUUUUAAAAAUUAAAAAUUUAAAUUUUUAAAAUUUAUAUAUUAUAAUACAUUAUUUUUAUUAUAAAAUUAUUAAUUGUACUAUAUUAAUAAUUAUUAUUUAUAUUUAAAUAUUAUAAUAAAAUUUAUAGUAAAUUAUAUUUAAAUAUUAUAAUAAAUUCUUUUUAUUAAAUUUAAGUUUAAGUAGAAUUUUAAAAAAAUUUAUAAAUUUAUUAUAAUAAAUUAUUUUUAUUAAUUGUUCCCACCCCUAUUCUUAUUUUAAAAUUUUAAAAAUUAAAAAUUUAAAUUUUUAAAAUUUAUAAUUUAUAAUCUCAAAAUUAAAGUUUAUAAUUUUAAAUUUUAAAUUUUAUAUUUAAGUUUUGAUAUUUUAAUUUGAAAUUUAAAAUUUGAUAUUUUAUAUUUUUCAAAUUUAAAUUUGAUCUUAAAUUUAAAGUUUGAAAUUUAAAAUUUAAAAUUUUGAAUUUAAAAUUUGAGAUUUUAAAUUUCAAAAUUUAAAAUUUCAAAGUUAAAAUUUUAAAUUUAAAAAUAUAUAUUUAAAAAUUUAAAAAUUUAAAUUUAAAUAUAAUAAGAGGAUAAUAUGAUUAUUUUUUAUUUAUAAAAUCUACUAUCUUUUUUAUUAAAUUCCUCCAUUGAAAUCAAAACAGAUGUCUACAUAAAUUGACACAUAUAUGAGCAUUUUGAUCCUAUUAAAGCUUUGGGGGUUUUAUUUAUAUACCCCAUACUACUAUUAAAAGUUUUCAAAUUACUCUUUAUUGCCCAACAUAUUCUUCUAAAAUUCAAUCCUAUUAGUAAACCCUAGGAAAAAAAAAAUAUUUAAGAGAAUUUUUUAAAAUCAGUAAAGAUAUUAUGGUCAUUCAGAAAUAAAUAAGAUACAUUUUUUAAGUUUUGAAAAAUAUAUUACAUAUUAUCACUAAAAUUUUUGUAGAAACGUUUUUUGAGUAGAGUUAAAGGAGAAGUAUUAGCAACUUUUUUAUUAGCUUCAAAAUAAUUUCUCUCCAAUGUUCCUAUUUUCAACUUUUUGUGAUUGUACAUUUUUUAUUAUCCAAAUUCUACAAUAGGAAAUAGUGCUGUUAAAAAAGUACUACAUAAAAUAGUGGGGUACUAAAAAAAGCUGUAGAGUAUUUGACUAAUUUUAUUAUAAAAUUCUAUGUAGAAGUUGUUUGGUAAAAACUCAACUAAAUUAUUGUAAAAUAAUAUAAAGAGUUUUAGAAAAAUAUGAAUUUAAUUAAACCGCCCCGUUAUUUUUUACCUUCUUAAUUUUUUGUCUCAAAAUUUAAAAGAAUUGGUCUAAAUUAACAAUUUUAUUACAAUUUUAAAAAAUUCUAUAAAAGUUAUUAUUCUUAAUCACUCGUUAGCAAAUAAACUUGUGAUAAUUAAUGGCCAACAUUUAAUAAAAUUAUUAUAUUCAAUAAUAAUUUCUCUUUAAUUAACUAUAUAAUUCAAAUAAAAAAAUAAAGAUUCAAGAGAUGUCAAUUAAAAAACUAAAGAUAAGAACUAAAUUUAAUAAAAGUACAUAUAUAUAUAUAUAUAUAUAUAUAUAUAUAUAUAUAUAGAGAGAGAGAGAGAGAGAGAGAGAGAGAGAGAGAGAGAGAACACAAUAUGCAUAUAGAAUAGGGAUGUCAAUGGGUUGGAAUUCGAAAUUUAUUCGAAUCUGAACCCGAAUGAAACGGAUAUAUUCGAUGCUAAAUGAAUAUGGAUUCGGAUAUGGAUAUAAAAAUAAAACCCGACGGAUAUGGAUUCGGAUAUGGGUUUGACUGUACCCGAUCCCAACCCGAACGGACCCGAACCGAAUUUAUUUGUAUUAUAUAAAAUAUAUAUAUAAAAUUUGAUGUUUUGUUUGAACUUGUAUUUUAAAAUUUAGAUUUAAUAUAUAUAUUUUGAAAUAUUGAAAAAAUAAAUAAUUGUUUCGGGUUUCAAAUUUUCGGUUUGGUUCGGGUUUCGGAUUUUGGCCAGGUUCUGAUUUGGAUACGAAUUUUUAAAACCGUCGGCUGGCUCGAUUCGGGUUGCGGUCUCGGGUUUGGAGUCGGGUUCGGUCGGGUUCGGAUUUUUAAAAAUCCGCCCCGAAUCCGACCCAUUGACAUCUCCUAAUAUAGAACGCUAGGGACUGUUGGCUUGCACGUAGUUGCACUGUAUUACAGUUGUAACUGUAUAUAAUACAAAUUCAUUAUUGAUUUGAUGUAUUUAACUUCAACUCCAGCAUUAGAACUGUAGGAGGAGGUCCAAUUGCAGCAGUUGAAACUACGCCCAAAUUGCCGCAGUUCCAACUGUAGCAGUUGGAAAGAGUAACUUUAAAUAAAAGAUAUGUUUACCUUCUUAAUAUUUUUUUAAACAACUUUUUUUUUUUUUUUUUUUACAUUGGAGAAUCACACCAUCACAUACAUAAAAUGAUAAAAUUUUAAAAGUUAUUUCUCAACUACAUUUAACAAAUAAAUUAUUUAUAGUUCCAGCACUUUCUACUAUAUACCAACCAAACAAGAUGCAUAUAGUUCAACUGCUAUAUUUCAACUGCAUAUAUUUUGAAUUAUACUGUGUUGGUGUAAAUAUUCAAAAAAUAAGAUGUUAGUUUACAAAAUAAUUUAAAAAAUAUCAACGAGUCGAUCAAGCCGAGGCACGGAUAUCUCGCUCUCUUUAAGGAGAUUCAAGCCCUCUGCGGUUGGCAAAGCCUUUGAACCGAUACAGCAGAGCACCGACUUGUCCCCUCCAGAAUACAACGGCUCGACCCUCAUCGUGUGGCUUCACCAACUCUGCACAAGUAGAUGAGCCCAAAGCUCUACCAAAAGAAACACCUUUUUUUGACCUUCUCUCUCUCAAGUAGAAUAUAGAUAUUGUAGUUUUUUUUUUUAUGUUAUGUGGAAGUGAAUAGAGAAGCCUCUAUAUAUAGGUUUCAAAAGUAUAGGUUACAAAAGUAUCAAACCCAUAGGUUACAUAGUUAGUGCUAUAGGAGUUUACAUACGUAAAUGAACUUAAUUAUGUUCACCUUAUUGAAGUAGGUUCACAUAUAAGUUCACAAUGAAUGCAAACUAAAUGAAGUGGUAAAUUCACAUGCAUAACUAUAAAUGCAAGUAUAGGUUAUGCAAAGGUUAAUAAAAUUUAUAUUAAUAAUAAAAUGUAACAACAUACUGUAUUUAUAAUUAUAUCAAACUAAACCGCCCUUAAGUUGCAGUUUGUUAUAGCCAUAUUUUGAGUUACCAAACAGUCCAAAAAAGCACGUUCACCUAAAACCGGAACCAAACGGAUACUGUAACAUUUGCCGCAUGAGCUAGACCAAAUAUGACAAAGCACAAAGAUUAGAAAGUUAAAUCUAGAAAUAUGGCAUUAAAACCUAGUAACUAUGGUGCAUUUUUUUUGAGAUAGUAUCUAAUUAUAUAUCUUUCUAAACUUCAAAAAUAAUUUAUUUAUUCUCGAAAGACAAAAAUAACCUUAUUGAUUUUCAAAAAAUUCUAUUUUUCAUAGGAUUUACUAAUGGGAUUGGUUUUACAAAGAUAUUUUGAUAAUUUCAAAAUAAAUUUGAAAAUUUUGAAUAGUAAUAAUGGGUAGAUAAGCAAACCUUUUUUUUUUUUUUUCGAACAAUUAUCUUUUAACAGGUCGUUCGCUCACUGGAGGGCGACAUUUCGUUGGAGGACUUGAACGAGGGGGUGAAGCCAGGCCAGAGCUCGUUCUUCGGCUCGAGCUCGGACUUCGACUCGAGCUCGUACAGCUCCAACAUGCGCCAGUUCCGCCGCAUCGCCCUCGGCAGCGGUGAGUUCAGUAACGAGUACAGCGGCCCCACCAGCGAGUACGGCCUCAAUCCAUCGGAAUCCAGCUCCUCUUCUGGUGAGAUCAACACCAAAUCCACCGCCACCGGAGUUAGCCGACGGCAUUAGAAAGUAACCAAUGUUUUGAAAUCCAAAUUGGAAACUUUGAAUCGUGAAAUCUGAUCAGGUUCAUUUUCGGUUCGGUUUCAAAUUUUAACACUGUCGUGAAAGACUUAUCUACCGCUCUUUGAAGAAAACAAAGGCCUACAGCUCUAUAUACAGCUCAGUUGGUGUACUAUUAAUAGUAUAUGAGUAGUAUAUUUUUACAGAGUUUUUAACCUAUUUGACUCGUGCUCUUCUGGCGAGAUCAACACCGAAUCCACCGCCGCCACCGGAGGAAGCGGGCGACAUUAGAAAGUACCCAAUGUUUUGAAAGCCAAAUUGGAAAACUUUGAAUCAUGAUUUUCAAGUUCAUUUUUGGUUCGAUUUCAAAUUUUAACACUGUCGCGAAGGACUUAUCUACCACUUUCUGAAGAAAACAAAGGCCUACAACUCAGCUGGUGCAUUAUUAAUAGUAUGUGAAUAGUGCACACUAUAGACUUUUAACUUAUUUGACUCUAUCGACGUCCCUAAAGCAAGUGGCAAAAGGACUUGGUGGUUGGUAUCCGAGACUUAAGUUCGAAUCCUAACUGAUUCACAUUUCUAGUUAAGUUUAUUUCUAAAUAAAAUAAACGAAGCGGGUAGCGUGCUACCUAUCUCUUAAAAAAAAAAAAAACUUAUUUGACUCCAGCUCCUCCUCUAGCGAGAUGAACACUAAAACCACCGCCGCCGCCGGAGGAAGCUGACGACAUUAGAAAGUAACCAAUGUUUUGAAAGCCAAAUUGGAAAACUUUUAAUCAUGAUAUUUUGAGUUUAUUUUCAAUUUCAUUUCAAAUUUUAACACGGUCGUGAAGGACUAAUCUACCACUAUUUGAAAAAAACAAAGCCCUAUAACUCUAUAUUGAAUUCACUUGUUGGAGUAUUAUUAGACUAAAAUACGAAAAAAAAUUGUUAGUAUCUUUUUUUUUUUUUUUUUUUUUUUUUUCUUUCUGUCUUUUAAAAAGCUAUAUUUUAUCACAUCAAAAUUUUAAAUUGAUACACUUAGCCCCCCUCUUAGGAUUUUAUCAUGGUUUUGUUUAUUUCAUAUAAUUUAUACCAAAAUGUCUCUUAUAAUAACACGAAUACAUUUAUUUCUUUUUUCUAAAAUAAGUAUAAGUGCAAUUACACCAUUUCACCUCUUCAUUAACGUUAUAAGCCUUAAAAAUUUUGCAAAUUUGAAGGGAUAAAAUAUACAUUACAACAGAAUUAGGUUAUAGCGACACAUGUUUGGGACACUUUUGUCUAAGUGUUCCAUUUAUGUCAAAAUUUUAAAAAAACAUCUACUAAUUCCUAAAUAUAAAGCCGAAUUCAAUAAAAAAUAAAAGUUUACUAUACUCAACCCAUCCAACCUAGCCCAUUUGGCCCGAUUCCAAACAGAAAGGAAAAAAAAAAAAAAAAAAAAUCGAUUAACAUUUUCGCUUCUCCCCUCACUGAAUCUACUGAAAUCCUAGACAAAGGGCCCUUCCCUCUCGUCCUCCUCCGCCACCGCAGCCAAUGAGGUAGAGUUUCGGCGGUUGCUAGAUACUUAAAUAAGUGUUGUUAAAUUAGCAUUACUUUUUUAGGUUAUAGCGACACUCUUUAACCGUCGCUAUAUACCUAGCGAUCCCACAUAUAGCAACACUCUUUAAAAGUGUCGGUAAUUUAGCUAGUAGCACUGUUUUUGACCUAUACCGAUAUUUAAAAGUGUCGCUAUAAACCGUUUUUGUUGUAGUGAAUUAAGGUUUUCAAAAGUUAGUGUAAAAAGUGAAAAAUUAGAUAUUCGUAGAAGGAUUUUCUAUAAUUUUAGUGGUGUUGCUAAUAGUAUAUAAAUAGUAUAUAGUAUUGACAUUUUAGCCAUUAGAUGCUAGAAUUUAUCCUUUAGUACCCUUCAGUAGUAAGUAUCCAACGGUUAAAAAAUUCGAUAGCAUACACUAACGUAACACCUGAAUAGUCCCAUAUCAGAUGGGAACGAAAUUGUAAUUGGAUAUGAACACUAAUAAUCAUAAUCGAGCUUAAACAUUUUGCAUUGCUGGUUUUUACCCAAUGGGUUAUUAUUGUUAGCAUGCCGAAUCGUUAUAUUUGGUAUUAGAGGCGGUUCACCAGUCGACAGUGUGAAAUGAGUUUCAGCUGAGUUAGGGUUAGAAUGACAAGUUAAACCAAAGUCUGAAAAUGAUAGACUAAGUCAGGAUCAUAAUAACAAGACUAGUGAGAUAAGUCUCACAUCGCCUUACUGUGUGUGAUUGGGCUGAUGAGGAUAUCAGGGUCAAAAUGGAGGAGUCUGUAAUAUCUUGAUAAUCCCAUAUUAGAUAGGAACGGAGUUAUAAUUGAUAUAAGUGACCAUGGGCAAUAGUAAUCAUAAACAAGCUUAAACAUUUUGGGCUGGAGAAUUUGGAACCAACUUCUUAAAUCUAGUGGGUCGGAUCGUUACAACUAUUCACCUACUACUAAUAGUAUCCUAGCUGCACUAUAUAAUAUAUAAGAUAAUUAACUAACACUUAAUAUAAAAAUUAUGUAACUCUGAAAAUUUUUUAUUUAUUAUCUGCGGGGUAAGACAAAAGCUGGAAGGUGGUGUUUGUAGUAUAUAUUGUCUAUUUUAUUUUAAGAAUUUUAUUUUAUUUCUUGUAUAUAAUAAGAUCUAGAGUAGUAGUAUUGAUUUUUUUUUUUUCUUUUAUAGGGAAUUUAAACUCUAAUUUUCUAAUUCUGGUCAGUUUGUGACGUAUUAUUAAGAAAAAAGUAAACAAACGAAAAUGGUCUAUUGUUGUUUUAAUUUUUUUGGAAAAAUUGCAUGUUUGGUCUUCAAACUAUGAAUAUGGUGAUACUUUGGUCCUCAAACUUUCAUUUAUUAUAAUUUCUAAUCCGAACUUUUAGAAUAGUUGCAAUCAAAUCCCACAACUAAUUUAGUUAGCUAAAUAUUGAUAAGUUAUUAGUGUAAAAGUAAUGUUAAAGUAUUGUGAUUGAUCAUGCAAAAUAAAUUAUAAUACAUUGCAUUAUCAAGAGAAUCUUCUUCAAUAAGUGAGAGUCUCAUAUGAGAAAAAAUUAGUAAAGUGCAUGCUUUCGCACCAUCCAUAUUUCAUAUAUGCUCUUGCAAGAAGAUCAAGUGAGUAUCUGGAUUAAGAUUAAAAAAAUGCCAUUUAAAUCUUGGUGUACCUCGAUGUUAAGAAAGUAAUGGAGAGGAUCAAGAUCUUUCAUUGCAAACUGGAUGCCAAGUUCAUGAAUAACAUUAUGAAUAAGAUUAUUACUAUCAGUAAUAAUAAUAUUACCUAUAUAUAUAAGAAGAAUGGAAUUCCAUUAUGAGAAGUGUGAAUAAGAAGAGCCAUGAUAUCCCAACACUAGUAGAUAUCCUGUGAAGCCCCAAACUAAGCAUGAGGUACUUAUUUUAACCUAUAAAUCCAUUUAUAGAGUUUACAAAUAUGAGUUAGAGUAAGAGGAUCAAUAAAAUCUAGAGGUUGUUGCAUAUAUACUUUUCCCCGUAAAAUGCCAUGCAACGAGGCAUUGUGGACAUCUAGUUAAUGAAUAGGCCAUCCAAAAUGAACAGCAAUAGCCAACACAAUUCAAAUCAUGGAAGGCUUUGGCAACAAAAUUAGAGGUUUCACUGUAAUCAAGUGCAGGUUGUUGAUGAUAACCUUUGGCUACCAAACGAGCGUUAUAUCUUUCAAGAUUAUGUCAUUCGAGAACCCAACGAUAACCAACAACAUUCAUACUAGGAAUAAAGAGGAUAGAAGACCAUAUCCAGCAUUUUUAUAGUGCAUUAACUUUGGCAAGCAUUGUAUUUCUUCACUUAAUACAUUUUUAGGCUUGACUAUAACAAGUUGGCUCGAUGUCUACAAAUAUUGUAUCAAAUUGAAAUGUAAUAUCUAUUUUUCUAAGUACGAGAGUAGAAUUUGAUCACAUCAAAAAUUAAUUUACCUGUGAGACCCCAGAUAGUUUUAUAUAUGAGAUAUAAUAGGGCUAAAACUCCUAACCCGGCUUAAGUAUUUUGGGUGGUGGCAAGGCCCAAUAGGUUAAGAGAGUUAAGCGUGCUAGGACGGAGUAGUCCUAGGAUGGGUGACCCUCUGGGAAGUUGGAGCGUCACAUUACCUCUAAAGAACUAGAAAGGUCUAAUUAAUUAAAGCUUUAAAUUAAUACUAUACAUAAUAUAUUAUUAUAUAUCGUUAAUUCCUUAGUCCUUACAAAGGUAAAUGUCUGUAACUAAAUAUUUUGUUAGUUGGUAAUGAUAACAAAUGAACCGAGCUUUUGGGUCGGGUUCGUGCGGGGCUUGGAUGUGUCCAAAUAGGCCCAAAACUUUUCAGGUCUAAAUUUUUAAACUCGACCCAAAUCCAAAUUAUCAUUUAUUUACAUACUCAUAGUCUAGCUUAUACAUGAAUUGGCCAUUGUUUAGGCCCAGGCUCAGUUCCACUCCUACUUUCAUUACAUUUGUAAAAUAGGUUGAAAUAUAAGCAAAGUUAAAAAAAAAAAAAUUCCUCUGAGAGAAAAAGAUGCCCUCUAUGAAAGGAAUAGUUUUUGAAGAAAUAAUUAUAUUUAAUUGCAUAGAGUUGCGAAUUUAUUCCAAAGUAAUUAUGUUAUCACAUAUAUUUUUGUAAAGUUUCAUCAAAUAUAUGCCUCUCUGGUAACAAACGACUAUAGUUGAGUUUUUUCUUUCUAAAGUGACCAUCUAACCUUCAAUGAAUAUCUUUUAAAGCACAUGCAAAUGCAAAUUUAUUUUUCAUCUUUGAUAUUUUUGAACUAAUAUUCUUAUAAUAUUUUGUAUCAUUCUACGUGAAGGGCUUGUUUAUUUGCCUAUAAUAAAUUUUUUAGUAAAAAAUGACUGCCAGUUGACCGCAGGCAUGUUCAGAUAAUUUUUUUUUUUCCAUCGCUAUUUUUGAUAAGAAGUUAAUAAUUUUGGAACUCUAGUUCCUUUUAUUAAAUUUUAUUUUAUAAAAGCUUUUCACACUAUUACAUAAGAGGAUGAAGAAUAAAUACACUAGUUAAUUUAUUUUUUAUUUUAUUCUAUCUCUUACUCUCAUGUAAUUGACUUACCAACAACCUAGAGCGAAGUUAAUUGCAGCAAAUAAAUUUACCUUACGACGAAUCAGGCAACUCAAGAAAGCUUUUAUAGUUGAAAAUAACUUUACUACUCUCUACUUUCGGUAAAACAAGCAUGCUCGAACCAUAAAUUAUUAAUUUUACAAAUUUUUUUAAAACUAACUAUAGUUUAGAAGAAAAAAAUGGUUACAACAAUACAAAAUUAACAGCCAACUAACGACAGCCAAUAUGCAAAGAUAAAUUUAUAUAUUUUAAAGCUUUAAAAAGAAUAUUCGAUAAUUCAAACUUCAUAAAAAUAUAUAUAUGCAGCUUUUUUGCAACAUUAAUAUGAAAUCGGCUCCGGGGGAGUGUUUGGUUCCUUAAAAGAUCAUGAAAACUAUUUUCAAAAAAAGAUCUUAAAAAAUGUCCGUUCCAUCAUUUUAAUUAUUCAGUUUAAUAAUUUUUUUAAAAAAAUAAAUCUUUUUAUUAAGAGCCAUAUUGUCACGCCCCAGAUUACACUUUCCCCGGGCGCGCCGACAAAUCCGCUGUGUACAAAAAAAUUUCCCCUGUAUACGAAGCGAUAGCUGUACCUGUAAAACAAACACUACUACGAACAGUAGUAGAGAGCUGCUAGAGAAAGCAGAAGCUAAACAAACUGAGUUUCAUGUACAUAGUCCAAAUCCAAAAUACAAAGCUACUCGCACUGGCGAGUUAAAUCUACUAUGUACAUAAACUCGAAACAAAACAUCUACCUGCAGUAGGGGCACCUCUAGCUCAGCACGUCAGGUAGGGCUCUAACUCGCGACGCCCUUGCCUCGAUCCUGAUCCGCGGACGGUGCAGCAGCAGGAACCUGUGGCUCUGCAAAAACAUAGGUAACAACUGGGCGUGAGAACUACUGUAAAAACAAGUAGUCCUCAGUGGGUACCGCCCAAAACAAUAUCGGUCUACCCACUAAGUCUACAGAAGGGAGCAGGAAUAGUAGUACAAUGCAGGAAUAAAGUCUACCGCUAUCAAACACUACACUAUCAUGCUCUACACUAACCAACUGUAGAAAAUAUCCAACCUGACCCAAUCCAAUCGGGAUUGUAAGCAUACCCGUCCCCGGGACUGUGAAUACACCCGUCCCUGCCCCGUUGCGACUAUCGGGCUCUAUCCACACUAACUGGUCUGUGGAGAGCAAGUCCAACUGGCAUGAGCGACACCAACGCGAAAGCACAAAGCCUGACUCCGGAGUGGCACUCGUGGGCGCUACCCAACCGAGUAUGCAGCGUAUCUCUGUCGAGCUCAAUCAGGCUUCAACUAGCCAAAGUCAAGUAAACAGGGUCAAAACAGGUCUACAAACCAAACCCACGUGCCCUCGGCACAAUCUGUGACCAAAACAAGAAUCUGGGUCCACCGCUAACCCGAACGGCACCCAACUACCCGAAACAGCCUACACUUUGCUGAAAAAUAAGCUCGGCAUCUCAGCACGAGCGUAAAUGCCUUCUAAACUACCCCAGAUAUCCAUCGCAACGAUACUGCAACGAUACAAUCGAAUCACGGCUCCUAGAGCUAAAUCUGGUAGUUUAAGCAUAUGACGGGUCAAAACGCAGGUUUUCUCCUAAGUCAAAUUUCAAGUCCAACGUGUAUAAUAUAAAUAUUCAUUUCAGCAUGCUUUUAUAUUCAUAUUACGUCCAAAAUGCUAAUCGAUGAAUUAAAGCAUGAUAUACAACAAUCGAACUAUACACGUCGACUAAACAUGCACUUAGGAGUGAAACCGAUGAUACACCCACCUCGAGAGCAAAUUCCUGGCAGCACGAAACUCCCUUGGCUGCGACACAACCUGCUGGAUCGACUGAAAAUGUCCGAGUCUCAAAAUCAAGCUAUCUCCAAGCUAUUAAUAUCAAAAUCCACAAUUCAGUCCAAAUACACAACAGCAGAGAAGAGAAGGGUUUCGACCAAGCUAACCUUCACCAAAAUCCACAAGUAAGGACUUCGUGGAUUCCUCUCGCAGUCCCGAAACCAACAAAUCAAGUCUUGUCGAAAUCCGAUGCUCCUACGUCGAGUACGAGCUGAAAUACUAACAGUCGACGAUGAAGUUCAGCAAAACAGCACUUAAGCUUAAAUAUCUCAAUUCCAAUGUCAAAACUCACCUAACGAACUCCAAAUCAGGUGAAGAGGGUCCCAAUUCCAGUACUGGGUGAUAGGGAAAGUGACUCAAUUCCACAAAGCCCCUGCUUCCAAAGUUCACCCUAAAAAGAACUCAAAAACUUACAAUUCUGUCCACCGCAACAGCACCAGAGGAAAACCUGAGUUCGACUGAGCUAACCUCAACCAAAAUCUGCAAUUCAGGGCUCCGUGGAUUCCUCUGGAAGUCAAGAAUCCAGCAAACCAAGUUUCGUCGAAAUCCGACCUUCCUACGUCGCGCACGAGCCAAAACACUGGAGGUCGUCGCUGAAGAACUGCAGAAUCAGCACUCCAUCAAGCUGGAUCAUGGAAGUUUGAUGCAAUUUGAGGCAAAUCCGAGGGUAGAGAUGCUAAAAGAGGCUUCUCUGUGAAGAAGGGAGGAAAAGAGCUCACCAGGGACACUUCUCAGCUAUUUAUAGGGUGAAAAUAGGAUCAGAUGAACCUCAAGAGCAAAGCUUGCAAUCUGCUGUCCCUGCAGAAACGGGCGUUUCUGGGCGCCCGGAACCAUGUUCUGGGCGACCAGAACAUCCCGACUGCACAAACCGGGCUCCUCGGACUCUCCGCUCGCGGUGUGCUGCGCCCGUAAAUGGCUCCGGCGGAACUCACCUACCGCCCUGCCACGCGUCGAAGCAAGCGAUAUUCACGAUGUCGAAUUUCCGGACCCACAUCUGGGCGCCCGGAACAUGGGAUCCGAAUUGGCUUCCAGUUUCAGUUAAAUUCAACACUCGUUUCUGGGCGACCCUAACAAUGUUCUGGGCGCCCGAAUCUGGCAAAACUCCAGUUUUGCUUAUUUGAGUGCGCCGAGUCCAAUUCUGCAUCCAAUUCGUGCAGAAUUGACUCCGACUCAGUCCGACACUCUCCAGAGAUGUCGACCAGUCACUAAUACUGAAGCCAAUCCUAUCCAAAGCUCAGGAACACUACACAUAUUUUUCAUAAAUUUUUUUUAGAAAUCAAACCAAACCAAACCAAACCAAACCAAACAGCCGCUAACAAUUAAAACCCCUGUAGAAAAUGUUUCGGUUCAUGGGUGAUGACGUGGUGCACCAGUUCCGGGUAAAGAACCCCAGUCCCUACGCAGUGUGGAGUUUUAUAUCGUUCCUCUCCGCAACUCAACCCCCGCACCGAGGAGCCCUCGAUCGCGCUCUCCCCUCGUCCCCCACCCCGUUCGUAGACCCUCUCCCCUCUCUCCUCUCCCCCUCUCCUCUCCCUCUUCUUCCCCCGAUCUCCUCGGAUCUCGCGGGUUCCGCAGCCAUGGCGCAGCCCCUUGUGAAGAAGGACGACGAUCGCGACGACGAAGGUCGGUUUCUUGCCCCUCUACCCCUCCAAUUCCACGUCCUCUUCGUAGAUCUCGGUUUCUCUAGCGUUUCCCCCGUGGAUCCGCGUUUCCGCGGGGUUUUGAUGCGUCCUUUGCUCGGAAAUGGCCGAACGCGAUCUAGAUCCGCGGCGUUCGGAUCUGAUUUGUCGAAAUUGGUCGGUUUAUGUAGUGGAUCUGGUGUGAUCAGUGCGUUUCUAGUGUUGGAGCGAUGGGAUUAGGGCUUAUUUUGAUCGUUUCUUCUGCAUUGUAGUUGAUUGGUUCGGUAGAUCUGGGUACUUACGAGAUCUCGGUGGUAGGAAUGUUGUGUGGAAUUUGUUCUUAUUUUGAUAUCUAUUGCAGCGGAUUACUCUCCAUUUCUUGGAAUUGAGAAGGGUGCGGUGCUCCAAGAGGCCCGAGUGUUCAAUGAUCCCCAGCUCGAUGCAAGGAGAUGCUCACAGGUCGGAUUCGAUAGCUUCAUCUCUUAGUGUAGCAUUGACCGAUGCAAUUUUAUGCUUAUUUGUAUUCAAAUAUGUGUAAUUUGGUAAUUUAAAAUACUCGCAGGUUAUCACCAAGCUUUUGUAUCUACUUAAUCAAGGGGAGACCUUUACGAAGGUUAGAUUCGAAUUCAAUUAAUCUAUUAUUGACUAGUUUCUUCUUCCUGCUAUUAUUUUGCAUUUAUGAAGCCAUUGUGGUGGUCUUUUGGAAAUUCUAGGUUGAGGCGACCGAAGUUUUCUUUGCUGUAACUAAAUUGUUCCAAUCCAAGGAUACUGGGCUUAGAAGGAUGGUUUAUCUAAUGAUCAAGGAGCUUUCUCCAUCUGCUGAUGAGGUUGGAUAAUCUCACCUUUUUAUGCUUGGACAGGAGAAUUCUUUAGAUUGGGGAGGGAGUAAGCAGUUGGAUAUUUCUUUGUAGGUCAUUAUUGUCACCAGCUCGCUGAUGAAAGACAUGAAUAGUAAGACCGAUAUGUACCGUGCCAAUGCUAUACGAGUUCUUUGCAGAAUUACUGAUGGUACUCUUCUUACCCAAAUCGAGAGAUACCUAAAGCAAGCGAUUGUUGACAAGAACCCGGUUGUUGCUAGUGCUGCUUUAGUCAGCGGCAUCCACUUACUUCAGGUAACUUUUUUCCCCCAUCUCUCUUAAGCAAGUGAAGUAUGGUUUAGUACAUUGUGUUACUAUGUGUUUUUCUCCAAUAUGUCUAGACAAAUCCAGAAAUUGUGAAAAGAUGGAGCAAUGAGGUUCAGGAGGCUAUGCAAUCAAGAGCUGCUCUUGUACAAUUUCAUGCUCUUGCUCUUCUUCACCAGGUUUGUGAAUAAUUGUUUGAGAUUUUAUUAUAUAUUGAUGUGUUGUUACCAAAUGUCAAGCAGAGGAUUCAUCCUAUUGUAGGAAAAAUGCACUCGAUUAGUAAUAUUUAUUUGACUUGAGACAUUAUGAUUAUGGUCCUUCCACGACCUUGGAACUGAAGUAACUCUUCAGAUCAAAUCCUUUAUAUCGUGAGGUGCAGAAGAUUAAAAAAAAUCUGCUAUGUUUAGUUGAAGUUAUGUAACCUGAUUCUACAUGGUAGUUAGACACAGGGCACUCCAAUUUUAUAUGUAAUUUAUUUUUUGUCAGAAUAGUGGUAGUAGGUAUGUGUGAACUGAUUUUGAAACAAACCGCAUCUAAAUAUAAUCAAGUGCAUUUAGUUUAAUCUGUUUUUCUUCUAUUGUAGAAAAAUAUCACCUAAUAAUAGUGAAGAAAUAUCUCGUGUUACCUUUUUUAAGUGAUUACAGAAGGCUUAGUCAAUUUCAUUUAAUAAACUUUUCUAUAGUGUACCUCCAUUAUAGUUUCUUAAGUGUUCUCUUUUUGUUCACAGAUUAGACAAAAUGACCGCUUGGCUGUUAGCAAGCUGGUUACCAGUUUAACAAGGGGUUCAGUUCGCUCACCUCUCGCCCAAUGCCUGCUCAUUCGAUAUACUAGUCAGGUAUGAUCAACUGAUUCUUCAAAUGACUUACCUGAAUAAAUUUCUGAAUCUCAAGGGGUAUCUUGCAGGUCAUUCGGGAGUCAAGCACGAACUCACAAACUGGGGAACGGCCCUUCUUUGAUUAUCUCGAAUCUUGUCUGCGGCAUAAAGCAGAAAUGGUGAUAUUUGAGGCUGCGAGGGCAAUAACGGAGCUAAGUGGUGUCACCAGUAGGGAGUUGACCCCUGCAAUCACUGUGCUGCAGCUGUUCCUGAGUUCAUCCAAGCCAGUCCUUAGAUUUGCAGCUGUCCGCACACUCAAUAAGGUUACUAUUUCAUCAAUAUUUAGCAUUCAGCACUCUUUUUAUUCAAUAAUUUAUAGAUCUGUAAUAUAUAAUAUUUUUUGUAAUGUGAUCUUCUUUUUUUCCGUUUUGUCACACUCAAUAAGAUUAUAUUUUGGGUAUGGUUAUCCAUAAUAUCUCUAAAACCAUCUCCAUUAGUUUUAGUGUUUGAAAACCUUAUUUUUCUUCCUCACAAAGUUCUUCCUUACUGAAGACUCAGGAUAUUAACCAAACACUACAUAUGCCUUUUGAGUGUACCAUAUCUUUAUUCUUCUUAUAUCUCUUGUAAAAAUAAUGUUGCCUUCCCUUUUUGCCCAUUUACAUAUUGAUGAGAGUUUGAAGAAAACCCUAGCGUGAAGGAAAUGAAUAAAAAGUUAGUCUGCCUAAGAGCACUUUGCGUAGUGGGAAGGAGCAAAGUUACCCAGUCAGACCCCAUGUGUAGAGAGGCUGUUUCUAUGGUUUCAACUCAUGACACUGAGGUCUCAAUGGGCAGGACCUUAUUGCUAAGCCAAGUCUUUGCUUUCAAAUCCUGGGACAAAAGUUGGAUGCAAAAAUGAGUGAUUUUAACUCUCAAGUGCAGGCAGAAUCUGAGAAAUCUCUUUCUUUUACUACUCCGCCGCAGGCUUGUAUUUUUUGGGAAACAUCAUAAUCUUUCGGUCUCAGUGAUCUAUUGAAACAAUUCGUUCUUUGUUUGACAUACAUAUUGUCUGUUGAUAAAUAGGAGCCAAUAUGUAUUUCUAGCUACUUCGACAAGUUCUUGCUGCGGCUGCUUUUGUCAGAAUCAUAUUUAUUGUUAAAAUAUAGCAUGACUCUGCAUUUGCAGCAUAUGGUGAUAGUAUUUCUGAAUGUUUGAUUAAGGUUGUUAUCCUAUAAGACUUUACAUGGCCUGUAUUCUUAUAACUUUGCCUAAUACUUCUUUCUAGUUGAUACUUUCUAAACUAGCAUGAUAAGAUCUCACUUACCCUUCAUCAUAGUUUAAUUUGUUAAAACCUCUCGCAGGUUGCAAUGACACAUCCCCUGGCAGUUACAAAUUGCAACAUAGAUAUGGAAAGCUUAAUUUCAGAUCAGAACAGGAGCAUUGCUACUCUUGCUAUCACUACUCUUCUGAAGACAGGCAAUGAAUCUAGUGUAGAUCGCUUGAUGAAACAGAUAACCAACUUUAUGGCUGAUAUUGCAGACGAGUUCAAGAUUGUUGUUGUUGAUGCAAUACGAUCUUUGUGCCUGAAGUUCCCUCUCAAAUAUCGUUCGUUGUAAGUGAAGUGGCCUAUGAUUUUCUUUUUUGAAUCUGCAGUUCUGCACUUGUGUUUAAAUUUUAGUUUAACAUGGAAUGUUUAUUUUGUUUAUGUGCUGGGCAGGAUGAAUUUCUUAAGCAAUAUUCUGAGAGAAGAAGGGGGUUUCGAAUAUAAGAAAGCAAUUGUUGAUUCAAUUGUUACUCUUAUUAGAGAUAUACCGGAUGCCAAGGAAAGCGGUUUAUUUCACCUUUGUGAAUUCAUUGAGGAUUGUGAAUUCACGUAUCUUUCUUCUCAGGUAAUUACUUUGUAUCUUGUCAGAUCUGGACGUUAGUUAGUCAUUCGUAGAUUAUCUUUUUCAUAAUAAGCUACUUCGCUCAUCCAAAUAAUUGGAGAUGGCCAAGUUUUUCUUGAUCGGCUGAUAUUUCGAGUUAAUAAAUAUGCUGGUGUGAAUACAGUUUAUAUUCUGUUUAAAAAUACUUAGUAUCUCAUGAUAAUUUUUGGCCUUGAAAUUUAUUAAAUUGGAUGUGCCGGCUGAUGAACUCUAUCGUUGCUAUUGGUAGCUAGGAUGCGAGCAAUUGUUGUUCACCGUUGAUUCCAUUGCAUAGGAUCUGGGUUAAAAAACAAAAAAAGUAUGGAAGUUUCACUAAGCAAGGCCUUUGUUGUAGCUAUUGCAUUCUGGUCCAAAUUUUCUUUUAUUGCGUUCUUACUGCUAAUAUUCUGAAUGUUUGUCCUGUAAUGAUUAUGUACUUGUUUUAAAGCACAGAAUGAUUUUUGUUGUUAUUAUUAGAUACUUCACUUUUUGGGGAAUGAAGGCCCGAAGACAUCAGACCCCAGCAAAUACAUAAGGUACAUUUAUAAUCGCGUGAUACUUGAAAAUGCCACUGUCCGUGCUAGUGCUGUAAGUACGUUGGCAAAGUUUGGAGCAAUGGUCGACUCACUGAAGGUAUGCAAUAUUUAUGUCUGUACAUAUGUAUUUUUCUUAAUAUUCUUCUAUUAUUAUUAUGCAUUAUCUCAACUAUGGUGCUCUAUCUUCUGCAGCCUCGCAUAUUUGUUCUUUUACGGCGUUGCCUGUUCGAUACCGAUGAUGAGGUGAGAUAAGUUAUGAGCUUAUUAAGCUUGCAUGAGGGGAUAUAUAUUUGGAACUCUUAGCAAAUAUGGGAUGAUCCAUAGCUCCCUUCGCCAAAUGUGGCAUCCCACUAGUGGAGGAGAUACUAUAUGCAAUAAGGGAGUUGGAUGUCAUCUUAUUGCUUGCAGAAAGCAGAAAAUAACAUGCUGCCAUCUUGACUUAGAAGUUCAGUAGAAUGCGUUCUCUUCUUUUUCUACGUCAAGCUUUUCUCUUUUAGAAGAAAUUCCAACAUGUCCGCUAGAUGGAUUUACUCUCUCUCUCUCUCUCUAUAUAUAUAUUGACAUAUGUAGCUUACAGAAGUAUUUAUGCGUCAGAGAGACAGACUAGACCUCUUUGUAACACUUAUGGCCAUUUAUCAGUAUAGAUGGUUUGUUGGACUGGCUAAAUCAUGUCAGGACGCUUGCAUUUCUUUGGCAAGUAGCAGGUUAAUAACAAGUCAUCUUAAUUAUCUUUGCUUUGCUUUCUUAUAGGUUCGUGAUCGUGCAACACUUUAUCUCAAAGUGCUCGGUGGUGAGGUCACAGUUGGUGAAACUGAGACGGAUGCAAAUGACUUUCUUUUUGGUUCUUUUGACGUUCCACUUGUCAACUUGGAAACAAGCCUGCGGAACUAUGUAUGCUUGGAUUACUAUUUUGUAUUUCUGUCUUAUGUGAUUAUGCCAUUGGCUUAUUAAUAUUUAGCUAAUGUUUUCCAGGAAGCUUCCGAAGAACCUUUUGACAUUAAUUCUGUGCCAAAGGAAAUCAAGUCACAGCCUCUUGCCGAGAAAAAGGCUCCGGGUAAAAAGCCUACUACUGGCUUGGGAGCUCCUUCCAAUGGUCCUGUUUCAGCUGUUGAUGCAUACGAGAGGCUGCUCUCAUCCAUUCCUGAGUUUGCUGGCUUUGGAGCUCUAUUCAAGGUUUUGAAAAAAAGGAUUACUAUUCCUGCAUAAUCUAAGUUUCAUCUGCUCUCUUCACUAACCUGAUAAAUUACAUAUGUUCAUAUUCCCCUUCAGAAAAACAUUAUCUAAUACAAAAGCAACUUCGUCCAUUAAUUGGAUGACUCCCCAGUUUAAGAUAAAUGUAUUAUUGCAAGAAAAUUGCAGUUUGUAGGGACUAUAUAUGAGGAUUCAGAUUUUACUGGGUUAUANAUAUAUAUAUAUAUAUAUAUAUAUAUAUAUAUAUAUAUAUAUAUAUAUAUAUGGAAAUAUGAGGUGUUUGUAUGCGGGAAUGCCUCAGUAAGAGUAUAUGAUUAUUUGAUUAAUCUCCUUUUUUGUUUUACCUUUUUUCUCAGUCAUCUGCUCCAGUGGAGUUGACAGAGGCUGAGACUGAAUAUGCAGUUAAUGUCGUGAAGCACAUCUAUGAUGGGCAUGUUGUAUUCCAAUACAAUUGUACAAAUACAAUACCCGAGCAGCUACUCGAAAAUGUAAUGAUCUCUUCAUGAAGAUUAUUUAGUAUUUUUCUCCAAUUAAGUGGCACUAUUUCUGAAAUCAGUUUUAUUUUAUUUUAAUUUUUUUUCUUUCCCUAGGUAACUGUUUUCGUUGAUGCCUCGGAAGCUGAAGAAUUCGCAGAAGUUGCAUCAAAGCCUUUAAGAAGCUUACCUUAUGAUACACCUGGACAAACUUUCGUGGCUUUUGAAAAGCCAGAAGGUGGUCCUGCUACUGGGAAGUUCUCUAAUAUAUUGAAGUUUAUUGUUAAAGAGGUAUACUUGCUGUUAUUUCUAGUCUCUGAGAACUCACCAACUGAUUCUUCAGUUUAGUAGGUAUAAUAUAUUCUUAUCUUAAUGCUAAUUAUGGUGGGGCAGAGGGGUUUAUGCCUUCUGAAGCUUCCUCUAUAAUAAGAUGGGCUUUCAAUUGGAUCAAACUACUCAUACUUCACAUUAUUUUAUGUACAAGUAGUUACUCUCUGUAUCAGUCGGUUUGUCUUUGUAUUUGAAUUAAGCAGCAACGAAUUAUUGUCUGUGAUACAACAGUAACUUAUAACUACACAUUAUUCUCUUAGUAUUAUGAUAUGUUUUUGGAAUAUUAGGAUUCAUAAUUGAGCAGAUCUAAGAACCUGACCUUGAUUACAUACUACAUGUAUUGUGAAAAGAUAUUUGUAUCGGUUGGUCGUCGGAACCCUCCUUGCCACUAUCACACAUUGAGUUAAAAAGUAUAUUGUUGCCAGAAUUGAACAAGGGCUGCUGGUUUCUAUCAAGUCUUAGCUACUUGCAAUAUCUAUUUUAUAGAUGAGCUUCAUCCUCUCUAUAUGAGCAAAUAUAAUCCAUACACAUUAAUUGAGAUAGUCCAAGGAUCUCUAAACCAGAUUCAAGACUACAGCAACAUGAGAGCGGCAACAUCUCUGGAUUGAAUUUCGUUUUAUUUACUUGGAAGUUGAUGCAAAAUACAUCUUGUUAUAAACGCUGGUCAUAUCCACUGAAUAUAGCGACUUAUUUACUAAAUAAAAUAUGUAAGAUCAUUUGAAUAGCCAUUUCAACUAUCAUGAUUCCAUGCGUGCUUUCAGGUUGAUACAUCCACGGGAGAAGCUGAGGACGAAGGCGUUGAAGACGAGUACCAGCUAGAGGACCUCGAGAUCGUCCCUGGAGAUUACAUGCGGAAGGUGCCAGUGGCCAACUUCAAGAAUGCUUGGGAAAGCAUGGGCCCAGAAAAUGAGCAGGUCGACGAGUACGCACUUGGCGUAAGGGAGAGCCUGGCCGAGGCCGUGAGUGCUGUCAUCAACAUUCUUGGCAUGCAACCGUGCGAGGUCAGUAGGCUUUUUAUGUAGUCGAUUGCCUAUGCCAGUGAAGGUUACCAUUUUGGGUUUUUUUAUUUUCUAAAUUGAGAUAAAGUCAUCUUUUCUAUAUUAGUCGCUAUUUAAUAUUUCAAAUACAAUUCAUAUUACCAUGUGACUUCAUCGAUCUUUUAUGCAGAUUUUUUCAAAUGUUGACUAAAUAAUUAACUGGGGGGAAGUUUAUAGUGGUGUAGCUGCUGUUACCGGUCUCCACUAUAAAUUUUAUCGACUCUGUUAGUUUAAAGUGGUUUAAUAAGUCACAAUGAUUCAUUCGUAAAGUAGGCCCUACGAGGGAACCAGAAUAGCAACUUUAAAUGAUGAGGUCAUUACAUGGAAGCGGGCUAAUCCACGGGGAUCCUUCAAUUCUGCAGAUAAUUAAAUUUCACCUUGAAACCAUUUCUAAUCUGGCACUUUAAAAAAACAUGGUUUAAUGGCGCAGGGAACUGAAGUGGUGCCGAGCAAUUCGAGGUCGCACACUUGCCUUCUGUCCGGUGUCUACAUCGGCAAUGUGAAAGUCCUGGCAAGGCUGUCUUUCGGGAUCAGCGGGCCCAAGGAGGUCGCGAUGAAGCUCGUGGUGAGAUCGGAGGAUCCGGACGUCACCGCCAGAAUCCACCAAAUUGUCAUCGAGAGUUAACAACGGAGAGUUAAAUGUCUCCCGAUCUUCUUCUUUCUUUCCCCCAGCGGGAACUUAAAGCAGUAGAUGAAGGGCUCCCUUUCUGUCUCUCUCUCUCUCAUUUAAUUACUUUUCACUCGAUAGUUAAGAAAAACAGCUCUUGUAAGUUUUGAGAGAAGACCUUUUGCUUCAAGUUGGGUGAGAGGAUGUUUCUGGUGUUCAGAAAUUAUACCUAGUGAGAUAAUUCGUUUUACUUGAAGACUCUUUUGGCAUUUUUUUUUUUUUUUUUUCAUUUUAGUUUUUAUCUUUAUUUUUAUAGUAGAAUAUUGUGAACAAUCUUGUUAAGACUUUAAUUGCUCUAGAUUGUUAUUCUUUAUUCAGAGGAGCAGUAAAAUCUCUCCUGCACUUUGUUGUGAUAAAUAAUUUAUAUGCAUGUUGCUGUGUGAUGUAAUCGUUGUAAUUUAACUACGGUAGGUCCCUGUCUGGGACUUUUUUCACACGUUUUCCUUUUCGGUGGUAUGGGGCGCUAGCUGGAAACCGCAUUACUCUGGAUGAAUAUUUUGUUUUGUUUCAAAUUUAAGAUGUUUGAAUCACUCUGAAUUUCUCUGGGUUUUCCAAAGAAGUAUCACAUUUUUAGAUAAAGAAAGAAAGUUCGAGAGAGAGAGAGAGAGAGAGUCGAAUAGGGCUAGGGGCCAAUUCGGUAGUGAGAGCUACGCAACGUUGUUGUGGUCACAAAAAAAAAAGAGUCUGCAUUGUAUAUUUGUAUGUAAUGUAUUCUCUCCUCAAUCUCAAAGAGAUUCUUAAACUGAAUAACAAAGAUUUGAGCGGGGAUGGAAACCACUAAAUUUCUGUUUGCCAAAACCUAAAUGGUAUUUCCAAACAAGAACAUAUUGGAAACUCUCUAUCUUUUGAUUGUGGGAUUUAAUAGCAACAGUUUAAAAGUUUGAAUAAAAAUUACUAAAAAUUACUACAAAUUAAAGUUGAGGCCUCGGAGUUUUGAGGACCAAAAGUGUAAUUUACCCUUCUAGUUUUUUUUUUUAUUUUUUAUUCUUAGUUCUUUGUUUGGUACCUAAAGAGAUUUGAUGGUAUUUUUCAUAACGCAAAUGAAUCUUAUUCAAUUUCCAUGAUACGUAGUCAUAUUUGGCGAGAAUUUAUUUUCUAUUGAUGGUACUCAAUAGAUUAUUCCGAAAUACCACUUUAAAAUAGUUAUAUCUUCUUUGGCAUCGAAUAAAACAAAAAAUAAUCACAUGGACAUGAUUUUUUAAUCUUUCAUCAAAAUAACUAAAUAAAAUAGAAUUGAAUUUAAAUUUAUUCCAAACCGAAGAAUUUAUUGAGCAAAUUCAACUGAAUUCUUGUCAAGAUUUCUUUGAAUUCUAUCUCAGAUUUGGUGCUAAACUAAACAGUAUAAGAGAUAUUAAUGCAUGGAGGUAAUUGAAUCAGCAACUGUGGAGCAAGAUAAAUAGCACACAAAUUAUUGAGCAAUAUAAAUGCAAAAAAAAAAAACCAAUUGUUGUCUGGGCAGUGAUAAAGUUUCACCACAUUCUCUCACAGUAGCUUAAAGAUUGAUAAUCGAAAGUCGAAAGUAGAGCUAACAAAAUAGCAUAAGAAAUAUAACAGUACACUUACAUUUAUGUUCAAAUAAACUACCAUUAUUUCCAAUAUAUUUUUGUUGUCAAAAACACAGAAAAUUUAUUUCUAGCGCAAGUGGCAAAGGACUUAGUGGUUGGUAUCCAAGCUCUCGAGUUCGAAUCCUAAUUGAUUCACAUUUUCAGCUAAGUUUAUUUUUUAUUGAAAUAAGCGAAGCGGGUAGCAUGCUACCUAUCUCUCAAAAAAAAAACCACAGAAAUUUUGCAAGCAUAGGCUUAUUCUAGCUUUAUCUGCAUCCUCUAGAGUUUCUUAUAUAGAGUUUACAUACGUACAUGUUUAAAGAGGUCACUAUUUCUAUAUUUACAUUCGUAUUGCGAAUAACAAAUAAUCAAUCAUAGUUCCAUUGAUCAAAACAGAAAGAAAGAAGUCAAAUACCUGUUUGGCCAAGCUUUACCAUGUAACCAUUUGAAGCUUUUGCUGCGGCAAGAAGCUGAUUCAACUUUUAGCCAAAACUGAAACUUUAAUUUGAAACUACUACAGUUGACUAUUCAGAGGACCCUAACAAAGCAUCUAUUAUGGCUUCUUCGAGCAGGAGAGCUCUUGCUCCGUAAUCUUAAUUCUUAAUCAAAUCAUAAUCUCCCUAAGCAGGGAUCCGCUUUUAUCCCGCAACAUCAACAUCAAUAACUCACUCUGGAGUACCUGGCCAAAUUUCAGCAUCAUUGAGUUUCUAUUGUCGUAAGAAGAUGGAUGAGCUUUCUACUCAAAACUGAAGCUCUACUGGCGAAGCUUCUGCUGCAGAAACCUGUUCACAGGAUUCUAAUAAAUAGUUCAUUAUCGCCUUUUCAAAUAACUCUACUUAAAUAAUACUUUCUUCAAUGCACCCCCGAUAUGUUCUCCACCCUACUAAACCUACCACAUUCGUAUUGUGAUCUUCCUCUGCAACGUCUGCAACCUAUCCCGCAACCAUAACAAUUCCAUCGCAAACUCCUGAUUUACCCAUUAACCAUCUUAUUAAGCAUAAACCUCCUCGGCAACAAGCCCUCUCCACUGUCUCUCUCACCAUUUUCCCAACUACCACCAUGUCCUGCCACCUAUUCCUCACAAACAUUGCUCCAACAAUUAUCCCAUACAUAUCCCAGUUUAUUAACGUUCUUUCAACUAGCUUUACUCAACCAGUACUUUUUCUUUAAGCUCUCCAUCCUUGUAAACCAAUCGCAUUCGUAUACUCGUCUCUCCUCUCAAGCAUCUGCAACUAGCCUCUAACCACAAACAACUCACUCGCAUACUCCUGAUUGCUCAUCCCUAUCAAUAGAUUAAGUACUUUUUCAGACAUUUUCAGGUAGCUCUACUCAAUCAGUACUUCUACUAUAUGAACCUACACCCUAAUACACAACAUUUCAUUCAUAUCCUGAUCUCCCUUCGCAAACGUCCGCACUUAUCCUGCAACCGCAACAACUCCCUUGCAAAAUCCUGAUUCCCCGUAACCAACAAACCAUUAACCACCUUAUUAAACAUAAACCUCCGCGGCAAAAACCCUCUCUCCACCAUCUCCCUCACCAUUUUCCCAGCCACCACCAUGUCCUCCCCCCUCUUCCUCACAAACAUUGCACUUAUAAUUACAUUAUACGUAUCCAAAUUCGGCAAGCAAGCGCCUCUCACGCCCAUUUUAUCAAACAUCUCCAGCCCCUUCUCAAUCUCCCCCUCCUCGAAGUAGCACCGCAUGAUAAUAUUAUGCGUCUGCACAUUGGGCCCACACCCAUCGCGCCGCAUCUGGUCCACGAACCCCAGAGCCCGGUCGAACUCCGCCGCGUGGCAGAGCCCCCGUAUAAUAACAUUAUAGGUGGUCGAAUUCGGGGUGUAACCUCUACUGAGCAUUUCGUCGAACACCGCGAGGGCGUCGUCGACGGUGCCCUUUUUGCAUAUUACCUGGAUGAGCGCGUUGUACGCGGCAACGUUGGGGAGGACGCCUCGUUGCGGCAUUUCGUCGAGCACCUCUCGGGCCCUUCGGAGUUCGCCGCCGAGCCCCAAUCCGUGGAGCACGGUGGUGUAGGAGACCACGUCGGGGGCGCAAACCGGGUCCGUUUUGGAUCGCCGCUUCAUCUGGGCGAAGAAGUCGAGGGCUUGGCGGGUUUGGCCAGCGCGGAAGAGGCCGUGGAGGAGGAUGUUGUAGGUGGUCUUCGUGGGGAUGACCCCGGAGGCGACCAUGUCGCGGAGGAGGUCUAGGGCUUGGGAGGUGCGCUUGAGGCGGCACCAGCCCUCGGCGAGGAUGUUGUAGGUGGCGGCGUCGGGGGGGAAGCGGUGCUUUAGGGUUUUGAAGAGGGAGGUGGCCUUGUGGACGCGGCGGGACUUGGAGAGGGCGUCGAGGAGGGAGUUGAAGGUGCGGGGGGUGUGGAGGGAGGAGGGGGAGGAGAGGAAGAGGCGAACGGCGCGAUCGGGCUUACCGGAGAGGACGAGGCGCUCGGCAAGGAGGGAGAAGGUGCGGGGGGAGGGGGCGAGGCGGGGGGGGNGAAAAAUAAUAUAUUCUACAAAAUUGUUUAAAACUAUUUAAAACCUAAUUAUUUAUAGAGAUUAUGAGGAGGCGGCGGCGGAGGAGGAGGAGGGAGUGGACGCGGCGGCGGUCGCGGAGGCGCGCGGCGAGGUCGAGGGCGAGGUCGAAGGUGGAGGCGGAGGGAGCGAGGUCGCCAUGGCCAUGGCGACGGGGGAGGUGGAGGAGGGAGCGGAAGAAGAGGAGGGCGCGGGGGGCGUGGUCCCAGAGGCGCUUGAGGACGGCGUCGGCGAGGGAGGCGGGGAACGAGGGGGAGAGGUUCGAGAGCGCGAGGGCGAGGCGUCUAGUGUUAGGGUUUUGGGGGAGGAGGAGGGAGAUGGUGGAGUAGGAGGGGUUUUAUCGACUGGGAGGGGCAUUUCGUCGAACACGUAUACGGAGCGAGAAUGCGGGGAGAUAAACUCGGAGUGAGAGAGGGAGAGAUGGUGGAUUUGCAUGGACCCGGUCCAUCCUUACGUAUCCCGAGCACCGUUGCCUGAAUAACUUUCAUGCGGAAUUCAAAUUCAAAAUGAAACUUUAAAAUUAAAUAGCAAUAUACCAAUUCAUAUUUAAAUCAAAUUUCUAGAAUUAAAAAUUGAACGUAGUAUGAAAAUUAAUUUUGCAUUGUUAUCAAACUAAAAUUGAAAAUUUUAUUGUUAGUUCGAAUCCACUGUAAAAAUUUACAAGUUGCAUAAAAUUUGAAUUUAAAUCUAAGCACAAGUUGAACCUAAAAAGUACAUUGUAAUUUGAAUUCAAAAUUUAAAUUUAUAGAUCAAAUUCAAGUGUGACUGCAUUUAAAAUUUAGUUUAGGUUUAAAUUAAAAUAUUUAUUCAAUAUCAAAUUAAAAAAUAAACUUAUAUUUUACUUUAGAAAUAAAGCUAAAUUAAAAAUUAGAUGUACAAUACAAAAUAUAAUAAGUUUGGAUAUUUUCCGAGUCUAAUUUCUUUCGAAUAUAAUAUUUUUCAAUUCGACCUUCUAAGCUGGAUUGGAAAUUAGAAAAAGCGUGAAAGAGGAAUUAAAUUCUCAUUCUAUUAGAAAAUAAGAGACGUAACGAGAUUCUUACGUACCAAACACUAAUAUUCAUCUAUUUCAAUUUUCAUUACAGAGUAAGAAAAAGUCAAAAAAAUAACUUUAAUUCUAAGAAAUUCAUUGAAUGCCAAAAUUAUUGAACAAGUUUUGACCAAUAAUUACGCUAAUAGAAUUAGUUCACACAACUUAGCAAAUGACAUGUGAUUGAGAGUACAAAAUAAGUUGAGAAAAAUGAAUUAAUGCAUGCUAUCCUUGUUGUCAUCAAAGAGUCAAAAACACACAGAAACAUUUGCUCUGUUACAUUACUCCAGUCUCAAGAAAUCAAAUGUAUAUAAUAUUUUUUACACACGUAUACAAAUUCACACCUAUAAUAAUUAGAAAAUAAAGAACAUGCUGCACUAUGGCUAGCUUAUUUCUCAAAAGCAUAUCAAGAUCUCGGCAAACAUACGUACAUAUAGACACACGCAAUCAAGCACACAUGCAUGUGCGUACACACAAAUACAUAAUUCAAUAUUUAGAGAGAGAGAGAGAGAGAGAGAGAGAGAGAGAGAGGGUUUACCUAGCAUAUGGACAUCGGAGCAGAGUUGUUUUUUUGAGAAAGAGGUAGCGAGCUAUCUGGUUCAUUCAUCAAGCAAAAUGAACUAAGCGUACAUGAUGGAAGCAGCUAUGGCCUCCUAAGGAACAGUAAAAAGGAGAAAAUGAACAAAAAAGGAAAAAUAAAAAAAUACAAAAAUAAGAGAACAAAUAGAGAAAUACAAAAGUGAGAGAACAGGAAGAGAAAGGAAGGGAUCACAGGUCGUUUCCGACGAUCAUCAAGGUAAGAACGUCCAGUCGUUUGUCAAGGUAUGGACGCGCUCAAGAGCUCUAGUAGCAUUGGGGCGGUACUCGCGGAAGAUAGUGUUGUUGCGUUCCGUCCAAAUGACCCACCAGGUUGCUGCCAAAAUGGUUAGACAUCUUAUUCUCCUCGUUGCGUCGGGGAUGCUAGAAGUAUUUGCCCAAAGACUUCGCACAUCACUCUGUCCCGAGUCAGUUGGGUCUAAGCUUCCAUCACAGAAAAAGAGGUAUCUGACGAAUACACAGUUGCAGAAGAGAUGGUCACAACUUUCUGAGAAUGUAGUGCAGAAAACGCAAUGCUGGUCCACGGGGCAGCCUUGGCAAAUCAGUCUGUUGGUAAUAAGUAGUCUUUUGCGGAGCAGGAUCCAAAUGAAGAUUUUGAUUUUGACCGGAGUUCGUAAACCCCAUAAGUGUACAUACGUCGUGUCUCUCUCUCCUGCGUCGGUAAUGAAGUUAUACAUCGGAGCAGGGUUGUGCUUCAUAAAUAUGUAGCUUUCAUACGCUUCCUAUAAUAAGGACAAUGUUUUGGGUUGAAGAGAGAAGAGUGGUGGUUGGAUUCUAACCCAUCCCACCAAUUAUUCUCGCAGCAAAUCUUCACAGCUCUCAUUGAACAAGCGUCGGACCGGCCGAAAAGAGGAAGUUUUUUCAGAUUGAAACACCCUAUAAUCUUGAUCUCUUCCAGCGACGGAGCAUAAAUGUUUAGCUCGUAUAUGUGCUGUAGCUUCAGAAGCUCCUGCAGAUGGAUGGACCUCAGUUUCGGAAGUCGAUUUGGACCAGCUUCUUUUUCAUCUUCAUUAUUAUCAUCAUCAGAUUUGAAAAUUGCCGUUAAAUCGCCGCAAUAACUAAUGUUUAUUGUUUCUAUUAGAUGUGACUCGAAAUCUACUAUCGAUUCAGGUUCGGAUUUACGACUCGCCGACAGCUUCGCGGUGCGACCAAUUUGGAAAAGAAAAUUAUGGAGGAAAAAUGAAUGUCUGUGGUGGGUAGUGGAGGGCUCGGGCCGACAAUAUUUGUUGGAUAUAUUAUUAUUAUUGGAUAUUUUGUUAUAAUAUAAUCCAAAUAAUAUGUUCACAUACAAGUCCAAUAAGUGAAAGCGUAUUAAGACCCAUAUCUCUGGAGCCCAAUAGCUUAUUUAUUAAAAUCUAGGGUUUCCUACGCUGGAGGUAACACUAUUGAGCGUUCCAAACUUGACGUCUCUUGGUGUAAUACUUUAAGCACCUAAAAACCCUAACCUCCAACAAUAUUGACCCAAUUUUAACUAAACUCAGAUUAUUCACUCAGCUUAUAUAUAUAUAUAUAUAUAUAAUAGUGUAAAGACUCUAUAAUCUAUCGAAAAAUUAUAUGAGGAUUUAAUUUUUUUAAUUUUUGCUUUUGAUAAAAAUUGUAAUGUUGUACGAUAUGCGGUCUUACCAUAUAAUUUAUAUAUACUCUUUAGGAAUUGGUGUUACAAAGAAUAAUAAAAAUAUUAUCAAGAUAUAAAAACAUAAUAGGGAUUGAUCUAAAAUAAAAAUAAAGCAUCUACUAUAUAUAUAUAGUAUAAUAUAUAUUAUAGUAUUAUAUAUAUAUAUAUACUAUAUAUAUAUGAUGAUCGUCUUAUUCGAGCUUUUCUAUCCUAUAAUAAACUCAAGCUCGAUCGAAAUGAAUUAUUCGAGCCCUUUUUUUUAUUCAAACUGGCUGAUUUAAUUUGAGUCGAGCGUCGAGGCAGAUGACCAAAUAUUCAGUAGUCGAAUGCGAGCACGGAUUGCUCAUUUUGCCAGUCUAAGAUAAGAUAAAUAAUAAAUUACUUCCAAAAUAAGUUACAGAUUAGAGUAAUCCUCCUCUCUCUUUCUUCUCUCACAGUCUCUCAUUAUUUCUAAUAUAUAAUAUAAGUAUAUAGAGUGAGGCUACUGAUACUAUGGGAAGCACUGAGCUUCUUGUAGCUUCAGCUCGGUUUCGAUGUUGCAACUUUCGAAAUCGUCGAUCGUUCUGCGUUAAACUUGAUCUAGUAGUCAUUGAUAUACUAGAAAAUAAUUUUAUAUUUUCGAUAUUAAUUUCAUGCUAGUGACUACGAAUGGGCAUCAAAAAUCAACAAAUUUAAUUGGCCGUGAUUAAAACUAUUUCAGUUUAACGAUGUAAACAUAUCCCAAUCACGUAAAUUUUGAUAGAAUAAUUUUUUAUAUUAUAUAAAAAGAUCAUAUCUUUGAUUUAAAAUUUUAAUGUCAUAGUAUAUACAUUUAUAAGCUUUUUAUUUUACGUUGAUUUGAGCCCUCAUUCCUAGGAUAAUUGAUAAUCGGUAAAUUAAAUUAAUUUCUAGGUACUGUCGAAUACUCUUAGGAUAAGUUUAAGAAACGGAACCGUGAGAUUUCGACAGUCGAAAACAAUCGAAAAACCUGAAUCCUGGAAUCACGGAAGAGCUCGUGCUUUCCGAUAGCAUAGUACUCUCUAUAUAUAUUUAUAUAUAUGUGGAGAGAGAGAAAAAGAGUGCAUUUGGCGUUUUUUUUUUUUCUUCUUUUUAACAAUUUUUGUGUUGCGAUAAAUUUUAUAUAUAUAUAUAUAUUUUUUUUUUGGCUCCGACACCAACACGGAGAUCGAGAAAGCGGAGAAUUCCCGCGUCCGACCUGGUCGCUGUCGUUACUUCGCGCACUGACACCUACGAAAUUACUUAAAUGCCCUUACGAAACUAGAUAGAGAGCAGCGAAAGCAGAGGGUAUUUUCGUCAUUUUAGCGUAGAGGUAUUAACAAAAACUUAAGAAAAAGAAAAAAAAAGAAAAAAUAUAUAAAAAGAAUAAAAACUAGAAGAGGUGGUUUUGGCAGAGGUGUACUGGGACAGGAAAAAAAAAAAGAAAAGAAAUUAGUUGGAAAAAAUUGUUCUUUUAUAACAUUUAUGUCAUAUAGAAGGGUAUAUAUAACAUGAGAUAAUAAAAAUAUUUAUUAAAAGCAAUAUAUAACUUUUAUAUUAAAAUAAUAUUAAAAAAUUAUUUAUAUAUAUAAAUCUUAUACUCAAUGAUAUUUUAAAUAAUAACUAGGGGUGUAGUAUCCUCAUAUAUAUAUAUAUAUAUAUAUAUNUAUAUAUAUAUAUAUAGUGUAGAACUACUAUACUAUCGAAAAUAUAGAGGAUUUAAUGUUUUUUAAUUUUUGACUUUUUGAUUAAAAAUUGUAUGGUUGGGACGAUUGCGGUCUUCCAUUAGAUUUAAUAAUACUCUUAGGAUUGAGUGGUCCCUACAAGAUAAUAAAAAUAUUAAUCCAAAGAUAAAAAACGAUUAAAGGGAUUGAUCUAAAAAUUAAAAAAUCGAAAGCAGCUCUACUAUAUAUAUAUAUAUAUAUAUAUAUUCGAUCUUUUCGAGCUUUUCGAGCCUAGUAAUACUCAAGCUCGACUCGAAAUGAAUUUCGAGCCCUUUUUUUUAUUCAAGCUCGGCUUAUUUAAUUUCGAGUCGAGCUCGAGCGAGCCAAAUAUCGAGUCGAAUGCGAGCCGGCUUGCUCAUUUGCCAGCUCUAAGAUAAAGAUAAAUAAAUAAAAUUACCAAAAUAGUACCAGAAUAAGUAAUCCUCUCUCUCUUCUCUCUCUCUCUCUCUCUCUCUCUCUAUAUAUAUAUAUAUAUAUAGAGUGAGGCUACUAUGCUUCUGGAAGCACGGAAUCGAUGUUGCGACUUUUGAAUCGUCGAUCGGUUCCGUUAAACUUGAUCUAGAGUAUUUGAAGUACUUAGAAAAUAAAUUUUAUGAUUUUUCGAUAUCAUUUGCCUAGUGAUCGAAUGAACUAUAUAUAUAUAUAGAGUGAGGCUAGUAUGCUUCUGGAAGCACGGAGCCUUCCGUGCUUCCAGGUCGUUUUUGAUAUUGUGACUUUCGAAUCGUCGAUCGGCUCCGUUAAACUCGAUCUAAAGUAUUCGAAUUACCUAGAAAAUAAAUUUUGUAAUUUUUCGAUAUCAUUUGCCUAGUGAACAAAGGGGCUCAAAAUCAAUGGCUGAAAAUAAAAAUCUCACAAAACGUGAUAAUAUGACAUUAAAAUUUUAGAUCAAAGAUAUUGAUCUUGUUUUAUAUAGUAUAAAGAAUUUUCUAUCAAAAUUUCAGGUGAUUUGGAUAUUUCUACACCGUUAAACUUGCAAACGGCUCACCACGGCCAUUAAAAUUAUUGAUUUUGAGUCCUUCGAUCACUAGGCAAAUGAUAUUGAAAAAUCAUAAAAUUUAUUUUCUAAGUAUUUCAAAUACUCUAGAUCAAGUUUAACGCAGCCGAUCGAAAAUUCGAAAGUUGCAACAUCGAAAAUGACCUGGAAGAAUGGAAGGCUCCGUGCUUCCAGAAGCAUAGUAGCCUCUCUCUCUCUCUCUCUCUCUCUCUCUCUCUCUCUCUCUCUCUCUCUCUAUAUAUAUAUAUAUANNNNNNNNNNNNNNNNNNNNNNNNNGCCCGGAGCUCCCCCAGGGCUGUUCCUGUGGCGUCGGCCGCCGCUUCUUCUCCCUGGCGCCGCGCAAUGACUGAUUGCAGGCUGACACACGCCCAAGCCACCGCCGCCGCCCUUCGCCGCCGGCCAGCUGUGAGCACGGCUCCGCCUGGGCCGGCCACACCCGGUCCGCCUGGCGCGGCCUCCCUUGUCGCCGGAUGCAUCCUGUUUGGCCGGUUCUGGGCCGAACGUCCCUCGGGCUUAGGUGCCUAGGGCAUCGUCGCCGUCGACGUCGGCCGCCUCCGUCGCCUGCGACUGCGGAAGCACGACCCCUUUGACUGCCUUGCACUGCCCUAAGCCGGCCUUCCGCCGUCGGCCCGGCGGGCCCCCCCGAGCCGUCUAGCUUCAAGAGUAAGUAGCAUUGCAUUAUAUUGUGCAUGUUUGGGUUGUGUAACCGGUGUUCCGGCCAACGAGCGCAGUUCCGAUGCCUCGGAAGUGAGCACCGCAGUGUAUCUUUAGUCAGUGCUUGAUCACAGAUGGCUCACCUCCACGGUCAACGAGCGCCUCGAUUGGUGUCAUUUUGAAGUGUUUUUUUCAGUUUGGCAGCGCACAUGUUCUUUGCUGAAUGUCGGUCGCUUGUGCUCUGCACGCGCGUGGCAGCUGCUCCGAAAAGGUGAGCACGGCCUUUCGGCACGCCGAGACCUGUCAGCAGCUGUUGUCUCGGUUUGGCUGAAUGGAUUUCUAGUUUGUUAGACGGACAAUAAAAGCCGCCGAACAUCGCAUGAAAAUAAUGCGAUUUCGGGUAAUCGGGGAGGGCUUUUAUGUUAUUUUUGGUGUGGUGUUGUGGCUGCUGUUGGGCAGCAUGGUUGUGAGCAGUGGUGAACCUUUGGACUGAUUGUCCAAGGGCCCGGACCUUUCCGAAGAUCGUUAAAUUGCAUUUUCGCUGAUCUAGCGUUUGUCGGCAAAAUCCGCCGACGGAACGCGGUUUUUCGGUUGAAUUUAUUCAGACGGGUGCUUCGUGCAGCUUUUGUGUUAGUCGCUGCAGCCUUGUUGGCGGUCACUCGCUCAUUUCGACAGUUCAAGAAUGCAGUCGUUGAGCGACGGUGUGGUUCCGGCUGCGAAACUAGACACAUCGGGAAACCCGGGAUCACAACAAUUAUUCCACAAUAGUUGUUUGGUUUGUGUUAUCCUCAUGUGUUUUGCUGCCAUGUCACACUAAAAUAAGUUGGUUUUUAGUCGGCAAUGCGUAAUGAUCGUGGGCAUGAGUCGGAUGCUUCCCGGAUAGUUUAGUGGUCCCGCGGCGAGCCCGCGUCCCGGGAUGCGAUUUUCGGGACUUCCGGGCGAGCUUAUGUAAUCGGUAUUGGAAGUUUCGAUUUCUGGGAGUUGGUUGUGGGUUAUCUUUUAGGGGUUUCUUAGCUGUUGGGUUAGACACUAACCCAGGUGGACCUCCUUAGGUCCGGUUGACAUUUUUUGCAGUCAGGAGACAGGCGCGAAGUGUCAGGUGCGGUACUUCGAUCCGCGUUGGCUACAGUUGGUGCACGCUAGAGUGAUGUUCCUUACCUUGCUCUUUUCUUAUUAUCCAGUGCAUAUAUUAUUGAUGUUGAGCCUUUACACCUCUAUCGUUUACAUUACGACCCACGUGUUUGAUUAUACUCUACGUCACGUUUCAUAUGCUUAGUAUCAUGUGUAGGAACGUAUAAUCUAUCUGUAUGUGAACCAUGUUAUCUUGUUGCUUUUACUUACGCUAUUCUGCCAUACCCUGUUUCUAAUUUUUAGUAGAAGCGAUUCUUGUAUUAUCUGGAGAAUUGUGUGAUCUAGUCGGUCGAUUCUUAGUAUUCAGGUAUUGUGAACCUAUUCGGUGAGUUUCCUUAUCGACCUUUGUUGUCUGAUGAGAACACCGUUGAGGUCGGGUAUACCCUGAGCGGGUGAGAUUGUCGGUUAGUUGCCGACGGAUGAUUGAUACUUUACUCUAUCAUAUACUUGUGGACGUGAUUUGUCGGUCGAGUUUCAUAUCCUAUACUUGUGACAUGAUUGGUUGAGUUUCUUACCUCCUUGCUACUUGUGAUGCCGAUUGGUUGAGAUUUCAUAUCUAGUGAGUCUGAGUGGUCAGUCCUUGAUGGUUCAUUGAGCCGUAUUGCACGAUGUUUGAGAGGAUGUCGAUAUUGUCCCAUCCUAGUUGACCUGAGUGGCGGUUCUUGUGUGCUCUUUACAGUUGACGACCUAUUGCGGUCGAUGGGCCCUGGCUGGGUGGUAGGCUAUUGUGCGGCUGGUUGCCGACGGUGGUUGAUCAUUGAGCAUAUUGUAUUUGAUCGCCCGAUUACUUCGUCGCAUUUCACGGAACACUGGGCGAUCUGAUCACCGCAAGGUGUAGUGUUCUUUUCGGAAAAAGUGGUUGAAUGGGUGAACAACCCGUGAGCCCUAGAGCGCUUAUAUGCACUGUGAGAUAGUAGUGAUUGGCUUGAGGUCUGCGGUGCUGACCAAGAGAGCAUUGGUUUCAGAUUGGGUACUUUUGGACUUCUUGAUCGGUUGAUGCAUAUGUCUAUAGUAGCAGUCAUUGCAUGCAUACUUACAGUUCUUACUUUAUAGUUGUCUUGCUGCUAUAGUAGAUAUUCAUGUAUGCUUUCGGUUCCAGUUACAGUAGCGGUAGCCGUUAUUCAGUCUAGUUCUUACUUUCUUUCAGUUUAUUGCUACUGUAUUCGGUAUAUCUGCUCUUUACCUUAUUAUUGUUGCUACUAUAUUUCCACUGACCCUUGUUGUUAUUUAGCUCUUCCUGAUCCGGUGAGUACUCCUCGCCUUCAUCGGCUUGCGGUACCCACUGGGAGGGGAGACAUGUUUACAUGUUCUCACCUCCCCCACCAUUUUUCAGGUAUCGCGGGCGAUGAAUAAUGGGACGAGACGUGAGGUACGUGUGUAGCGUUCGAUAGAGCUUCCAACCCAGGUUAUUUCGACUUAGUUAUUACCCUUAUUAUUUCUGUUGAUUUAUAGCUUAGUCGGUUUACAUGGUUCAGUUUUGUGUUAUUAUCUGAAUAUCUGAGUUUUCAGUUGGUUUUGGAAUGUAAUAAAGGAUUUGUGUUUUCUUGAAAUAAAAGGUUUUCUACCUCUCGUGGCAGCGUUUUUUUUUAAGGAACAAAGGUUUCCGUGUAGGAAACAAUUUUCAAAAGGUUUUCUGUGGAUUUUGCAUAUUAGUAUUUCAAAACCUGUUUCUGUGGUUGGAAACAUUUUAACUGAUAGAUGUGAAUUUAUGUUUAAAUAUUGAAUGUAUAAAUGUGAACCUGUGAUGUGAAUGGUGCAUGAAUAUAUAAUCGUUGGUUAUUUGUAUAUUCAUUUGGUUGUGGUUGUACCUGGGUUACUUCUUGUACUUGUGUGACGCCGUGCAAAUACAGGGGAGACUCUGUCCGUGUGAACAGUGGAUUUCCUGUGUUUGUGGCGGAUCUGGCAUACUCUGGGGUCAGGUUUUUAAAAAAAAAAAAAAAAAAAAAAAAAUUCAGACGCUUUUCCGCUAUGUUUUAAACUAAAAGGGACCCCGGGGCGUGACAAGUUAAGUUCUUUCUAAUUCCAUUGUCUUAGUUUUCGUCAUCGAUGAUCAUCUUUUUUUUCCGAAGGCGAGAAAACUUUGACUCGGUAAUAUUCAUCACUAAAGCUUCUUCAUCGUCUUCAAGAAUUUUUCGCUGAAUAUAAUUUUGAGAAAAAUUCUGACUUCUUGUUGAUUUAGUUUCUUCAUUAUCUUUAAGAAUAUUAUGUUGAAUAUGACUUUGAGGGAAAUUCUUGUUUCCGAUUGAUUCAUCUUCUUAUCCAUCAAGUUCCUCAAUUGAUAUGCCUGUGUAGUUGUAAGUAAUUACCUCACCUUUUUUGGCCUCUGCAACUUUAAUAUAUAGUUAGUAAGUAUGAUUUUUUCAAGCAACUUUCUAAUUUCCUCACAAAUUGGUCAAUAUUAUAUUCCUGCAAAAUUGAAUGACAAAUAAUAAGUAAAUUUAUUAAAUUAUUUUUUGUAUUAUUAUAAUACACGUGGUACCUUUAAUUGCCGAAGUUCAUUAACGUUGCAAUUCAACAAUUGCCCCACUUCCUUUUGAAACAUUGAUACCCAAAGCUCGCCAGUAUCAUCAGCAACUUUUAGACGAAACAUAAACAUGUAAAAACUUAACAAGCACUUAGAUUUUUAUUUAACUUUAACAUAUAAGAAAAUAAUAUUGCUAAUAUUACUUAUAUUCAAUAUCAGUAUCUGAAUUGGGACAGAAUUUGCACUGUUAAACACCACUAAUUUCUAUAAUUUUCUUGUAGAAUCCCUUACAAGCCAUGUACCAAGGAUCUUGCUUUUUGUUUAACUCCACCACUUGUAUUUUUAACUCUCAUAACUGGAAAUAAUAUAUCAUCAAAAUUUAAUUUUUUGGUAUACAAAUAAAAGAACAAUAUACCUGUUUAGAUGCAUUAACAAGAUCUCCAGUAAUCUCCUUAAUAGUAGCUCUUUCAUUUUUCAUAUAUAUAUAUAUAUAUAUAUAUAAUUGAUAUUUGUUUAUAUAAACCACCCAAAAGGAGUGGGGGAGGAUGGUUCCCAUAGAAUCAUUAAAUAAUAAUCAACUUAUAAUUUUUAUUUAAAUAUAUUAAUUUAAUAUUUAUUAAUACAUUUUAAAAUUUUGAAUUAUAUUAAUCUACUUGUGGGAUGAUAGUCGUUCUUAAUUUUAAAGAAUAAUCCGGAGUUUUGAAAAAAUUUUUUAAAUGUCAUAUUAUUUUAAAAAGUUUUAAAAAUUCUUUUUCAUAAUGAAAAAGAGAAAGGUAUUGUUUUAAGUAAAUAAGCGUUUUAAAGUUUUUAAAUAUCAGUUGAUUAAUAAUAGAUCUAUAAUUAAUAUUACAAUAUAUUAAUUGAAUAUUUAUUGAUAUUACAACUUUUAAUAAAAUUUAAUCUCGUUAAGAAUAAAAAUUAAAUUUAAGAGAUAUAGUAAAAUUUUUUAUAAAUUUUAAAAUUUUUUAUGAUUUGAAGUUAAUCACAGAAUUAAUAUAUUGGAAGUUAAUGUGAAAACAUGGUUGUUUUAAAAUUUAAUUUUACUGUUUAAUACUACUACUUCCACUUUUUUUAUGUCACGUCGUCUUAAUUAAAUACUUUUGAUAAUUUUGUUUCAAAUUUAUACGUUUUAGUAUUUUAUCUAUUAUAAUAAACAACUUAACAAACUUCAAGAGAAAAAGGUUGGUUUUUACGUAAAUAAAUCUUUUAUUUUUUAUAAUUCAGUGGAUUAAUAAUAGAUCUAUAAGUAAUAUUACAACAUAUUAAUUUAAUAUUUAUUGUUAUUACAUCUUUCGUUAAAAAAAAAUAAAACAUCCAAGCAUAAACUAAGCAUCAAAAUCAACUAAACUGAUUGGAUUUGAGAAAAGAGGUUAUUUGUUUCUUUGUUAGGGUUUGUCUGGAAACCUUAAGGGUUUUUUUUUUUCUGAAAACUUUAAAAGUUUUAACGAAGCAAAAGAUACGUACUGAAAACCCACUGGUACGACACAACUUUUGUUUUUCUGUUAUUAAAUAAUAGUAUCUCGAGAGUUGUGAUAUUUAUGUACCAAGAAUUUCAGAAUUCCCUAUUAAAACCUAUAGAAAAUUACGCAACGUGAAGAUUGUCUAGUGGUAGAAGACAGUUUGUUAGAACACUCUUUUAAAUUGUUGACACCUUCCACUGUAAUAGUUCUUCCACUAAGUUCUAUCCGGAUAAAAUUAACGUUGAAGGGACUUACAUGUUCAUGAAGUUUCCAUUUUUUAAAAUAUAUUAGUUUAUACACGAAGACUAUAGUAUAAAACGUUAGUAUUAUAAAUUCAAAACUUAAAAAAGAGAUUAGUAGUCCGUAAAGUGAAAGAUGUUGUAGUUUAUGUUACGAGCUUUAAUUAGGUAGUUGUUUCCUUCGUUUCCUAAAUUCUCUUACCAUUUAUAUUUGCGUUAUAUACUUAUUAAUUGUACAUAUAAUCAAUGAUAAAUGAAGAAACUUACAUAUAACAUCCUAAAGUUUUUCGAAUAAACUGUGAUUACUUUACUUGUUUUAUGUUUUAUACUGCUUAUGCCGGUUUUANGAUGAUGUGGGCCUCCUAGGGUUGGGUGGGUGGUUGGUUUAAUAGUAUGAUCUAACGGAUGAAAAUGAUCAAAGAUGUAGAUCUAACGGUAAAAAAUUUACAAGCACCAAGUGCUUGGUGCUUUUACAAGCACCAUAGCCGGACUAUAUAUAUAUAUAUAUAUAUAUAUAUGGAUGCUGCCACGUACCCCCAUGCAUGCAUGCUUAUCCAUGUAUUUAAUUGAGGGUUGCAAUCAACACCUCUUUAAUUAAUUUUCCUUCCUCUCUUUUUCUCUGGAGCCGUACGUAAGGAGGAGGAGCUUGGGUGGAGCGUUCGUCGCCGACGUCGCGUCGUGGAGCCGUUCGAGCGCACGUUUGUCGCCGUAGCGUCGCGAGGAGGCCGGGCGAGGGUGCGAUUCCACCGUUCUUGACGUCGCGCCGGAUUGGAUUAGCGAUCGAGGUGGGUUUAUCAUCGGAUUUCUACUCCUAUAGCCUUGUUAGUCAACAUGUAUAGUUAGGAUAUCUGCGUUGGUAUUGUUUAGCUCAUAUUCAUGUUUAUGCAUUGUUCUAGGCCUAUAUAUUGAAUUGGGAGCAUGUUACUGUUUGUUAUUAAUUAUACAUGUUGGACUUGGAUAAAACAUAGGAGAAAACCAGUGUUCGGAACCUGUCAUAUGUUAAACUACCUGAUUUAGCCUUAGGGGCCCUUGUACUUUUAUACAGUUGCAGUGUUCUUGUGGUGAGUACCCCAGGUAGUCUAAUUUAUUGUUACACUCGUGCUGGGAUGCCGAGUCUAUUUUUACAGUAGUGUUUAGACUGUUACGGAUUAGUGGGUGCCGUCGCGGUUGACGGUGGACCCGGAUUUGGUCAUUUUGAGAUUUGAUUGUGCCGAGGGCACGUGACUAGUGGUUAGUAGCCCAAUUGGACUUAUUUUCUUGACUUUAGCCUGUGAGAGCCUGAUUGAGCUCGACAGAGAUGCGCUUGCAUACUCGGUUGGGUCGCGCCCACGAGUUGCCGCUCCGUAGUUUGGCUUUGUGCUUUCGCGUUGAUGUCACUGACUAGUUUUGCUAUCCACAGACUGUUUUGCGUGGAGGUAGCGUGACUUAGACAAGCGGGACGGUUGCGUUCACAGUCCCCGGGACUGGUGUGUUCACAGUCCCUAUUGAGAUUGAGUCAGAUUUGACAGUUACUACAGUUAGAUAGUAUAGAGACAGGUAGCUGUAGAUUUCUUUUCAGCUUUAACUACUAGUUUGUUUCUGACUGUAGUCUUAGUCGGUGGACCGAUAAUGUUGAGGGCGGUACCCACUGAGGACUACUUGUUUUUACAGUAGUUCUCACGCCCAGUUGUUACCACUGUUUUGUAGAGCCACCGGUUUCAGUUGCUGCGCCUUCCGAGGCUGAUCGAGGCAAGGGCGUCGCGAGUUAGAGCCCUACCCGACGAGUUGCUGAGAUAGAGGAUCCACUACUGCAGGUAGUUCCGGUUUAUUUUGUUGAGUUCAUGUACAUACAGUUGUUAUAACUCGCUGGAGCGAGUACCUUUGUAUAGCGUUUUGUUGUAUGUAUGUGAGACUUGUUUUAUUCUACCUGUUUGGUUUCUUUACAGCUCUAUACUACUGGUUGUAGUAUUGUAUAUUUUCAGUUACCGAUACGCUUCGUAUACUGGAAAAAUUCUUUGUAUACGGCGGAUUUGUCGACGUGCCCGGAAAUUGUGUAAUCCGGGGCGUGACAAGCGGUGUUUUAAACGUUGGCAAGAAUAACUCCGAUAUUUUUAAAAAGGUCGAAUAAAGAGUCAUUAAGUAAAUAUGUCAAGAUAAAUAUACAAAUAUUUUAAUAUAGCAUCAAAAAAUUUUUAUUAGUAUUUGAUUAAAAUAUAUUUAUUAGUGACACUUAAUUAUAGUGUCAGCAUAUGCAUAUAUUAAAGACGCUAGAAUAGAGCGUCGUCUAAAAAGUGCCGUCUAAAAUAUAUUCUGUUGUAGCCGCAAUAUUGAAAAUUUUGACAUAAUACAAUAAUAGAAGAGUCUCAAUAAUCACAAUCACACAAAUUACUUCUGACAAUUCUACUUAUGUACCGUCUCUAAUUGUAGUUUCAAUUUAGUACAUUAAUUUCUCCAACAAAGCAAAUCCUAUCAAUCAUAUCUCCUCUUAUAAUAACAAACCAUUAUCCAAUAAUAAUAAUAAUAAAACCAACACACCAACAUAUUAUUAUGAACUGCUAUAUAGACACACUAUUUGGAAUUCCUUUUCCUGUAAUUCCCUUCUCAUUCCCUACAUUUGAAGUGUCUGGAAAUAGCAAUGUGUAGGGAACCUUUGCUGGCCCCAGCCUAUUCUUCAGUUUUACAUUUUUGUUUCUUUCUUCUACCCUUUGUUCCACUUGCCGGAGGCUCUCCGCGAACUCAUCGAACAACCGCAGGACCUCACCGUCGUCGGUCCACCUCGACGAUGUCCUCUGCCCAAUGUACACUUCGUCGGCUAUGUGCUCGGAGAGCACCUCUAUUAGUGCCACCCCGAGAGUCGUUGUGAACCGGUCCGGCACCAUCUCCAAGUAGUACUUGUCUGGAUUGCCUAUGAACUCCGCAAACUCAGGAGUACCUGUAAAGCAAUCGAUUUUCUCCAAAAGCUUAGAUUUUCAGAGAAUUGUGUUUCUGCAUGAACAUGCUCUAAACACAUAUUUGAUUUAAAAGAGACACCUGAGUGAGACUAGAAGUCUAGAAAGACGUCUAAUCAGGUCAUUCUGACUCUGAAAUCGUGUAAAAUAAUGAAUUAUUUUUGAAAUUUUAAGUUAUUCGAGAUUUUUAUGUUAGCUCGGCAUAGUUUCAUAUCGACAUAGAAAAAAAGUGUGUCAAAUUAUACUGGCGUGCCAUUACGGCCCAUGCCAGUGGCAUGACAAAUCUUGGUAAAGAACAACGCGCCAAUAGUUUGUUUCUGGUAGUACCUUCUUGUGGGAUGAACUUUCGGCACCGUGUCGGGCGGUUUGGAGGGAAGCCAGCAUAGCCAUAUUGGCCAAAGUUGACAGCUGCAUGGAGGGCAGAAGCGAUCCAGAUGAGGGUGGUCAGACUUUGGAUUAGGUUGGCGAGUGAGUUCAGCGGAAGCCAGCAUUCAACAUCGUCGCGUUUGUCGCCAUGGCCAAUCUCGCGAAUCUCCUUCCACCACGAUUGGAGCUCGACGUCGGACGCGAUAUCUUCAUCACUAUGGUAGAAGUGGGAGCAGAAGUUGAUGACCCAAGUUUUAAUAGUAGUCCAGACAUCGAGUCCGUCCGCAGCGUAAGGAUAGUCUUCCAGGAGGAGUGUCACACCAGAGGGUUGGUUGGAGUCUCUUAUUGCUAGCCCCCUGAGGUGGUAAAGUUGGCAUAUAACAUAAAUAAAGAAAAGACAAAACGACACCUAUGAUGGUGUUUUGCUUCUUUCCUCGAGAAGCAGAGGCUCAAUUAUUUGGCAUAACAAAAAAAAAAAGACACAAACUAGCUUAUAAGUGACAAAGCUACAUGGGUAUCAUGAAGAAGUUUUACCUAUGAACAAAUAGAAUGGGAAAAAAGACAUAAUCUUUGCUUAAGAAAGAUUUCAGUUACAAGAAUGAAGCAAAAGAGUACUACUAGUCUUGAAAGAACUUAACAGAAAAGGUUGGGACCGAAAGAAUCUUAAAAAUUGUAGGAUUCACCGUUUGAAAUGCAUAUAAUCCAAGUAAUAGGUUGUGGAACCAUUUUAAAGCUGACAGUUAAAAAAAUAUGUAUUAAUGUAUAUAUAUGAAGCAAUUGCUAGUGGUAAAAGAAAUGUUCUACCUUUUAACGAGAUCUUCGGGAAGGGCUUGCUCGGUAAAUCGCCAAUUCUCGUAAAUGGUUGAGGAUAGCUCCAUGGCAUAUUUGCCCGGGAACAUAGUCCUCUCAAGGACCCCGCCGGCAUUUAGAAGUACCCCUCGCGCAAGCGCAUUUAUAUGCAUUGUGUCCUUAAAAUGAGGAUUGAGAAGCUUGUAAAUAGGAUGUAUUGUGCUCAAUUGCCUCCGUGUAGCUAUGAUGAAAGGUUCAACCGCCGCAUGUGUGUGUAGCCUACAAAGACAUUUCGGGUGAAAGCAUACAAUAUAAAUGAGCUUUGUUACAAUCUUUAGUUGAAUUCCUCUCAACAUAAAUAUGCAUUUGCGCUGUCUCAAUAUCAGAAUGUUAAUGCAAUAUGUAAAACCGUCGGUAGCAUAAGGAUCUCCUAAGAAACAAGAGAUAAAGGAGGCACUUGGCACUGUAAGUGAUUUUCUAUCCUUUUCUUAUAGAAUUUGAUGCAGGGCUGUGGUUUUUUAAUCUUCUUUUGAUAUCAAAUUUUCUUCAGGACAAUAAAAACAACAAUGCUGAAAAUACAUUUAUUCGGGAAAAAAAAAAAUAGAAUAGUUGAUACCAAAUCAUGAACCAAGAAUCUUUUUAUCGGCAACAUUCACUCACCAGUGACUAAUGAGUUGAUGGUAUCCUGAAUCAUUAACAGCAACAUGAGCUUUGGCUAGCAUCCAAAGUGCUCCCUCAGUGCCCUGGUUUGCAGGUAUGAACACCCUACUGACCUCUUGUUCCAUCCCUUCCCCUGGUAAGCUAAGCUCUAUCACCAAAGGCCUUAGAGUUCCAUCAUUCUUCAGGAACAAGAGGGUGCGGGACGCGUAGAUGCACAUUCCUUGCGCAUUUAUGCGCCUUAAGUACGGCACUAGGUAGUCGUGGUGAUCGAGGAUUAAAAUCCUCUUUUGCUUCAAAGCCUGUAUAUAGUGAUAAAAUUCAUACUUUCAGAAGAAAAAAUGGUAACCGUCAGAUACUCCUUUAAAGAUGAUAAGCAGCGAAUAAUGCACAUGCAAACAUAAGAUCUAAUAUAGAUCUUUCUCGACACAAGAUGACUUUCCAUCCAGAAUAAAAAAAUUUCAAGAAUGAAAUAAUACCAACCUGAGGAAUGGUUAAGCCCUCGAGCUUUCCCUGUAUAUGUGAGGCAUUGAUAGAGCUGUACUUCUCUUCUCUUCCAAUUGGCGGGAAUUGCUGUUUAAGGUACAAAACUCACUUAGAAAGUUUUUUUAAAAAACUAAAACAUUGAUUAAGAAAGUUCUUUUCAUUUGAUUAGGGGGGAUCCAAGACUUCUUACUUCUAAGCAUUUGAUCACAGCUGGGUUGAGCCCAGCUAGCAUUUCUCGUGUGAAUUCCUCGUCACUCCUCCACGCAUUCUCAUCAGCUGCAAAAGAGUUAGCUAAUGAUACUAACACUUGUGAAGGGAUAAAUUGCACCAAUGGGGUCCUCAAGCAAUUUCCAAAGUUUUACUUUAGUUCUCGACCUUUCUAGUUGGAUAUUUAUUUUCUUACUCUUGUACAAUUAUUUGAUUGUGAUUGUAUUUCUUGUCAAAACCUAUUACUUGACACAAUUGAACCCUUAAAAAAGUUCCUAUUGCAAAAUGCGUUGUUGUUUAUAGGUCAGGCAUUUCAUUUUUAUCAAAGAAAAAGAGAAGAAAACAAUUAAUCCAUUUCCCCUAGUGUUUUGGUGAAACUGGCUCACUUGCAAUCACUUGUGGAACCGGGAACUUCAAAGGGUUUUCCUUCGUCAACCGGAUGACUUCCUUAUAGAUAUCUUUUGGUAGGAGGGACUUCAACUUCUCCAUCACCACGCCUUCAACGAUAGACGGCUCAUGAGGCCUUGCGUAGAGGUCCUUUGUCAACUCUUUGAAUGAUUCGAAGUUGCCAAUAUCGUGUCCGAGCAGUGAUUUGACUUCGGGGAACGCGAAGUGCAAUACGGCUUGGAUCGAGUGCGUUAUGAACUCGGAGAGUUUUACAGGGCUAAACCGCUCAUCCGGUGGAACAUAGAAGUCGAGAUCUAUGAAUUUGCUCCUUGUUUCGGUUUCUCCAUCUUUGCAAGAGAAGAAGCUAGUGUUAGUGUAGAUACUAGGAUCAAAUUGUCUAACAAAAAUGCAAUAACCAUACUUCUUCUGAGAAGUCUAUACUAAACAUAUAACAUUGGUUGGAUUCGAGAACAUGUUAAAGUAUAGGUUGUGCACAAUUAUAAACUGUUUUGUUCUAAAGAAAAUCAACACUAUAUCUGUGUAUUUAGACUACAAAAGAUGAAUUUCCCUUUAAGGUAUCGAAUUUUAGGUGUUAUGUUGGAUCCAUGGCAAAGAACAAUAAUAUUACCUGCACGGCUAAGAGGUCGACCUGUACGGCCCCUGCAUGGAUAAGGGUACGUCUUGGUGCCUCCUAACACGGGCCUCACACGCUGUCUGCUGUCGGGAACUCCUAGAUCGUUGUAGUGAUCGUAGUCGUAUAUCCUCUCCCAUUGUUUCCUUUCUCCCCUUCCAUUCCCUCUAAGAUUCACUAGCUCCUCCUCCCUAAGUUUUUGCAGAGCUGUCGGAGUCUGAGUGGGAAGAUAGCUCUGCAAAUACAGCACACAAUAGAAAUUUUCUUAUCAUAGGCGGAUCCUUCUUUACCACCCUCUGAUUCAAUGCGACAAACCUGCUGAUAUGAAAAGUGAAUAUGUGACAACCACGCGAGUCAUUUUUUGUCCCAAUGUGUAGUUGCUUAAUGAUCCGCAUUGUCACAUUAACAACAAGUCUUGGCGUGGAAAGAGAGCAGAAACCAUAGGGUGGCAAAGCAUUACACUUUUAAAACAUGUUUGCUGAAGUAGAAUAGAGCAAUGACACAAGCAUUAUGCUAGGAUAUGUUCUAUCAAGUUUGUAUUUUGUAGGCUUUUCUCUAGUUCAAAUAAAGCUUACUGUGUUAGCGAAGAACAAGCGGUCGGAGUUCGUCUUUGUGAUCGGAUACACCCACGAAUUGCACUCGAAAUGGAUAGUCCUAUCUUCAAGUAUAUCGAUAGAUGCAAAUCUAAGAAAGAACUCAUGCCGGCCCCCAUUUUUCACUACGAUAGCGCCAGGGGUGCCAAAACUGUUUUCAACGGGAAUCGAGACUUGAUACGUCACCGUAUUGACAUUCCCAUGCUUACCAAUCUUGCCACCGUCAAGUGUUGCCUCCCUACUUAGCUUUCCUCUACCAGUGUCUGCACAAUAAACCAGAAUUAAUAACUAGUAAUCACAUUAUUCGAAAACGAGCUAAUUAGCUCAAGAGUUCAUAAAAGCACUUAACUGGGAUCAACUUGAGUGCUGCUAUAUAGACGGACGGUGGUUGAUUUUCUAGCAUCGGACUGUCCGAACGAUUGGGAGAUCACGACCGUUCCCUUGAGAAUUUGAUGGGCUUCCUGGGCAGGGACAGGACUGGGCUUGAAGCAUCGGUAACAAGACUCGCAUAAUAUACCCAUGUUAUCUACGUGCGGUGCUUGCGAGAUUAUCUGAGGAUUUCCAUAGCCAUCGUAGGCUUAUAUAGAGGUAAAGAGGUUAUAAGGAUUCUUUGUAGAGCAAGCAAGAUGAGUAUAUUGGAUUGACAAGGUAGAAAGAAAGAGAAGAAUGUGCUGCCUUAAGCUUUACCCUUGCAUCUGAUUUUGUUUCUCGACAGCCAUCUAGAUCUAUUCCAAAUAUUUUCUGCAGAGCCUAAACUGGUAAGUUCAUGUUACAUGAGACAUAUUGUAAUGUACAUGAACUUUUUCAUUCUUCUUUCCUUAAUAAGUUCAAGCAUUGCUAGAUAUUCAGUGCAAUCCAGAAAUGCCAGAAACUUGCUGAAAAUGUGAUUUCUGGAGAUUAGAAUACAGUAUAUUUCUUUAAACUUUGGCAUAGUAUUAGGUCUUACAUAUUUUACCGCAUAUUAUUCAGUUGUUAGUAAGUUCCCUAUUCCUUGGAAUGCCUUAGUCACAGCUUUUCUAUAAUGCCAAGAGAAGGAAAGUAGAAAGGUGAAAAUAGUUCGGAAAGUUACAAACCCUGAAGAAGUUAGUACAAAUCUGUCUCUUUUCUUUGAUGUAGAAAUCUUCUUUUUUUUUUUGAGAGCUUCGUUUAUUUCAUUUUAAAAAUAAGUUUAGGUGGAAAUGUGAAUCAACUAAGAUUCAAACUUGGGACCUCGGAUACCAACCAUCAAACUCUUUGCCACUUGUGCUAGAGACGGUCGGUUUUGAUGUAGAAACCUUGUUAUGGAUAAUCUGUUGCUUUUGGGAAAAGAGGAAACAUCCUGAUUAACGGUGCGAAAUCCAAUUGCAUGACAACAAAAAACACAAAUUCGAGAGAAUGGCUUGUAUAGUUGUAUUGCUGUCGAAAUCUAAGAACCUUUUUCACUUUGAUCAGAGUUAAUUGAAUAAGAAAAGAAUCCAGGAAAGGUAACCCAAAUCACAAGCAAGAAAUGACACGGAGCUUUUGUCAGAGCUAAUACAAUCAUGAAUUUAAGGAACUCAAGCUAAACUCAUUACAUGGAUAUGAUUAAUCAAGAAAAUAUUAGAAAAACAUCAGCAUUCAUAGAUAAAUCUACAACAACUUUUUAUCUUUUUGUUGAAUGGGAUUAUAUCAAUAAUGAUUAUUCUGAUGCAGUGGUUUGCAAAAAUCAGUAAAGUGCAACAGCAAACUGAUUGGAGAAAGCAACAUAUAUAAGUUUGGAUGGAUGAGCUAAUGGCGGAUCAAGUGAUGAUACAAUUAAGGAAUUAAUUGUGGGUGAAUCAAAUUCCCAAAAUCAGGAAUCUACCAACUUUGACAAGUAUUCAAAUUAUAAGCAAUUGUGGAAAUUCAAGAAUGGCAAUCUCUCAAGUAUGGCAACCACUCCAAAUAGAAAAUAUUUGGAUUCAAAUAUUGUACAUUUUUAGAAUGUAAUUAUGUAAAUAUUGUAAUCCCAAGAAUAAUGGGAUUAUAUUUUGUAUUCAGUAAUUGUAUAUAUUGAAAGUGGAUUUUGUGUGUUCUCUAUCGAGAACAACAACCAUUUUUCCACUAAUUACAACUUCCUUCAUGAGCAAGAUAUUCCAAAGUGGAAGUGCGCAAGUUGCCAACGAGAAGAAAUAUGACGCAAGCGUAUAAUGCAUGUAGUGAUGAUCAAAUUUCUCAAGAACGACCGAUCGUCCUUAGAGCAAGUGGUAAAGGGCUUCGUGGUUGGUACUCAAGACCUAAGUUCGAAUCCUAGUUGAUUCACUAAGUUUAUUUUCUAACUGAAAUAAACGAAACGAGUAGCGUGCUACUUAUCUCUCAAAAAAAAAAAAAAAUCUCUCAAGAACAUAGAUACCAAAUUUGAUGUAGUUGAACCCUACAUGGAGGUAACAUCGGCGAGCAUUUUUGCAGCAGUAACAUAGAGUUUGAACUUUGAACUCGAAGCAUCGAGUUUGUUCUCCAAGUUGAAUGCCAGAUGGUGGUGGAAGUUUCACAUGGCACCGGAACUUCAAUGGAACAAGAUUAUUCGAGCUUUAUACUACCGUAGAAGGAGACCACUCUAUACUGGUGUUUUUGGUUGGAGGUUAGGAUGGGAGGAUAAGGGGUUAUCUCCUUUUUAUCUCCUAUAGUAGUAAGAUUGAAAAGAGGUGGGGUUUGGAUACGUUUAGGGAUGGGGUUAACAAAUCCUACCCCUGGAAUUAGGAUGGAUUAGCUAAUUCUACUCUAAUUUAAUUUUUAUAUUUAAAUUUUAAAUUUUAAAUUUUAAAUUAUUAUUUUUAAUUUUUAAAAUUUAAAAUUUGAUAUUUGAUAUUUUAAAAUUUAGAUUUAAUCUUAAAUUUAAAAUUUAAAAUUUAGAACUUUAAAUUUUUAAAUUUAAGAUUUAAAAAAUUUAAUUUUAAUUUUGAGUUUUUCAAUUUUAAAAGUUAUAUAUUUCAAUUUUGAGUUUUUCCUUUUAUAUGUAGAUUUUGAAGUGUAUGAUUUAAUGUGAUAUUUUUCUAACAACAACCUACAAUAUGCAUGUAGUUUCAAAGUCCAACUGAGAGUGAUAGACGAGUCUGGGAGUGCUUUGUUGAUUUUAUUUGAUCGUGAGGUUGUCCAGUUUCUGCAAAGUACUGCCGCGCAAUUACACCAACAAGUUUUAAUGGUAAGUGCGUAUUAUUUAUCAUAAAUAUAUAUAGUCUGUUUUUUAUUUUUUAUAUACUAAUAGUAAAUAUUCUUACUCAGACGGGUGACAUGAGUUUGGCACCUGAAAAGCUUGAUGAGUUUCUGAAAAAAAUAAUGCUAUUCAAGAUAAGGAUAAAGGACAAUAAUAUCAAUCAUCCUAAGCUUGUGUACACAGUGAACAAACUGAGCAGCGAUAAAACUCUGAUUGAUGAAUUUUUGAAGAAGUCAAUUUUAAUUGAGGUAAUUGGCAAUUCUAAAUUUUAAUAUGAUGCUACAAUUCAGGUCGAUCUAUAUAUUUUUUAAUAGCAUAUAUAUAUUAAAAGUAGUUUAAUUUGAUAUGAUUUAAUUUUUAACAUAAAUUUUUAUAUGUUUGUCAUUAUAGGAGUCCAAUUCUGUAACGUGCGAUAAUGAAGAAUCAGAUAUUACAUCACCGAACACACUGACUCCAUUAAAGCGCAAAAAACUCUAUCAUUGCAGAAGACGACUUUACGCAAGGAGAGCAUCAGAUGUCAAGCUGUAAUAGGCUGAAACUUGAUUAAAAGCUAAUUGUGAUCAAAGUGGGCACAAUAAUGCUAAAAUGGAAAUUAAAGACUUCUAAACUGAAUUAGAAGCUUGAGAUCAGUCAUUGGCACACUUUGGAAGUGUGGGAAUAGAUACAAGUGGAAAAGAAGUGACAAAAGAAUUCCAAUUGCCAUGGUAACUCGAAUGCUGAAUUUUGUAGUCGAUUUGGUCGAAAUGAACCAUAUGAUGUCAAAAUGAAAAGGAAUUGUUUCCAAAUUAAAUUGGUAGCUUGGGAAGGUCCCUUGGUGUAUUUUGGAAGUGUUUGGGUGAAAUCGGAGCGAAAACAGAAGAUUUGAAAUUUUCUGUAAAGAAUGGGACUGAGAAAAUUAGCAGAAAAUGCACAGUGUCAGAAAAUUAUGAAAAUUCGCAGAGAUGUCAGGAACAUUAUUAUGAGGCUAGAUUUGAAGUUUUAUAUUUUUCUAACACCUGUAGAGAGAGAAAUAGCAUCUGAAAGUUAUCGGAUAAAGAUUACAGUUCGGGACAGUUCGCAGUGACCAAACGGGGUCGAAACUGAAAUGUUAAAAUUUCAGUGGACUUGUCAAGUAAAAACGAACAUUCCUGCCAAAUUUGAGCUCAAUCGGACUGUCGGAAGGGCCUGCGAAAGGUAUUUGAUCCGCGCGGCUAAACGGAUUAGUCGAGGGGCAAAAUGGUAAUUAGCUAUGGCUUAGUGGAAUUCCACUAAACCUGCCAACAGGGGAGCUCCAUCCUUAUCCCCCUUCUGCAGCCCAUACGUAGAGAGAGAAGAGAAGAAGAAGAAGAAGAAGAAGAAAAAGAAAGGUGAGAAUUUUAUUUCCUCUCUCUCUCCUUGCUUUGUUUCUUCCCUUCUCCCUGCUGUCAGCCUUAGCAGCGAGCAGCAGCAGCUUGCUCAGCAGCAGCAGCAGUGGCAGCUGCUGCCAGCAGCAGCAGCAGCAGCAGCAGCACAAGCAACCUGCUGCAGCAGCAGCAGCUUAGCCAGCUGCUGCCAGCAGCUUCAGCAGCAGUAGCUUCAGCAGCAGCAGCUUCAGCAGCAGCAGCAGCUUCAGCAGCUAGCAGCAGCAGCAGUGGACAGCAGCAGCAGCUGCUGGAGUAGCAGCAGCAAUAGCAUCAGCAGCAGCUGCAGCAGCCAGCAGUCAGCAGCAGCAGCAGCUCAGCAGGAGCUGCUGAGCAGCAGCUUCAGCAGCAGCAGCCAGCAGCAGUGGCAUCAGCAGCAGCAGCUGCUGGAGUAGCAGCUGAGCAGCAGCAGCAGCAGCAGCAUGCGCAGCAGCAGUGGCAGCAGCAGCUGCUGCCCUGCAGGGGCAGCAAGCAAGAAAAGAAAGAAAAGAAAGGAAAGGAAAGGAAAGAAAAGAAAGGAAAGAAAAGAAAGGAAAGAAAAGAAAAGAAAGCAAGAAAGAAAGAUAAUGAAAUAGAGUGAAAGAUGAAUCGAAGUAUUUAGACAGUUUUUACUAACUGAUUUGAGGUCCUUGGGCUAAUAAAGAGUUGAAUUACUCUAUUGAAUUGUGAAAUUGCAUUGAAAUAGUGUUUUUGAGAAAACUGACCCCGGCAAUGCACUUUUGCAAAAUAAGAAUCCUAAAGUGAAAUUGACCGCGUAUAAACCAAAUUGAGGGUAAAAGAAACGCGUUGGCGAAGUCGGUUCGGCAAUCCGACGAACCUACGCAAAGAUAUCGCCAAAAGAAGGUUUUCGGCUAUAGUUGCCGCUUUCUGUAGCAUUGAAAUGCUAACUUGUAAAAUAUGAGCGAUGACUCUAGUUUAAUCUCUCCUAGUCUUAUGUAAAUGAUAAUUGAACAUGUUCGAAAGUCUAAAUUGACUUUUCUACAGGUCGACGACGCGCUAAUUACGGUAGAGGCCGUUCUAGUUCUAUUUGCACGGAGUCGCGACAGAAAGUUGUCGACGCUUUUCGAGACCCUGAUCUUAGUGGAUUGACACCACUACAGGUGGGUCGGAUCUUCCCAAAAUGGGUGAAUUUCCUCUAUGUCUCCUUUGACAUCUGAGUUGAAGUUAUUUCAUAUUCUUGUGAAUAUAUGUAUAGUUUAAAGCAGUGAGACAUGCACUGAUAUGUAGAUCAUAUCGGAAAUGAUAGCAUCUUUAAAUGGUAAUGAAAGAUUCAGGACUUGUCCAUUCUACAUGGUUACCUGUUAGGUACUAUGAAUUCAUGAUCCUAGUAGCUGGUAUAUGCAAUUUGGCUUGUUGUUAUCCACGAGGAUAGCAUGGUAAGUUCGUGAAUGGACUAAUUAGUUCUGUUGAACAACAAAGAGAUUGAUGUAUUUAGGAUUGAGCUAUGCAAUAUUAUGUAUAAUUGCUAUACUCUGAAAGUUCAGGUAAAGGCCUUUGUUUGGCAUAUGCAUUUCUAAUUGUAGAAUGAAUGGCAUAGAGAUCAUGAGAAGAGUGUUUUAUCGCUUGCAUUACCUUGUUAGUUUCUACUUUCACAUGAUAGACUGGUAUUAUGGUAUAUGUUCUAGUAAGUAACUAGACUUUCAUAUGAUGGCAUAACUUGAAUGAUUAUUCAACUAAAUAUAAUCUAGUAGAUAACUAGAUUUGGAUAUGAUAACAUACUUGUAUAGUCAAGUAGAGAUUUAUAUUGGACUACAGGAUAUGUGCCAUGAGUCUUUGAACAGAACAUUAGCAAACCACUUUCCUUAUGUGUAAGGAGUAGUGAGAGGUUGUGAAUCACUGACCAGGUAUAGCCUGUUAGAGUCAUGAGUGUGAUGUAAAGCCUUAACUUGUCAAGUUAUACUAGUUAUUGGUAGAAUCAUAUCAACAAGUUGUUGAUAGUGACUUAUGAUUGGGUACUACAAUGCCGACCUUGGGUCGAGUUGAGAUUCCAUGUCAGAGACAUGAUGCUGUUGAGAUAUUUGUACCCUGGACUAUAGCUAGCAUGCCAUUAUGCUCUUUCGUACAUGCUUGCGGGGGUCGCGCCCCCCAAGCCUCGCGUUCCGGAGUGGCUUGAGUUGAGAUUCCAUGUCAGGGACAUGAUGUUGUUGUGAGACUGGUACUGUGGACUACGGCUUGCAUGCCAUUGUGUGCGUUUGCACACGCUUGCGGGGUCGCUCCCCCCCAAGCCAGCACUCCCGAACAGCUUAGCGACAGAUGCUCGCAAAUGUACGAAGUGAGUGCCGAAAUGGAAUGCCGUGGGGGAGGCUCAUUCCUCGAGUGGGGAUGUUGACUACCACGGGGCUAUUAGGCACGGCGCGGCUUGAACUUACCUUGGGUAAGUCUGUUGGAAAUUGGGUUAUGACAAGUACUUUAACCUUAGCUGGACAUAGUAAUAUAGUUACUUUAUGUCUUUGGUUAAGUGAACUUAUUGAUGAACAUACUAGAAAGUUGACAUCUAAAGUGAGCUUAGUGAUGAACAACCUAGAAGUUGACAUCAUGAUUGGUUAGCAACAUAAUGAAUGACAUUAUGUCUCUUUCUUGCUAUGGAACAAGGUAAUUACAUGAUAUCAUCUGUAAUUUUAGUAAAGUGAAUUAUCUUGCAUACAUUCUGAUAUAUGUUUGGUUAAAUUGUCAAGUAAUAUGAUUGAUAGAAUCUAUCAUGAUAACUGAUACCUGCAAUCUAUUGUUAUUUAUUUAUGGUUGAGCAAAUAGCAUGAGUAGUUUACUUCCAUAUCUGUUGCAUAUAAUUGCUUAUUGUAUUAUCUGCAUUUACUCGCUUAUUUAUUGCUAUCUACUCAUGCCACAGUUGACCUAGUGGUGUACUUCGCCACUCUCGGCGGCUUACCCACUGGGAACUAUUGUUUAAUAGUUCUCACGCCCUCUUUGUUGUUGUUUUUUUUUACAGAGCCUUCCACAGCGGGAAAGGCUAGGGUUCCUGGCGAGGGGUCAGCGACUAGCUAGAGCCUUUUUGGACGUGUACUAGAUCACCUCCAGCAGUUUAUAUAGUUUAGUAUCGAGAUGUAUAUUAAGUUAUUAUAAUUGUACUUUAUUCUUAUUUUCUGUUCUAAGGCUUGGAUUGUAUAAGUCUAAACUUAUAAGUCUUGCUCUGAUUACCUAGUUGAAUUAUAUGCUUUUACUAUAUGGUUUGUAGACGCCUUGUGUAUACUUGCGUUGUGGUGUACACGGCGGGUCUGUGCACGCAACCGGAUAUGCUUCCGCUGGUACCCGGGCGUGACACAAGCAACAAGCAGAAAAUAUUUAUCAAGAAGGAAAAAGACUAAAUAAUUUUGAUGCUUAUAUCGGAGAUUGGGGAUUUUAAGUAUUAGCCAUUUUGGACAUUUGUUUAAUUGUAUUUUGGUAAUAUUUUGGAUAUUUUAAGCAUUAGACAUUCCCAUUUUUGAUAUUUUAAGCAUUAGUCAUUGUCUUUUUUAAAAAAAACUUUCUUUGAAAUAAAAUAUUUACUUAAGCAUUAGUCAUUGUCUUUUUUAAAAAAAACUUUCUUUGAAAUAAAAUAUUUAAUUAAAAAAUUAGUUCUUAAUGUAGUCUUUGUCUUUUUUUUUUUUAACUUUCUUUCAAAUAAAAUAUUUGCUUUAAAUAUUUGCUUUUUUUUGGGAGGGAGGUGGGCGAACUUUUACAAAAAGGUUUUUUUGGGAGGGAAGUGUUUCAGAACUUAAUAUAGGUGAGCAGUUUAUUUUUCAUGUUAUUUCAAAAUUUAUAAUUUUUCAACAAUUCAACUUUGUCAUUUUAUUUUUUAAAUAAAUUUAGAUAUUUUUCUGAAAAAAUUCACUAAUAUUAUGAUAUUUAUCAUUUAACUUAUUUAACAAUAUAUCUAUAUUGUUAUUGGAGCAGGUAUUUUCCAUCUUCAUUCAAUAAAGUUUUUUUUCUUUAUAUUUUUUUGAAGGCCAACAUCUAUAUAUUUUUGAAUUUUAAAAAUUUGCAUGUCUCUUAUAUACGUGUGCUUACUAUAAUUUGUGUCAAAUAUGAAAGUUUAGUUGAUCUUAUUAUAUGCUUAAAUAUUAAUGUCAUUUGUAAUUUUUCAUAUCAAUUUUAGUUAUCAUUUUGCUUUGCACAUCAAUAUGUAAAUGUAAAUUAUUUUGCACACCAAUUCAUAGAUAAUAGAGCAGCAUUGAAUUUUGCUUUUUACUUGAGUAUUUACUUUGGUCCAUAAUUUUUUUUCUCUAGCUUUUGUACUUUAAUAUGUACUAUAAUUAAGAUUGAUAGUAUAUUUUUUUAUUUGUUAAAAAAAUAUAAUAUUAAUUAGAAUAUUUUUUUUAUCAUCACAUAAUAACUUUUGUUAGUUUAUAUUAUUAUAUAUUAUCCGUACAUUGCACGGGUCAAAUACUAGUUAUAAAAAAUGGACGGAACAGUGACCGAACCUUGACGUAGGGAGACUAAAUACAACAAUUUAAAAUAUUGAGAGGAUAAAAUAUAGGUUUUAAAAAAUUAGGAAGAAAAAGUGAAAAAAAGAAUAUUUAUAAGGGGAUUUUCUAUAAUUUAAACUUUAGGCAUAAUUGCCUAUAUACCCCUCAUGCGUCUGGAAAUAUCCGAUCUAACCCUACUUUUUUUUUCUUUCUAAAAUGCCCCUCAUAUGUUCCACUGUUAUUCUAAAAUACCCCCGCAGUUAUCCCCUGUUAACUUAACUCGGGUUAAACAUAGGUUAAAUGUAUACUAGAGUUAAAACCUAUAUAAAAUACCUAUUUUACUCCUAACUUAUUAUGCCAAUUCCUUAAGUUAUCAUCUUUCUCUCCCAAGUCCCAACUUGAUCGCCGGCUCCUCCGCCUCCAUCUCGCCAGCUCCCGCUUGCCGAAUUAUAUCCGUACCGAAUUUUUGCCGAAUCCAAAUUAACUAACUAUGCCUCCAGCUACCAAGGUUGGUUUAACUACGAUCGGUCUCGACGUGCUUAAUUAAUUAAUUUAUAUUUGAAGGGCAAAUAAGAAAAAUAUUUGCUAUAUAAAGGGUAUAUAAGAAAAGUUAGUUACGAUAGAAGGAUAUAUUGGAAUGGGCAAAAUGGUAAUUUUACAGAGAUAACGGCAACUCACUAACGGAGCUUAACUCCAGGGGUAUAUUAGAAAGACUUGGAACAUAAGAAGGGUAUUUUCAAUAUUAGCCUUCUAAGAGGGGUAUAUAAGAAAACCGGAAACUUUUCAGGGGUAUAUAGGCAAUUGCCCCUAAACUUUAAAUUUACAUGUAUUUUAUGUUCGUGCAUAAAUAGGAAGAUGAAAUCCCACAAAAAUCCCAUUAAUAGCCACAAAAUAUUAAAAUCGAGAUACAAAAAAAAAACAAAUUAAUAGCCUAGCAGGUGAAACUUUAUUGUGUGCUUUAUAAACUAAAAUUUCUAGAACUCAAAUCUAGAUGCCUUAACCCUCAAAUGUAAAAGCAUUGAAUGUAAUCUAGAACCCUACAUAGUUUAUUUAUGCAUGAAAAUUCGUAGUUUUUUAAAAAUAAUAUCUCAUUGUUUACAUUUGGGUUUUAAGACUUGUAGGUUUGGUAGAACAAGUAAUUAAAUAGCAAAGACAAUUAGACAAAAAUAAAAUAUCAAGUAAAACUAAAAUAAAGCAUGAAAAGAUCGACUAUUUUUUUAAUCUAAUAGAUAUUAUGCAUUCCAUGCACGUGUUAACGAAUACAUAUUAGGAUGCUAUUUCCUUCCUUGUAGAAAACUUGAUUUAUUAUUUGAGUAAUUUUCUCAUAUUAUUAGGAGUUUUCUUUCUUUUGUUAGUCAUGUAAUUGUGUUAUCCCUAUUGAAUAAAUGAGUCUUAAACCUAGCUCAAUUACAGCAAGAAAUAACAUAAUCUAAAGAAAACAAAAAAAAAAAAAAAACCAAAAAAGUAUAAGAUAAGUAAUAAGAAUAAUGGAAGAAAUUAAAUAUGUGCGUACCUGAAUCGCUAAAUAUCCAUUCAUGUAUUAAAUAGAAAGACCAGUGUAGAAAUCCAAAUGGCUAAAUGCAUGUUCAUGUGCGAGGAGAAAGAGCAGCAGAGAGAUCCAAAUGGCUUUCAACGUACUGAAUCGCUAAAUUGCUAUUCAUGUGUUAGGGUGAAAGAGCCCAUGUGUUGAGGAGAAAGAAUAGCGUAGAGGUUCAAAUGGCUCUCAAUGUAUUUAUAAGCAUGCAUGAUAAAUAAAGUUUGAUUCUUUGCUUAUCAUUUGGGAAAAGAACCUGUUUUAAUGAAAAUUAAAGAUGAAGCUACAACCUGAUACUAAUUGCACAUCCAACUUAUUUCUUUUCUAUUUUUAACUUUUUCUACAAUAGUUUAACUUUAUUUUAUUAUAAAUAAUAUACAUCAUUACUAAAAGUAAGAUUACUAUAUGUCAACAAUUUAGCUGGCCACUUGACGAAAAUAGUAACUGCGACUAUAAAAAUAUGAUUCUUUACUUGCCACUUUAGAAAGAACUUACAUAUUUUAAUGUAAAUUAAAGAUGUAGUGUUAGGAUUCAUUGAUAUAUAUUCUUGUUUCAAUUAAUUUCAAAAUAAACUACUUGCUGACCCAUGCAUAGCACCUAGAUAUUUUAGAACUUUAUUUUUUAAAUAAUAAAUUAAUUUAAUAACAUUGGAUAUUAUUACACAUUUGAUGUAGUCAUAGAUAGAGAUAUUGAUUGCAUAUCCAAAUUUCUUUCCUAUUUCAAGUUCUUCCUAUAACAAUUUAAAAUUUUUUAAUUAUAAAUAAUCAAGUUGUCUUAAAUAAGAUUGGCAUGUGUCAAGAACUUGGAUUGUCAUAUGAUUCUUUGCUUGCAACUUUUGAAGAGAAACCAUUUUAAAAUAAAGGUGGUGGGUUGGUGAUUUUUUAGCUCUAUUCUUGUACUGGUUGCUUGUUAAAUAAACUAGUUGUUAAUUGAUGCAUUGUACACAUAAAUUUAAGAAAUUUUAUUUUAGAAAAUAAUAAAUUAAAGUUAGGAGAAAUAAUCUAUUGCAUAGAUUAUUUUAAAUUUAAAAAACUAAUUAUUUUAGAGAUAGUUUUUUGAAAUAAGAUUUGACAAGGUUACAUAUUACAUGUAGCUUUAUAUUUAUGGACUGACUGCAUACCCAAAUUUUCUUCUAAAUUUUAAUUUUUUUAAUAAUAGUUUUAGGAGAUCUCUAAAAGAUUUGAAAUAAUCUUAUAUAUGAGAUAUGAUAGGAUUAAACCUCUUAAUUUGGUUAUAACAUUUUUGGUAGUGACUAGACGAAAGAGAUUAAUUAGGAGAGUUAAUCUUGCUAGAUCUAAAGUAGUUCUAUGAUUGGUGACUCUUGUGAAGUAGGAUGUCACAGUUGGUGUCAGAGCCAAUCACCAGCAAGAAAGUGUGAGAUAAGUCUUGACGGGUAGAGUGCGGCUUUCCAGCUGACGAUUGUUGUGGGUGGAAGGCGGCUUCCCACAAGAUCAGCUAAGGCUAGUAAUUCUUUCCCCCUACAUUUGAAAUAGUUCUAUAUACGAGAUAAAGUAGGGUUAAACCUAUUAACCAAACGAUAGUAUUUCGGAUGGUGACUAGACUCAAGAGGUUAAAAGCGUUAAACGUGUUAGAGGUGGAGUAAUUAUAGGAUGGAUGAAUUCUUGAGAAAUGGAGCAUUACAAGUUUAAAAUUUUUUCACUAUAAUAAUAGAAUUAUUUUAAGCAAGAUUGCCAUGUUCAAUAAUUUAGAUUGCCACUUGGCAAAAGAAGAAGUUUCAAAUACAAAAGUAUGAUUAUUUACAUGCCAUUUUAGAAACCAAUUUAUUUUAAAUCAAUUUAAAGAUGCCUGAUUGGGGAUUCUUUUGGUUCUAUAUUCUUGGCUCAAUUAAUUUGAAGAUAAACUAGUCAUUAAGUACCCAUGCGUUGCAUACAAAUAUUUUUAAAGUUUUAUUUUUUAAAAAUUUUAAAUUACUUAUAAGAAUAUUUAUAAAUUACUUAUCAAAAAUUUAAAAUCUAAUUACUAGCUUAUAGGAAUAAGUUCCUUAAAUAAGGUUGAAAAAAAAUUACACAUUCGAUUUAGCUGCAGAUAGAUAUGAUGAUCGCACACCAAUAUCUCUUUCUUACUUUUAAUCUUUACUCACUAGUUUAAACCUUUUGCAAUUAUAAAAAUAUAAUUGUGUUAAUUAAGAUUAUUACAUACCAACAAUAUAGUUGGGUGAAACAAAAGGUUUCUGCUUUAAUUAAAGUAUUAUUCUUAACUUGUUGCUUUGGAAAGGAACCAAUUAUAAAGCAAAUUAAAGAUAAAGGGUUGGGAAUUCUUUGCUUUAGUAUGCUAUGCUCGAUUAAUUUCAAAAUAAAUUAAUGCUUAACAUGUGCAUUUGCACACAAAUAUUUUUAAAAUUUUACUUGUUUUAAAGAAAUAAUAAUUUAGUUUUAAGAAAAAUAAUAUAUUCUACAAAAUUGUUUAAAACUAUUUAAAACCUAAUUAUUCGUAGAGAUUAUAACUUUUUUUAAAUAAACUUCAAUAUAUAGACUGCAUAUACAAAUCAAAGAUGUAGGAUAGGAAAUUCUUUAAUUCUAUAUUUUUUAUUUUAUUAAUUUCAAAAUAAAAUAGUUGUUAACCCGUGCUUUGAACAUAGAUAUUUUAAAUUUUAUUUUUUGAAGGAUCAUAAAUUUAUAGAGAUUUGAGCGUGUCAAGCCGCCUAUCACGAAGACGGCCGCACAAUCAAGUCGGUUGGAGAUUCGUCGUCACGUCAUUCGCACGUUUAUGUAGGUCUUUCGUCGAUGUUGGGAAGACAGAUGAUUGGUGAAUACGCGCACACGAUAAUACCGAUUCAAUACCUGAUUUGAUCAGGUCGGCCUAUCAUGAAGACGGUCCUGUUAAUCAAACCAGCAAAAGAAUCACUACUAUACCGUUUGCACGUAUACACCAAUCUAUCGUCGUUGAGGAAGAAAAAGAAAGAGGCUAUGAGGCCUCCUUCCACGCCGUUGUUAUUGUUGAAGUCGUCAUCGUCGUCGGAGAAGAAGAAAGAGAAGGUCAUAAGGUCUCUUUGCACACCGUCAUCGUCGUCAAAGUCAUUACCGCCGCUGCCUUCUUCAUGCCUUUAACUCUCUUUCUUUUUCUUUUUCUUUUUCUUUUUCAUUUUUUUUGGGCUGAGAGAGGAGGGGCCCAUGCCUUCUCUCUCUCUCUCUCUCUCUCUCUCUCUCUCUCUCUCUCCAGGUAUGAACAAGAGAAUGAGAGGCGUGGUCCAAUUUAUAGUAAUUUUAGAAUCUCUUUAUUUUGAAAAAUAAUUCAAAAAAUUUUUGAAGAUAAAACAACAAUAUUUUUUUUUUAAUCUUUUCUCUUGUUGACAUCUAUCUAAGAAAAGUAAUAAUUAAAUCGUACUUUAAUUUCUUUCCUUCUAUAUCUUCAAUUUGAAUUUGAUUUUUUUAAAAAUCUCAAACAAAGUAUAUUCUCAAUUUAAAUAUGAAUUUUUUUUUUAAUCUCAAACAGUAUCAAUUAAUUCAAUUAAUUUCAAAAUAAACUAGUUGCUGGACCCAAUGCAUAGCACACAGAUAUUUUAAAACUUUAUUUUUUAAAUAAUAAAUUAAUUUAAUAGGAUGGGAUAUUAUUAUACAUUUGAUGUAGUCAUAGAUAGGUAUAUUGAUUGCAUAUCCAAAUUUCUUUCCUACUUUAAGUUCUUUCUAUAACAAUUUAAACUUUUUUUUAUUAUGAAUAAUCUAGUUGUCUUAAAUAAGAUUGGUAGGUGUCAAGAACUUUGAUCCUCGUAUGAUUCUUUAAAAUUUGCAACUUUUGAAGAAAACGUUAACCCAUUUUAAAAAUAAAGAUGGCGGGUUGAUGAUUUUUUAGCUUUAUUAAUUUUUGUACUGGUUGCUUGUUAAAUAAACUAGUUGUUAAUCGGUGCAUUGUACAUGAAUAUUUAAGAAAUUUUAUUUUAGAAAAUAAUAAAUUAAAGUUUAGGAGAAAUAAUCUAUUGCAUAGAAAAAUUUUAAAUUUAAAAAACUAAUUAUUUUUAGAGAUAGUUUUUUGACAUAAGAUUUGACAAGGUUACAUAUUACAUGUAGCUAUAUAUUUAUGGACCGACAACAUACCCAAAUUUUCUUCUAAAUUUUAAUUUUUUCAAUAAUAGUUUUAUGAGAUCUCUAAUAAAAGAUUUGAAAUAGUCUUAUAUAUGAGAUAUGAUAGGAUUAAAUCUCUUAAUUUGGCUAUAACAUUUUUAGUGGUGACUAGACCAAAGAUAUUAGGAGAGUUAAGUUUGCUAGAGCUAAAGUAGCUUUAGGAUUUGCGACUCCUGCGAAGUAGGGUGUUAACAGUUGGUAUUAGAGCCAAUCACCUGCAGGAAGUGUGAGAUAAGUCUUACAUUAGUUAGGGUUAUAUAACGGAUAGAGUGCGGAUUUUCAGCUGACGAUUGUUGUGGGUGGAAGGCGGCUUCCCACAAGAUCUAUAUUUGAAAUAUAUAGUCAUUUAUGACGGGCACGUUGUAUUCAAGUACAACUGUACAAAUACAAUACCCGAUCGAGCAGCUACUUGAAUAAAUAAGAUGGGCUUUCAAUUGGAUCAAACUACUCAUACUUCACGUUAUUUUAUUAUGUCCAAGUAGUUACUCUCUGUACGUAUCAGUCGGUUUGUCUUGGUAUUCGAAUUAGCAGCAACAAAUUAUUGUCUGUGAUACAACAGUAACUUAUAACUAGACAUUAUUCUCUUAAUUAGUAUGAUUUGCUUUUGGAAUAUUAGGAUUCAUAAUUGAGCAGAUCUAAGAACCUGACCUUGAUUACAUACUACAUGCAUGUAUUGUGAAAAGAUAUUUGUAUCGGUUGGUCCUCAUCGGAAUUCUCCUCGCCACUAUCACACUUUUGAGUUAAAAGUAUAUAUAUUGUUGCCAGAAUUGAACAAAUCAAGGCUGCUGGUUUCUAUCAAGUCUUAGCUACAUGCAUGCAAUUUCUAUUUUAUAGAUCAGCUUUAUAUGUCCUCUCUAUAUGAGCAAAUAUAUAUAAUUCAUACACAUUAAUUGAGAUAUAUAGUCCAAGGAUCUCUAAACCAGAUUAAUUCAAGACUACAACAGCAACAUGAGCAUCUCUGGAUUUCUUUUUUUAUUUACUUGGAAGUUGAUGCGAAAUAAACCUUGUUACAGAUUAAUUCAAGACUACGGCCUGGCCGAGGCCGUGAGUGCUGUCAUCAACAUUCUUGGCAUGCAACCAUGCGAGGUCAGUAGGCUUUUUAUGUAGUCGAUUGCAUAUGCCAAUAUUGUACUUCCAGUUACCAUUUUGGGUUUUUUUUUUUUGUUUCCUAAAUUGAGACAAAGUUAUCUCUUCUGUAUCGGUCACUAUUUAACAUUAACCAUGUGAGAGAUUUUAUCAAAUUUGACUAAAUAAUCAACCAGGGGGAUAUUUAUAGUGGUGUAGCUUAAAUUCACUUCGCCUUCUGGUGUGUAGCUGCUGUUGUGGGUCUCCCUAACAGGACCUCCUGUUAACUACAAAAAUAAAUGAAGCACAAUGUUCACACAACUCAGAAAAACACCUCUGUAAAUAAGGAUUUGAGUUAUCUAAUUUUAUCGACUCUGUUAGUUUAAAGUGGUUUAAUGAGUCACAAUGAUUCGUAAAGUUUAAACAAUGAGGUUAUUACGUGGGGAUCUCUAUAUAAGUUCUGCAGAUAAUUAAAUUUCACCUAUUUACCAUUUUAAGUUUUAAUCUGAUGCUUUUAAAAAAACGUGGUUUAAUGGCGCAGGGAACUGAAGUGGUGCCGAGCAAUUCGAGGUCGCACUGUUACGAUAUAUUUUAUCAAUAUUAGGAUGUUACGAUAUAUUAGGAUAUUGUAUUUUUUUGCCUUAUAUAGAGUAGUAUCAUUGCCUUCUAUAGAGUAGAAUUAUAUAGUAUGUAAUCCUAGUUAUACUCUUACUAUAGUAGUCAUUGUUACUAUAGUAAGACAAUCUCUUGUACUAUAUAUAUUCAUUAAUACAAUUCAAGAGGGUAUGCACUUUAGCCCUUCUUUCACGCACACGUGCCUUCUGUCCGGUGUCUACAUCGGCAACGUGAAGGUCCUGGCAAGGCUGUCUUUUGGGAUCAGCGGGCCCAAGGAGGUCGCGAUGAAGCUCGUGGUGAGAUCGGGGGAUCCGGACGUCACCGCCAGAAUCCACCAAAUCGUCAUCGAGAGUUAACAACGGAGAGUUAAAUGUCUCCCCAUCUUCUUCCUUCUUCUUUCCCCCAGUGGGAACUUAAAGCAGUAGAUGAAGGGCUCCCUUCCUUUCUCUCUCUCUCUCUCUCUCUCAUUUAAUUACUUUUCACUCGAUAGUUAAGAAAAACAGCUCUUGUAAGUUUUGAGAGAAGACACUUUGCGUCAAGUUGGGUGGGUGAGAGGAUGUUUCUGGUGUUCAGAAAUUAUACCUAGUGAGAUUCGUUUUACUUGAAGACUCUUUCGCCAGAUUUUUUUAAAAAAAUUUUUAUCUUUAUUUUAUAGUAGAAUCUUGUGAACCAUCUUAUUGAGACUUUAAUUGCUCUAUAUUGUUAUUCUUUGUUCAGAGGAGCAGUAAAAUCUCUCCUGCACUUUGUUGUGAUAAAUAAUUUAUAGGCAUGUUGUUGUGUGAUGUAUUGUUGUAAUUUAACUUCGGUAGGGCCCUGUUUGGGACUUUUUUCAGGUUUUCCAUUUCAGUGGUAUUGAGCUAGCUCGAAACACAUGAUUUUUUUUUUUUUUUUUGGUCAAAUUUAAGAUAUUUGAAUCACUCUGAAUUUCACUGGGCUUUCCAAACUAGCAUCCUAUUUUUAGAGAAAGAAAGUUAAAGGGAGAGAGUCGAAUGGACAGGGGCCCAUUUGGUAGUGAUAGCUAUGCAAUGUUAUUGGGAGUUUUUUUUUUUUUUUUUUUUUUUUUUUUUUUUGUUUGGGAGUUUUUUUUUUUUUUUUUUUUUUUUUUUUUUCUUAAAAAAAAAACACUUAAAAACGCCGUGCAUUGUAUGUACAUGUAGUUCUUUCCUCAACUCUCAGAGAUUCUUAUUUUUGGAUUGAGCUUUUUCGUUGAAAUUUGUUUAGAUUUGAUUGAAUAAAAAUUAAUAUUAAAGUUGAAGUUCAGAGUUUGAGGACCAAAAGUGUAAUUUGCCUUUCUAGUUUUUUUUUUUUUUAAUUCUUUUGUUUGGUACAUACAAGUUUAAUCAAAUUUCAAUUGUUUAAAGAGAUUUGGGAUGGUUGAUUUUUCAUCGCAAAUGAAUCUUAUUUCAAAUGUUCAGUGACAUGUAGUUAUAUUUGGCGAGAAUUUAUUUUCAAUGAUGGAUAUAUAUUGUAAUGUAGUUGGAAACACCCCUUGUUAAAUAUAGUUAUAUCUCUUUCACAUAGAAUAAAAAAAAAAUCACAUGGAAAUAUUUUAAUCUUUUAUUCAAACAACUAAGUAAAUAGAAUUGGAAUUUAGAAUUUAGUUCCAAAUCGAAGAAUUUAUUAGUAAAUUCAACUGAAUUCUUGUCAAGAUUCUAUUUGAAUUCAAUCUCACAUUUGGUGCUAAACUAACAGUGUAAAAUAAUUAUGCAUAUGAGGUAAUGAUAUGCAGCAACUGUAGAGCAAGUUAAAUAGCACACAAAAUUAUUGAUGCCCAAAUUAUAACUGUAAAAAAAAAAAAAAAAAAAAAAAAAACCAAUUGUUGUCUGGGCAGUGAUAAAGUUUCACCACAUUCUCUCACAGUAGCUUAAAGAUUGAUAAUCGAAAGUCGAAAGUAGAGCUAACAAAAUAGCAUAAGAAAUAUAACAGUACACUUACAUUUAUGUUCAAAUAAACUACCAUUAUUUCCAAUAUAUUUUUGACAAUUUGUUGUCAAAAACACAGAAAAUUUAUUUCUAGCGCAAGUGGCAAAGUACUUGAUGGUUGAUAUCCGAGAUCCCGAGAUCGAAUUCUAGUUGAUUCAUAUUUUCAGCUAAUUUUAUUUUUCAAUAAAAUAAACAAAGCGGGUAGCAUGCUAUCUAUCUCUCAAAAAAAAAAAAAACACAGAAAUUUUGCAAGCAUAGGCUUAUUCUAGCUUUAUCUGCAUCCUGCAGAGCCUCUUAUGGAGUUUAUAUAUGUACAUGUUUAAAGAGGUCACUAUUUCUAUAUUUACAUUCGUAUUGCGAAUAACAAAUAAUCAAUCAUAGUUCCAUUGAUCAAAACAGAAAGAAAGAAGUCAAAUACCUGUUUGGCCAAGCUUUACCAUGUAGCCAUUUGAAGCUUUUGCUGCGGCAAGAAGCUGAUUCAACUUUUAGUCAAAACUGAAACUUUAAUUUGAAACUACUACAGUUGACUACUCAGAGGACCCUAACAAAGCAUCUAUUAUGGCUUCUUCGAGCAGGACAGCUCUUGCUCCAUAAUCUUAAUUCCAAAUCAAAUCAUAAUCUCCCUAAGCAGGGAUCCCCUUUUGUCCCGCAACAUCAACAUCAAUAACUCACUCUGGAGUACCUGGCCAAAUUUCAGCAUCAUUGAGUUUCUAUUGUUGUAAGAAGAUGGAUGAGCUUUCUACUCAAAACUGAAGCUCUACUCGCGAAGCUUCCGCUGCAGAAACCUGUUCACAGGAUUCUAAUAAAUAAUUCAUUAUCGCCUUUUCAAAUAGCUCUACUCAAAUAGUACUCUUUUCAAUGCACCCCCAAUAUGUUCUCCACCCUACUAAACCUACCACAUUCAUAUCUUGAUCUUCCUCUGCAACAUCUGCACCUAUCCCGCAACCAUAACAACACCAUCGCAAACUCUUGAUUUCCUGUCGCUGUUGAACCAUUAACCAUCUUAUUAAGCAUAAAGCUCCUCAGCAACAAGCCCCCACCACCGUCACCCUCACCAUUUUCCCGGCCACCACCAUGUCCUGCCCCCUAUUCCUCACAAACAUCGCUCCAACAAUUAUUUAUAUCCCUAUUUAUUAACGUUCUUUCAGAUAGCUUUACUCAAACAAUACUUUUCCGUAAGCUCUCCAUCCUUGUAAGCCAAUCGCAUUCGUAACCUCGUCUCCCCUCUCAAGCAUUUGCAACUAUCCUCUAACCACAAACAACUCGCUCGCAUACUCCUGACUGCUCAUCCCUACCAAUCGAUUAAGUACUUUAUCAGAUAUUUUCAAGUAGCUCUACUCAAACAGUACUUUCUCUGCAUAACCCUUCACCCUAAUACACCAAAUCACAUUCAAAUCUUGAUCUCCCUUCGCAACCGUCCGCACUUAUCCUGCAACCGCAACAAUUCUCUCGCAAAAUCCUGAUUCCCCGUAACCAACAACCCAUUAACCACCCUAUUAAACAUAAACCUCCGCGGCAGAAACCCUCUCUCCACCAUCUCCCUCACCAUUUUCCCAGCCACCACCAUGUCCUCCCCCCUCUUCCUCACAAACAUCGCACUUACAAUUACAUUAUACGUAUCCAAAUUCGGCAAGCACGCGCCUCUCACGCCCAUUUUAUCAAACAUCUCCAGCCCCUUCUCAAUCUCCCCCUCCUCAAAGUAGCACCGCAUGAUAAUAUUAUGCGUCUGCACGUUGGGCCCGCACCUGUCGCGCCGCAUCCGGUCCACGAACCCCAGAGCCCGGUCGAACUCCGCCGCGUGGCAGAGCCCCCGUAUAAUAACAUUAUAUGUGGUCGAAUUCGGGGUGUAACCUCUACUGAGCAUUUCGUCGAACACCGCGAGGGCAUCGUCGACGGUGCCCUUUUUGCAUAUUACCUGGAUGAGCGCGUUGUACGCAGCAACGUUGGGGAGGACGCCUCGUUGCGGCAUUUCGUCGAGCACCUCUCGGGCUCUUCGGAGUUGGCCGCUGAGCCCCAAUCCGUGGAGCACGGUGGUGUAGGAGACCACGUCGGGGGCGCAAACCGGGUCCGUUUUGGAUCGCCGCUUCAUCUGGGCGAAGAAGUCGAGGGCUUGGCGGGUUUGGCCAGCGCGGAAGAGGCCGUGGAGGAGGAUGUUGUAGGUGGUCUUCGUGGGGNNNNNNNNNNNNNNNNNNNNNNNNNNNNNNNNNNNNNNNNNNNNNNNNNNNNNNNNNNNNNNNNNNNNNNNNNNNNNNNNNNNNNNNNNNNNNNNNNNNNNNNNNNNNNNNNNNNNNNNNNNNNNNNNNNNNNNNNNNNNNNNNNNNNNNNNNNNNNNNNNNNNNNNNNNNNNNNNNNNNNNNNNNNNNNNNNNNNNNNNNNNNNNNNNNNNNNNNNNNNNNNNNNNNNNNNNNNNNNNNNNNNNNNNNNNNNNNNNNNNNNNNNNNNNNNNNNNNNNNNNNNNNNNNNNNNNNNNNNNNNNNNNNNNNNNNNNNNNNNNNNNNNNNNNNNNNNNNNNNNNNNNNNNNNNNNNNNNNNNNNNNNNNNNNNNNNNNNNNNNNNNNNNNNNNNNNNNNNNNNNNNNNNNNNNNNNNNNNNNNNNNNNNNNNNNNNNNNNNNNNNNNNNNNNNNNNNNNNNNNNNNNNNNNNNNNNNNNNNNNNNNNNNNNNNNNNNNNNNNNNNNNNNNNNNNNNNNNNNNNNNNNNNNNNNNNNNNNNNNNNNNNNNNNNNNNNNNNNNNNNNNNNNNNNNNNNNNNNNNNNNNNNNNNNNNNNNNNNNNNNNNNNNNNNNNNNNNNNNNNNNNNNNNNNNNNNNNNNNNNNNNNNNNNNNNNNNNNNNNNNNNNNNNNNNNNNNNNNNNNNNNNNNNNNNNNNNNNNNNNNNNNNNNNNNNNNNNNNNNNNNNNNNNNNNNNNNNNNNNNNNNNNNNNNNNNNNNNNNNNNNNNNNNNNNNNNNNNNNNNNNNNNNNNNNNNNNNNNNNNNNNNNNNNNNNNNNNNNNNNNNNNNNNNNNNNNNNNNNNNNNNNNNNNNNNNNNNNNNNNNNNNNNNNNNNNNNNNNNNNNNNNNNNNNNNNNNNNNNNNNNNNNNNNNNNNNNNNNNNNNNNNNNNNNNNNNNNNNNNNNNNNNNNNNNNNNNNNNNNNNNNNNNNNNNNNNNNNNNNNNNNNNNNNNNNNNNNNNNNNNNNNNNNNNNNNNNNNNNNNNNNNNNNNNNNNNNNNNNNNNNNNNNNNNNNNNNNNNNNNNNNNNNNNNNNNNNNNNNNNNNNNNNNNNNNNNNNNNNNNNNNNNNNNNNNNNNNNNNNNNNNNNNNNNNNNNNNNNNNNNNNNNNNNNNNNNNNNNNNNNNNNNNNNNNNNNNNNNNNNNNNNNNNNNNNNNNNNNNNNNNNNNNNNNNNNNNNNNNNNNNNNNNNNNNNNNNNNNNNNNNNNNNNNNNNNNNNNNNNNNNNNNNNNNNNNNNNNNNNNNNNNNNNNNNNNNNNNNNNNNNNNNNNNNNNNNNNNNNNNNNNNNNNNNNNNNNNNNNNNNNNNNNNNNNNNNNNNNNNNNNNNNNNNNNNNNNNNNNNNNNNNNNNNNNNNNNNNNNNNNNNNNNNNNNNNNNNNNNNNNNNNNNNNNNNNNNNNNNNNNNNNNNNNNNNNNNNNNNNNNNNNNNNNNNNNNNNNNNNNNNNNNNNNNNNNNNNNNNNNNNNNNNNNNNNNNNNNNNNNNNNNNNNNNNNNNNNNNNNNNNNNNNNNNNNNNNNNNNNNNNNNNNNNNNNNNNNNNNNNNNNNNNNNNNNNNNNNNNNNNNNNNNNNNNNNNNNNNNNNNNNNNNNNNNNNNNNNNNNNNNNNNNNNNNNNNNNNNNNNNNNNNNNNNNNNNNNNNNNNNNNNNNNNAGUCAUCCAUUAUGAUUCUCAUUAUAAAGUAAGGAAAGGCCAACAAAAUUAACUUCAAUUCUAAGAAAUUCAUAAAAUGCCAAAAUUAGUGAAUAAUUUUUGCCGAAAAAUUACGCUAAUAAUAAUGCUUUAAGCAAGACCUUAAAAAAAUUACUUCAGCAAAUAAAAUGGCUUUGCUGUACAUAACAGGGAAGAAAAAUCACAACAUACUAAUUUACGAGAAAUAAUAAAGAAUCUUUAAGUAUUUUCUUUUACUUCAAAAGUACCUAAAUUGCUUAUUUUUUUAAUUUGGAGCUCUUUAGAAGCAAAGCAUAUUGAUUUAGGAAAAGAAUUUCACAAAAUAUAUAAAUUUUGCCAAUUCAAUUCACAUCUACCAAGCUAUUAAGGAAAGGCCUAAAUAAAGAUGCAAGAGUAUUAGACAACCUUCACUAGGUUAAUUUUUUGUGUAAUUUUUUCACAUAAUUGAGUAACAGAUGAUUGUGAGUACAAAAUAAGAUAAGAAAAAUAAAUGAAUGCUAUCCUUGUUGUCAUCAAAGGGUCAAUACACACGUAGACAUUUGCUUGGUUAUAUUACUCAAGUCUCAAGCAAUCAAAUGUAUAAAAUAUUUUUUACACGCAUAGACAAACUCACUCAUAUAAUAAUUAAGAAAUAAAGGACAUGCUGCACUAUGGCUAGCUUAUUUCUCAAAAGCAUAUGAAGACCUCAGCAAACAUACGUACAUAUAGAAACACAACGAUCGAGUACACAUGCAUACACACAAACGCAUAAUUAAUAUUUAGAGAGAGAGAGAGAGAGAGAGAGAGAGAGAGAUGGUUCACCUUGCAUAUGAACAUUGGAGCAGAGCUGUGCUUCACAAAUAUCUAGCUUUCAUACGCUUCUUAUAGUAAGGACAAUGUUUUGGGUUGAAGAGAGAGGAGUGGUGGUUGGAUUCUAACCCAUCCCAUUGUAGCUUAUCCCACCAAUCCUUCUCGCAGCUAAUCUUCACAGUUCUUAUUGAACGAGCGUCCAACCGGCCGAAAAGAGGAAGUUUUCUGAGAUUCAAACACCCCAUAAUCUUGAUCUCUUUCAGCGACGGAGCACAAAUGUUUAGCUCGUAUAUGUGUUGUAGCUUCGGAAGCUCCUGUAGAUGGAUCGACCUCAGUUUCGGAAGUAGCUGUGGAGCAGCUUCUCUUUUAUCUUUUUUAUGAUCAUCAUCAGAUUUGAAAAUUGCCGUUAGAUCGCCGCAAUAACAGAUGUUGAUUGUUUCCAAGUCGUGUAGCUCUGACACUGAGGGGAGUACAUAUUCGAGCCUCGGGCAAAACUCCAAGUAAAUAUGCUUAAGUUGCCCAAUCUUUUCUUGUUUACAUAAAGCUUUGAGUCUCGGAAGUUGGCUGAGCCAUAUGCUCUCCAAAGAAUAAGCCGCACCCCAACUAAAGAAGAUAAACUUCAAAUUAGCCGCAUCCCGCCUAGAGAAGAUAAACUCCAAAUUAGGGCACCUCUCAAUGCGGAAACAUUUGAGAUGUCUGAAUUGAAUGCCCAUGGUAAACUUAGAUGUGUUGUCGUGAAUGAAUAAAGAAUUAGCAAAUCUCAUUAUGUUUCCAAAGUCAUCUUCCUCUACUAUUCUGGAAUCGUGACCUCCAUCAACCUCUAUGUGAUUAUUCAGGGGCAUAGCAGGUGGCGACGGGUGAUGUUGACAGUGACGAUCUGUCAUAGUGUUUAAAACAUCUGCAUAACAUAAUGCCGACGUUAUAGUAGCAUUCGAUCCGGUGGUAGUACCAAUAUUAGUGCCUCUCUUAGCAGUUGAAGAACCCUUGACGUGGAUAUGGAAGCUGGAUUUUGCUCUUCUUAAUGCAUCAAGAAAGGCAUAAUAAAGUGACCGGAAGAGCCUAACAUCCCUCACGACCACAUGAGCAUGGAAUAAUCUCUGAUCAACAUCAUUACUUACCUUGGUUAGCUCACUUAGUCUUUGAUUUUGAAAGGAAUCAAGGCACUGAUCGACGUCGCAAGCACCGCCGCCGUUGUAGUUAUCCAAGUACAGCACAUCUAGGCUUGGUCCUUUAUUAAGACCGGCUACUCUACGGAGUUGCUCGCAUCCGAGGAGAAAUAAUUGCUUCAGUUGUGGGAGUUUGCUGACAUCCACCACUUUUAUUGCGGUGCAUGAAAGAUCGAGCGCCUCAAGCCCCGUCAAUUCCUGUAGGUCUACGUUCUCCAACUUACGGCAUCCUUGUAAGGAGAGCUUGGCGAUCAGCUUAGACUCGCUGAGGUGGAAGGUCUUGAGGUUGGGCAAAAGAGCUGCUGCAGGGUCGACAAGCUCCACCUCUUUUAGCGAUGCGCACCUUUGUAGGCUGAUUGUUUCAAUUGUUGCAAGGAGAUUGAAGUUUAGAUAUUCUAACCCCUCGCAAUCAGUGAGAAUAAGUUCUUUGAGGCUGAUUGCCAUGGAUAUGCUCUUUCGCAAAAAAGUGGUGUCGAUGUUUCCUGACAGCUUUAAAACUUUCAAUUUGUGCAUGUGCUCUUGGAGUUCAUUUAGAUCCACCAGGUGUAGGAGAGAAGUUUCUUCUUUGAGAUCGAGCUCCAGGAGGUUAGGCAUGAGCUCAAUGGCUUUGCCUGCAAGAAGAAACGCAUCGGCAUCCGAGUUGUAUAAAUUCAGGACCCAUAAGUUAUCAAAAAGGAAUGGUUCUCGUCGCCCCUUUGGUGCUGAAGAAUGAGAAUUAGGAUCAAGAGAAGUUACUUUGCACCGCUCCAGCCUAAGCAUUCUCAGGUUGCGAAGACGAAGGAAGGAGGAAUAUCCUAUAGGACUUACUACGCAGCCGAGAAGGUCUAGCACUCGAACGUUGCUGAGAUAGUCGAAGAAGCCGUCCGGUAGAGCUAAUUCGUGUGUUUUCUCAAAACGCCAAAAAACGGAUGAAACAUCAGACAUGACUGAACCACGAUAUUCUUUGAAGAAGAAAUCCCAUGGCUCUGGAUUAUUAGUUUGAGGAGAGCAUACUGAGAUCCAACGGUAACCCUCUUCCUCCUCCUUCGAUGAUGAUGGUGAUGAGAACUUUACCCAAUCUCCUUGUGUGGUAGAGUCGAUCGAUAAAGUUUUUGGGGGCAACAACAACAAGUCAGACGCACUCGGCGUCCAAGUGGAAAAGGUAUCAUGCCAAUAUUGUAGUUGUUGAUCAUUUACUAUAGGUCCAAUCAGCGGAGCUAGUGCUUUCACAAUCUCCCACGCCGCAUCUCCUUGUAAAAUUCCGUCGCACACAAAAUACUUGACAGCAUCUUCCAGGGGCCGACCAUCAUCGGGUAGUAGUGCUGAUCGGUUAAACGCUGCUCUACGCAACAACAGCAGGCAAUACCAAAAGCAACGGAGGACUACUUGCCCGGCGGUCCGCAAGCGCCCACCGCUGCUCUCAUCAAUGUAACGGGCAAUCUCGACGGCCUCCUUGUACACAAGAUCAAGUGCGGUUGUUCUGCCUGAUGGCUCAAUCCUUAGGAUAAAAUCUGCACUUGCUGAUGCGACUUCCCUGGUUAUAUUCAUCCCAGAGGUCCACAACACCGCAUUGCCUCUCGACCGCCCUAUGAUAGAAUAAGGCAAUCUAAGAGGUUGAAUUAACUGGCCACCCGCAAUAUUAUUGCAAAGGACGAGCAGCACUCUACGAUCCUUCACAGCUCUGUUUAUCUCCCUUAAGACCUCCGAAACCAGGUCUCUUGAGCUGAGUUCCUCACCCGAGAAGUCGUUGUCUUCGUCUUCCGCGUCGAACGCGGCCGUCACCGAAGGAGAUAGUAGAUUCAGCUGCUCUGCCACCGCCCUCUGCAUCUCCCUGCGGUUCCGAAAUGGUGCGGGCCGCACCACCUUGAUCACCGUCUCAAACACGCGCUUCCCCCGCGUCUCGACCGCUUCCGCCACCUCUCGGAGUAAAGCGGUCGCCCCGACUCCCUUCCAUGCCUCCACGCAGAUCUUCUGUACGUACCCACGGAGCAAGCCUUCAAGCACAAGACUCUUUGCCUCGUCGUAGUCGCAUUCACGGAAAUUCAUGGCCGUACAUAUAUAUAUAUAUAUAUAUAUAUAUAUAUAUAUAUAGAUAGAUAGGUAGGUUUUAAUUAAUCGAGCGUCAAUCCAUGCAUCAACGGUGAGAGCAUUCAUUCACCGAGUUAGUUAAUUUAAGUUGGCCUUGUUCAUAAUUAAUCAAUCCUCCCUGCAUGCUUCAGCUGCUCCACAUGGGAAAUCGACAGGACUGGAUAAUAGAGCAAAUAACACCAUCAGAUCACAGCGUCGACAUUUAUAACCCUUUCGAUUUGGGGUAAACUUUUCAAUUCACCCCUCCCUACGUCGUUUAAUUAGUACGUGCAUUUUUAUUUUUACCAUACUGUUGUUCAAAAAAUAAAUUUAUAUUUAAUUAUUCUACAAUUAAUUUAAGAUAUUUUUAAUUUGUCGUACUGUAAUUUAAAAAGUUGGGUCUAUGAUUUUAUUUUUGUCUUAGUUAAAACGAAGCAUCAUCGUAUGAUUUUCAAAAAAAUAUCAUUUUUAUAUCUUGUUUAAUUAACAGCGGGUCGUUACGAUGUAAUAAAAAUAAAAAUUACGGGGUAGUUAAUAAAUGCAACUAUGUGAACCGCAUGAUGUGACAAAAAAUAAAAAAUGUGCAAAUCUACAGACAGAUAAAUUGAAGUUUUUCCAAUGUUUUAAGAUUAGAAUAAAUUCGGACAGCAAAGUUUUAGGAGAAUGCAUAGAAUAUAUCUAAAUUUUAAAUUUGGAAUAUCUAAUCGUGGAAAGAGUAAUAAAUCUGNCAUGAGCUCAAAGGCUUUCCCUGCUAGAAGAAACGUAUCGGCAUUUGAGUUGUAUAAAUUCAAGACCCAUAAGUUAUCAAAAAGUAUUGGUUCUCGUCCCCCCUCUGGUGCCGACGAAUGUGAAUUAGGAUCAAGAGAAGUUACUUUGCACCGCUCCAGCCUAAGCAUUCUCAGGUUGCGAAGACGAAGGAAGGAGGAAUGUUCUAUAGGACUUACUACGCAGCCGAGAAGGUCUAGCACUCGAACGUUGCUGAAAUGGUCGAAGAAGCCGUCCGGUAGAGCUUGGUGUGUUUCCUCAAAAUGCCCAAAGAAGGAUGAAACGCCGGACGUGACUGGAUUGCGACAUACUUUGAAGAAGAAAUUCCAUGGCUCUGGAAUAUUAGUUUGAGGAGAGCGCACCGAGAUCCACCGGUAACUCGCAUCCUCCUCCUCCGAUGAUGGCAAUGAGAACUUUACCCAAUCUCCCCGUAUGGUAGAGUCGAUCAAUAAUGUUUUCGGUGGCAAAAACUCUUUUCCUUUUCCUCUCGGCGUCCAAGUGGAAAAAGUAUCCUCCCAGUAUUGCAGUAGUUGAUCAUUUACCAUGGAUCCAAUCAGCGGAGCUAGUGCUUUCCCAAUCUCCCACGCCACCGCAUCAUCUCCUCGUAAAAUUCCGUCGCACACAAAAUACUUGACAACAGCUUCCAGGGGCCGACCACCACGGGGUAUUAGUACUGAUUGAUUAAACGCUGCUCUACGCAACAACAGCAAGCAAUACCAAAAGCAGCAGAGGACUACUUGCCCGGUGGUCCGCAAGCUCCCGCCGCUGCUCUCGUCAAUGUAACGGGCAAUCUCGUCGGCCUCCUUGUACACAAGAUCAAGUGCGGUUGUUCCGUAUGAUGGCUGAAUCCUUACGAUCCGCUCCGCACUCGCUGACGCGGCUUCCAUGCUAAUAUUCAUCCCAGAGGUCCACAACACCGCAUUGCCUUUCGGCCACCCUAUGAUAGAAAAAGGCAAUGUAUAAGGUUCAAUUAAUUUGCCACCCGCAACAUUAUUGCAAAGGACGAGCAGCACUCUAGUACGAUCCCUCAGAGCUCUGUUUAUCUCCUCUGCGACCUUCCAAAGCAUGCCUCUUGAGCUGAAUUCCACACCCCAGAAGUCGUCGUCUUCGUCCGCUGCGUCGAACGUGGCAGCCGUCGUCACCGAAGGAGAUCGUAGUAGAUGAUUCAGCUGCUCCGCCACCGCCCUCUGCAUCUCCCUGCGGUUCCCAAAUGGUGCGGGCCCCCGCGCCUCGACCUCUUCCGCCACCUCUCGGAGUAAAGCGGUCGCCCCGACUCCCUUCCAUGCCUCCACGUAGAUCUUCUGAUGGAACCCACGGAGCAAGUAUUCGAGCAAUCCACUCUUUGCGUCGUUGUAGUCGCGUUCAAUGAUAUUCAUGGCGGUAUAUAUAUAUAUAUAUAUAUAUAUAUAUAUAUAUAUAGAGUCCGGCUACUAUACUAUCGAUAAUAUCAAGUCCUUGGUACUAUUGAGUUUUCUAUCGUUAGAUCAAUCCUUUGAUCAUUUCCACCCGUUAGACUAUACUAUUAAACCAACCACCCACUCAACCCUAGGGAACCACUAUCAAUUUAAUCGGGGACCACUAUCAUCCUAACCGCACAUCCUUUCAUCCAACAGCCGAAAACUUAAUAGUACAAAGGGCUUGGUACUAUUGAUAGUAUAGUAGCAUAAUUCUAUAUAUAUAUAUAUAUAUAGGUAGGUAGGUAGGUUUUAAUCGACGAGGAGGGUCAAUCCAUGCAUGAACGGUGAGAGCAUUCAUUCACCGAGUUAGUUAAGUUAAUCUGGCCUUCUUCAUAUAUAAUCAAUCCUCCCGGCUUUAGCUGCUCCGCAUGGAAAUCCACAAAGACUGCAUGAUAGAGCAGCAAAUAACACCGUCAGACAGACAGCGACAUUUAUAACCCUUUCGAUUUGGGGGUAAACUUUUCAAUUCACCCCUCCCUACGUGGUUUAAUUAGUGCUUUUUUAUUUUUACCACACCCUUGUUCAAAAAUUAAAUUUAUAUUUAAUUGCUCUACAAUUUAAGAUAUUUUUAAUUUGUCAUCCUGUAAUUUAAAAAAAGUUGUAUCUAUGAUUUUAUUUUUGACUUAGUUAAACGAAGCAUCAUCAUCACAUGAUUUUCAAAAAAACAUCAUUUUUAUAUCAUGCAUGUUUAAUUAACAGCGGGUCCUUAUAAUGUAACAAAAAUAAAAAAUACGGGGUAGUUAAAAACUCCAACUAUAUAUGUGAACCACAAUGUUGACAAAAGUAAAAAAAAAAAAUGUGCAAAACUACAUACCGACAAAUUGAAGUUUUUUCUAUAUUUUAAGAUUAGAACAAAUUUGUACAGUAGUAAAGUUUUAGUAGAAUGCAUAAAAUAAAUCUAUCAAGUAAUAGAACAGGUAAAUAGCAAUAUAGAGCCACGAAAAACAAAUUAAUAGAACAGGUAAAUAGCAAUGACAAUUAGGCAAAAAAGAAUAUAUCAAGUAAAACUAAAAUGAAGUAAGAAAAGAUCCGCUCUUUCCGAAAUCUAAUAGAUAUUAUGCAUUCCGUAUGUUAACAUGUACCAUAUGAGAAUGUUACUUCAAUAUUCCUGCUAAGCUUUGAUUUAAUAUUUGAUUUAUAUUUCUUAUUUUAUUAGGAGUUUCUUUCUUUAUUCGUUGUGUAAUUGUGUUAUUUAAGGGGCUUAAUUCCUAUUGAAUAAAUGAGUCUUAAGCAUCAAUAACAGUAAGAAAUAACAAAAUUUGAGGAAUAAGUAAUAAUAAAAUUAUAAGUUAAUUGCCGAUUCAUAUUUUUAAGGAGAAAGAAUAGCGAAGAAAUUCAAAUAGCUUUCAGCGUACUGAAUGGUUAAAUCCCUAUUUAUUUGUAGUUAAGGAGGAAGAGCCCAUAUGUUAAGGAGGAUGAGUAGUAAGGGAUUUCAAAAUUUUAUUUUUUAAUAAUAAAGUAAUUGUGAGAAAAAUAAUCUAUUUUAUAAAAAAAAUUAUAAAUAAUUAAUUAUAGACAUAACUUUUUUAAAUAAUAUUGGAUAUUAUUAUAUAUUGUAUAUAUUUGAUGUAGUUGUAGACACAUAUAUGGAUUACAAAACCAAAUUUCUUUGGGAAAAUUUCUUCAAUACCCUUCCCAGUAGCUCUAAUUUCAUGAAUACCUUUUAAAAUUUUAACAUUUCAUAUUUGUACUCCAAAAGUAUGAAAAAAUUUCAAAAAUACCCACACAGGUAGCAAUCAUAGUUAGUUAAUUCGGAUUUGGCAAAAAUUGGAUACGGAUAUAAUACGUAUAAAAUUUGUUUUCUAAUUUUUAAAUUCAUUGAAAAAUUCGGCUUAAAAAACGGAUUCGGUAUAAAAUACAAAAUAUAAGAUAUAAAAUAUAAAAUAAUUUAUAUUUAAAAAUCAAAUUAUAAGUUUUUUAUUCAUAUUUUUAAUAAUUCGGCAAAAAUUCACGAAUAAUUCUCUUUCUUUCGGAAAAAUUCGUAAACGGACCGUUUAAUUCAGAUUUUCAAUAAUUCGUGAAUAAUUCGCGAAUUUACUAACUAGGGUAGCAAUCCAUUAUGUUAGCUUCAAAAUACCAUUUUACCCUCUAUUUUAUUCUAAUCACCACCCUCACAAAUUUUUUUUAUAUAUAUGGAGACCCCCUCAAUUACAAUCCAUUGUGAAAUGGCCCCCCUAAAUUUAAAUUUUUAAUUAAAGUCUCCUUAAAUUUUAUUUUCUUAAAAUUGAAUGAUUUUUUAUUAUUAAAUUAGAGAUUUUAUCUAAUCCAUUAAUGAUUCAACCAAAUAUAAUAAUUGUAGUAACUUCUUAGUAUAUAAAAUUAAAUGAGUCUAAGAAUAAAAUCACAAUGUGGAUAUAGUUCAUAUGUAUUACUCUAAAAAAAAAAAUAAAUUAAAAGCUAAGAAGUUUAUGUUGAAAAAAGAAAAAUUAAUAAAAACUUCAAGGGAUUUACUUUAAUGGCCUAUAGUUGAUAGUUUUAGUAUAAAUAUUAAAAAAUAACAGUGCAAAAAGUUUGAUUUUUAAACAAAUAGUGAACAAAUUAAGGGUAAAAUGGUAAUUUCAGAUUUUGAAGUNAUUUGGAAUAUCUAAUCGUGGAAAGAGUAAUAAAUCUGAGUCAUUGAGUCUUAGCAAGUAUGAAUUUAAUCCAGAAGCGGAACACCGGGAUUGAAAUAUUUAUGCGUAAUUUAAUGCAAUAAUUUGUUCGACAUUCGGCAUUCCAUAUAUGAGUUGAAAAGUUUUAAAUACUUAUUUUCUUAAAUAAUGUGAAAUGAUUUUACAAAUUGUAAUAUUGUGCUAAAGAAACCGCAAAGUGAAGAGUAAAGACCCACUACUAAUGAACCCAAAAUCUGCAAGUUUUAAACUGGUUGUGUAUUAAUUUAUGUUUUCUUAUAAACUUUCUAGCUAAAACCUGUAAAUUCUUUGUUGACUCUUUUAGUGGCCAGAUAGUAAUUAACUAAGUAAAUAUUAUUUUCUAAAGAGUGUUAUUCUAUAUUUCAUUACAGAUUUAAAGAGGAAAAAAUAGAAAUUAAUAUUCACUUGAAUAAGGCAGUAAAUGGUAUAAAAAAUGAAUAAUAAAUAGUAUGUGUUAUAACAAGAAAGUUUGAAUUUUAAUUCGGGAAAACUACAAAUUGCCCCCCCUUGUGAUAUAGCAAAUUUUUUACUUUGGCCUCACGUCAUUCAAAAAGUUGCACUCCGCUCCCAUGUGGUAUAAAUUUUUUUCACCUAAAAAAUUCUAUAUUAGAUAGCCUGGCAAAUUGAAAUUCUUUUAAAAAAUUAUAGGACGACAAAGUGAAAAAUGCGUUAAACUACAUUAGAAUAAUAUGUGUUAGAUAGAUUAUUAUCUUUAAAUUAACAUGUAUUUUAAAAGUGUGCAUAAACAGGGAGAUGAAAUCUAUAUAUGAAAAAUCCCAUUAAUUAAUAGCGACACAAUAUUAAUAUAGAGCCAUGAAAAACAAAUUAAUAGAACAAGUAAAUAGCAAUGACAACUAGGAAAAAAAAAUAAUAUAUCAAGUAAAAACUAAAAUAAAGUAAGAAAAGAUCCGCUCUUUUCGAAAUCUAAUAGAUAUUAUGCAUUCCGUAUGUUAACAUAUGCCAUAUUAGAAUGUUAUUAAUUUCAUUCCUUCUAGGGAUAACUUCAAAAACCCUCUCUGUGGUUUCCAACUUUCUCAUUUUAGUACCCUGUGGUUUAAAAUGUAUCAAUUUGCCCUCCUGUGGUUUCGUUUUUCUCUUUUUUUUUUUAUCAAUUUUAUUAUUUUUUUUUCUCAAAUCAGUGACAAAAUUAAAAUUAAAGGGUACUAAAGUAAAUAUUCGGUAAAUCUAGAUGGAUAUCUGAUAUUUUUUUGCAUAUAAUUUAACGAAAUAUUAAAAAAAAAGCUAUAGAAAAGAUAAAAAUAAAACCACAGGGGGGCAAAUUGAUACAUUUUAAAUCACAGGGUACUAAAGUGAGAAAGUUGGAAACCACAGGGGGGUUUUUGAAGUUUUCCCAUCCUUCUAAGCUUUGAUUUAAUAUUUGAUUUAUAUUCCUUAUAUUAUUAAGAUUUUCUUUCUUUAUUCGGUGUGUAAUUGUGUUAUUUAUGUGGCUUAAUUCCUAUUGAAUAAAUGAGUGUCUUAAAUUACAUCAAUAACAGUAAGAAAUAACAAAAUUUGAGGAAAAAUAAAAAUCAAAAUCAAAAGAUAAGUAAUAAUAAUAAUGUAAUAAAUUAAAUAUAUACAUACCUGAAUUGCUAAAUUCCCAUUCAUGUGUUAAGGAGAAAGAGCAACAGAGAUCCAAAAAGUUAAUUGCUGAUUCAUAUGUUCAGGAGAAAGAGCUGUGAAGAAAUCCAAAUGGCUUUCAGCGUACUGAAUCAUUAAAUCCCUAUUUAUAGUUAAGGAGGAAGAGUAGCAAGGGAGGGAUUUCAAAUGUCUUUCAACGUAUUUAUAAGUAGUUAAUUAUGAGAAAAAAAAGUAUGAUUCUUUGCUUAUCACUUUGAAAAGAAAUCUAUUUGAAAAAAAAUUUAAAAAUGAAGCUAUAAAUGAAUAUACUAAUUGCGCAUCCAAAUUUCUUUUCUAUUUUUAACUCUUUCUAAAAUAGUCUAAACCUUUUUUAUUAUAAAUAAUGUCACUAUCACAAGUAAUGUACCAUAUGUCAACAAUUUAGUUGGCCGCUUGACGAAAGUAAUAAAAACUAAUUUUUGAGAAAAACAAUCUAUUUUAUAAAAAAAUUAUAAAAAGAUUAAAAUGUAAUUAAUUAUAGACAUAACUUUUUUAAAUAAGAUUGGAUAUUAUUAUAUAUUAUAUAUAUUUGAUGUAGUUGUAGAUAGAUAUAUGGAUUACAUAACCAAAUUUCUUUGGGAAAAUUUCUUCAAUACCCUUCCAAGUAGCUCUAAUUUCAUGAAUACCCUUUAAAAUUUCCAAAAGUAUAAAAAAAUUUCAAAAAUACCCACACGGGUAGCAAUCCAUUAUGUUAGCUUCAAAAUACCAUUUUACCCUCUAUUUUAUUCUAAUCACCACCCUCACAAAAUUUUUUAAAUAUAUGGAGACCCCCUCAAUUACAACCCAUUGUGAAAUAGCCCCCUAAAUUUAAAUUUUUAAUUAAAGUGUUCUUAAUUUUACUUUCUUAAAAUUGAAUGAUUUUUUAUUAUUAAAUUAGAGAUUUUAUCUAAUCCAUUAAUGAUUCAACCAAAUUUAAUAAUUUUUGUAACUUCAUAGUGUAUAAAAUUAAAUGAGUCUAAGAAUAAAAUCACAAUGUGGAUAUAAUUCAUAUGUAUUACUCUAAAAAAAAAAAAAAAUUUAAAAGCUAAGAAGUUUAUGUUGAAAAAAGAAAAAUUAAUAAAAACUUAAAGGGAUUUACUUAAAUGGCCUAUAGUUGAUAGUUUUAGUAUAAAUAUUAAAAAAUAACAGUGAAAAAAGUUUGAUUUUUAAACAAAUAGUGAACAAAUUAAGGGUAAAAUGGUAAUUUCAUAUUUUGAAGUAAAAUGAAAAAAAAGCUAAGUUGACAGAAGUUAGCAAAAAUUUACAGUGAGGAUAUUUAUGAAAGAAAUAUUGUAUUUAGAGGGGCAUUUGUGAAAUUUUAAGAAUUCGAAGGGUAUUUAUGAUGUUUCAUAACUGUGUGAGGGUACAAAUGAAAUUAACUCAAAUUUCUUUACUAUUGUAAGCUCUUUCCAUAACAAUUUAAAAUCUUUUUAAUUAUAAAUAAUCUAGUUAUCUUAAGAAAGAUUGGUAUGUACCAACAACUUAGCUUGUCAUUUGGCGAAAGUUUGUGUAACGCGCCGCUUCCCACUUCGCAGGAGCCACGCAUCCUAAAACUACUCUAUUUCUAGAACACUCAGUACUCUUCAUCUCUUAGGCCUAGCCAUCGUCUAAGAUACUAUAGUCAGACUAAAAAAUUUUAACUUUAUUAUAUCUUAUAUACAGAGCUAUUCCAAAUCCUAGAUGUAUCACAGUUUGGCAACAAAAAUAUAAUUCUUUACUUGCUACUUUAAUGAAAACAUUAUAAUAAAAAAAAAAUUUAAAGACAAUUUUAUGAACUUUGGAUGGUGGUGGCCACUGCUAUUUCCUUCUCGAUCCUCCCCCCCCCUUUGAUUUAAUAUAAACCAUAGAGUUUAAAUUUGGAGAAUAAAUCUAGGACGUAGAGUUCCUUGGUGUUUGACUGGAGGCUUGUCGACAGCUCUGGAGAGUGUCGGGACAGGUCCGAGUCGCGUUGUCGGCAAAUAGGCGCAAAACGGACUCCGUGCGACGCGAGGGCAGCAUUCUGCGAGAGAAUCUGCGAAACAGCAGGAUUUUCUGCUCGCUGUACCGGUACAAGGGCAGGCUGUACCGGUACAACCAUCACAGGACUGCUUGUUGUACCGGUACGAGGGGUUGCUGUACCGAUACAGGAUGCGCGCACCGAAUUUAGCUGCUCUCGGGUUGGCUCUUGUAGCGGUACAGGAGCCCGUGUACCGGUACAAGAGGGUAGGUAGAGGGCUAAAUGUGUAAUUUUAUCCCUCGUUUGUAUCACCCCUCACUCCCUUCAUCUCUUAGGCCUAGCCAUCGUCUAAAAUACUAUAGUCAGACUAAAAUCUCUAGAACGCUCGAUACUCUUCAUCUCUUAGCCCUAGUCAUCGUCCAAAAUGCUAUAGUCAGGCUAAAAGAUUUUAAUCUUAUUAUAUCUUAUAUACAGAAUUAUUUCAAAUUCUAGAUGUGUCACAGUUUGGCAACAAAAGUAUAAUUCUUUACUUGCUACUUUAAUGAAAAUAUUACAAUAAAAAAAAAUUUAAAGACAAUUUUAUAAACUUUGGAUGGUGGUGGCCACUGCUAUUUCCUUCUCGAUCAUCCCCCCUUUGAUUUAAUAUAAAUCAUAGAGUUUAAAUUUGGAGAAUAAAUCUAGGACGUAGAGUUCUAGUAGAACUUAAUAUGAAAAUUGGACAAAAUAAAUUAGCAACGUAGAGUUUUAGUGAAAUUUAAUGUGAAUGAUAUAUAAUUUUAAUGCAGUAAAUUCUCGCUUUGAAAUUGUGCCCAGUGGUACAAUGCUAUCACAAGGACACUACUUUAGAAUAAUAUAUUAUAUUUAAAUAGAUUAUCAUUUUAAAUUAGGCUAAAAUAUAGAAAUUAUUUUGUAUAUACUCGUUUUUUUUUUUUGCUUUUGACUUUUAGGAAUCUAUAUUUUACUCCCUAAAAUUUUAGGAGGGCAAAAUAACUAAACUGUUCUUAUUUUUUUUAUAAGAAAAAUAUAAUCUUUUAACAUAUUUUUAUUAUUUUGAAAGGUAUUUUCGUAUAAAUUAUAAGAAAUGGACUGAAUAGUGACGGAACCUUAACAUAUGGAGACUAAAUACAAUAAUUUAAAAUGUUGAGAAGAUAAAUNAUUAAUAGUGAGGGUAUUUAUGAAAGAAAUAUUGUAUUUAGAGGGGCAUUUGUGAAAUUUUAAAAAUUCGAAGGGUGUUUAUGAUGUUUCAUAACUAUGUGAGGGUACAAAUGAAAUUAACUCAAAUUUCUUUCCUAUUGUAAGCUCUUUCCAUAACAGUUAAAAAUCUUUUUAAUUAUAAAUAAUCUACUUGUCUUAAGAAAAAGAUUGGUAUGUACCAACAACUUGGCUUGUCAUUUGGCGAAAAUUUGUGUAACCCGCCGCUUCCCACUUCGCAGGAGCCACGCAUUCUAAAACUACUCUAUCUCUAGAACGCUCAAUACUCUUCAUAUCUUAGGCCUAGUGAUUGUCUAAAAUGCUAUAGCCAGAUUAAAAGAUUAUAUCUUAUAAACAAAAUUAUUUCAAAUUCUAGAUGUGUCACGGUUUGGAAACAAAAGUAUAAUUCUUUACUUACUACUUUAAUUAAAACAUUAUAAUAAAAAUAAAUUUAAAGACAAUUUUAUGAACUUUAGAUGGUCGUGGCCACUGCUAUUUCCUCCUAGUCCCCCCCCCCUUUGAUUUAAUAUAAACCAUAGAGUUUAAAUUUGGAGAAUAAAUCUAGGAUGUAGAGUUCUAAGUAGAACUUAAUAGGAAAAUUGGACAAAGUAAAUUCGCAAUGUAGAGUUUUAGCAAAAUUUGAUAUGAAUUAUAUAAUUUUAAUACAGUAAAUUCUCGCUUUGAAAUUGUGCCAAGUGGCACAAUGCUAUCACGAGGACACUACUUUAGAAUAAUAUUAUAUUAAAUAGAUAAUUAUUUUAAAUCAGGCUAAAAUACAGAAAGUUUUCUUGUAAAUACCCACUUUUUCACUUUCUCUCCUUAACUUUCGAAAAUUUAUAUCUCGCCCUCUUGAAAUUUCGGAAAUAUUUUUAGGAGAGUAUGGUGUUAAUGGAGAGAGCACCAUGACUAAAUUGCCCUUACUUUUUCUAUAAGAAAAAAAUAAUUUUUUAAUUAAUUCUGUCAUUUUGAAAGAUAUUUUUGAUAUAAAUUAUAAAAAAUGGGCGGAAUAGUGACCUAACCCUGACGUAGGGAGACUAAAUAUAAUAAUUUAAAAUGUUGAGGGGAUAAAAUACAGGUUUUAAAAAAUUAGGAAGAAAAAGUGAAAAAAAGAAAUAUUUAUAAGGGGAUUUUCUAUAAUUUAAACUUUAAAUUUACAUGUAUUUUUUUUUUUUUGAGAAAUUAUUUACAUGUCUUUUAUGUUCGUGCAUAAAUUGGAAGAUGAAUCCCACAAAAAUCCCAUUAAUGGCCACAAAAUAUUAAUAUUGAGAUACAAAAAAAAAAAAAAACAAAUCAAUAGCCUAGCAGGUGAAAUUUUAUUGUGUGCUUUAUUAACUAAAAUUUCUAGAACUCAAAUCUAGAUGCCUUAACUCUCAAAUGUAAAAGCAUUGAAUGUAAUCUAGAAUCCUACAUAGUUUAUUUAUGCAUGAAAAUUCGAUUUUUUAAAAAAUAAUAUCUCAUUGUUUACAUUUGGGUUUUAAGACUUGUAGGUUUGGUAGAACAAGUAAUUAAAUAGCAAUUACAAUUGGACAAAUAUAUAAUAUCAAGUAAAACUAAAAUAAAUCAUGAAAAGAUCGACUAUUUUUGUAAUCUAAUAGAUAUUAUGCAUUCCAUGCAUGUGUUAACGAAUACCAUUUUAGGAUGCUAUUUAAUUACUUGUUCUACCAAACCUACAAGUCUUAAAACCCAAAUGUAAACAAUGAGAUAUUAUUUUUUAAAAAAUCGAAUUUUCAUGCAUAAAUAAACUAUGUAGGAUUCUAGAUUACAUUCAAUGCUUUUACAUUUGAGAGUUAAGGCAUCUAGAUUUGAGUUCUAGAAAUUUUAGUUUAUAAAGCACACAAUAAAAUUUCACCUGCUAGGCUAUUAAUUUGUUUUUUUUUUGUAUCUCAAUAUUAAUAUUUUGUGGCCAUUAAUGGAAUUUUUGUGGGAUUUCAUCUUCCUAUUUAUGCACGAACAUAAAAGACAUGUAAAUAAUUUCUCAAAAAAAAAAAAAUACAUGUAAAUUUAAAGUUUAAAUUAUAGAAAAUCCCCUNAUUAUUCUUAUUACCUAUCUUUUAA